AAAAAAAAAAAACUAGUGCUGGACAUAUAAAUCGAAAAUCGAACCGGUUAGGAGUAAAAAACAACAAUUCGAAAAAGAAAUAUGUUUACUCGACGUAAGCAACUAGUGAUGGACAUAUAAAUCGAAUAACCUGACGAUCUGUCUUUUGAACCAAAAAAUUUAAGCUAUAAGGAAACUGAACGAGAAUUAGAUGGAUAAAUAAACAUAGUUUAUAUAUCUAAAAAUAUUAAUUAUAUUAAAUUUAAAAUAUCAAAAAAUUAAAAUACACAAAUAUCUGUUAUUGAAAAAUGUUAAAAAUUAUCUAAAUUACAAAAUAUUUUGUCUGAAAAAUUUGAAAAGUCUAUUUUUAACUUAUAUUAUUUGAAAACCGAAAACAAACCGGAAUCAAUUUUUUUUUAAUAUCUGAUUAAUUAUGAUAUUACAACGAUGAGAAAUAUUACAUAGACGAUUCUACAAUCGACAAUUCUAACGUCUGACUACACCACUCCGAACCGCCCUAUAAAAUUCAUGUUCGAUGAUACGUCCUUCCACCAAACUGAAGACCUCUUCCUCCUGUAACCCUUUUUCUAAUACUAUUAUCCAAACCAAACUAAAAAUUGAAGUAACCGGAUGUAUAAGCUUCUAAGCAACCAAUAAGUUGUUCUCGUUCAAUUGAUUUGCGGCGACCCGGUUAAAGAGUUGGUUAGUGAAGCCGGUUAAAGAUUUGGUUUGUCAAUCGACUCAAUCCUCGUCUUUUGAUCCCUUUCACUCGUCUCGUCUCUCUUCCUCAAGUCUUUUUCUUUUCAUCGCCGAUCUAUCCGCCGUCGGCAAAAGCGGCGGAAUAAUUGGAUAAUCCUCAGGUCUCCGCUUCACGCUCGUGUUGGGGGAAAUUAGAUUGAUCGGAUCUGUCUGAAUGAUGGACGAGGAGUCAGCAAAAACUAGAGAGACCACCGUGAAUCAACAACAACAAUACUAUUACGGAACGUUUCAAGGCGUUGCCAAUUAUCCUCCUCCCGCUCCGCCACCGCAAUUACUACCGCUUCCACAACAACCUAUUGCCACGAGUCCCUUGCUUCCUCCUGUACAUGGUUAUCAAAAUCUCCAAGGUUCCUUUUAUCAUUUUAUUGUUGUGUGAUUGAUUACUAUAUGAUCUCUUGCGUAUUUGUUGUUUUGUGAUCGUUCCCUGUUUGAGAUUGAUACAGGUCAUGGUGGUGGUGGUGGUUUUGUGAAUUAUGCUCAAGGAUACCCUCUUGUUCCUCGUAUACUUCUUCAUAUCUUAUUCUUAACUUUUUUUAUUAAUUUCUGAAUUUGUAUGUGACGUUACACAUUUGCUAUGUACGAUUUGAUUGUGUUAUGGCCAGAUAAUGAGGGUUGGUUUUGUUACAUUUUGAAUUUGAUAUUGGUUAAUGAUGAUGCUGUACGGUAGUGAUUCUUGGUUUUUGGUGUAUUUAGAAUAUACAGUUGUUGAGGUUAGACCGGUGAGAGAGCAUGACGUUCCUGUUCCUUGCUGUGGCUUUGGCAUGGGCUGGUUCUUGUGAGUUCCUUCUUUAUUUCUUUUGCAUCUUAUGUAUCCUCUCGUUAUGAAUUCUACUUUACAAGUCUUGCCUAAUUCGAAAUUCACUUGAUCCUCUUGAUUCAUUAUUUCGUGUAUAAGAUCUAAACAAACAUUAAGCUUGAACUUGUGGAAUCUCGGUUCUUGGUUAGUAGAUUUUAGAAUAUUAUCAUUAUAUAUCUAGUUGUGACAAAGAAAACUGCGAGUUUGUUGUGGAACUUGCCUUUGACAGGUCCUUCUGAUCUCUAGUCAUUAUUGUGGGAUACUUUUGUAGUUUUAAAACUUUGUCAUUCUCUCAUAUGCUUGUCACUUGAAUGUUAAGUUGUUUUGGCUUUGUUCCUAGGUUUAUUAUGGGCUUCUUGUUCGGUGGGAUCCCUUGGUAUCUCGGUGCUGUUAUUAUUCUUUUCACAUCUGUUGAUCAUCGCGAGAAGGCUGGUUACGUUGCAUGUUCUAUCGCUGUGAGUUUCUCGAUCUCCUGUCUCUUUCAUUACCUUUGCUGCAGAUACACGACUUUAGUCUCUUAUACAUGUCAUUUUGCUGUCUCAUGUCUUUUCCAGUCCGUUGUCUAUUUGAUUGCCGUCAUGCUCGGGAUGGCUGGGAAUAUUAACAUCAUCUGGUGAUCUGGGUUUUAAAUAGCGCAUGGCGAGGUGAGGCAACAAGUGUCUCGCCUCUCGCCAUGCGCCAUGGCGACACAAAGCGUUCGCUUUGUGUAUAAACUUAAAAACGGUACUGAAAAACGUAAGCAUAGAUAGAGAGUGAUAAUUUUCUAUCCAUAACUCUAAGUUAGGUAAAGAUAUUGAUAAAGUUUAAUGAGUUGAGACAUAAGGGAAUUUUGAGCAAAACUUUAUGACUGAAAAAGAACUUAGAAUAUGAGAACUAACCCUAAAAGCAAAGAAGAGCUAAACCCGUGAAUAGAGAGAACAGUAGAGAAAUAUCUGAGGAAUAGCUUAUAGGGUUGUUUAACUCUUUUAUAGUAGUUUGAAUUAGGAUACUAACUAUAGAUUAUACUACACGGCACACCUACUCUAUUAAACCUAGGUUGGUUUAGUAAUCUAACUCUCCACAAACCAAGUUGGUCUGAGAAGAAUCUUUGAAGCGUCGCUUUGCACGCUAUAGGAGCUACGAGUAUAGCGACAAUAGCGACCGCUUUGGACACCUCGCCUGGCCUUGGGGUCUUGAAGCGAUAAAGACAUCGCUAGACCUCGCCAAGCGCCAUGGCGGUCAUAGCGGUCGCCAUUUAAAACCAAGCUGGUGAUAGAUACUACCUUACAAAUCACAUUUCAAUAACGUAUAUGCAUCAUCAUAACAUAGUGAUUUACAAAAGCAAAUGUUGUUAUUUUGUGUUGUGUUUAUUGGCUUUCAACUCUGAUGAAUAUGUUAUUGAUUCCUUUGGUGGCAUCUUCAUGUAAUAUAUUUUUGUGAUCUGCUUUGUUAAUAUUUACAGUAUACAACUAUACAAGUUCCAUUGAAGUUGGAUUGGACAUGUUUCAAAGUCUAGUGAAAUGGAAAAACAAAUCAAGCUAGAUCAUGGGAAAAUAAAGCCUAGUGAAAUGAAAAAAAUUAUUAAGCUACAAGAAAAGAAAGUAUUUGGUCGUACAUUCCUAGAACAGGAUUAUUCUUUCCAAUAGGAUACACCACAACAUGUACUAGGACACCGAGAUGGCGUGUAAACAGAGUCAGGUUCCCUUGAGUGAGAGAGAGAUUUGAAGUUUUUUUUUUUCCGAUGAUCAUUAUUGAAAUAACCAUAAUGUUCAAACAGAUCACUACAAGCAUAAAAUAUGUCUGCAUUAAACAAGAUUUGAAGUUCAAAAAUUCAGGGAAAAAAAACAAAACAAUAGUCGCCCAGUAGAAAACAUAUGUCUAUUAAUUUUCUAAACAAAUGAUCUCUCUAUUAUUUUUGUUAAAAAAACCUAAAUUUGAAAUCUCAACUCGACCAUUAGCCAUGUUGAGGAAACGACGACGACGCUGGGACAUCAUAUCUUCCACGGAUUUUCGCAGCAGCAACCUCACACAGUUCCUCAUAAUACUCCUCAUACCUCCGCAACAACUGUUUCUCCUCUUCGUCAGUACUCUUCACCGGCAACGACGGUGCAUAAGCAGGCUCAGCCAUCUUCAGUUUCUCUUCUUCCGCAGCUGUUUUGAUCUCCAUCAGAUUGUUGAGGUUUUUGCAGAACUCGUCCAUCUUCACUUUCUUAUGAGCAUCCACGAUCAACGAUGACGACGACGAGUUGCCCUCGCCGUUGAUGAUUCCUGAGUGAUGGUUUCCGUGGAGAAACCGCUGUGCCACGUCAUCGAAGGAAGGGCUGCCAAACGUGAACGGUUUUCCUGAGCCGGAGUAGAUGAGAAAUCCGACGUCGGCGCCGCAGAGAAUGGAGAGCUCACUGAGCUUAGUGUAAAUUCCGUUUUUACGCUUUGAAAAUGUGAUGAUUCUGUCUUCGUUUUUCGUCACUUUUUUAAUAUCUAUCUUUUGUCUUCCUCUUGUCUUUUUCCCUCCCAUCUUUUUGGCAAAGAAUAUGAAAUUACACAAAAUGGAAAAUAGAUAAUUUAGAAUGAAUUGUUGUUACAAAAAAAAAAAAAUUGAAUGAAUUUUCUUCUUCUUGUUUUAGUUAAGAAAAUAUUUUGUUACUGUUUUCUGAGAGCAAAACUAUGUUUUAUAGAUAAAAAAAUGUGGUAGUAAUUAUUGUAUUGCAUGAAAUUUAGUCAAUGCUUCAGUUUUUGUUUUUGAAAAUUUGAUUUCUGUAAGGUAAUCUUGUGAACGAGAGUUAUGUCAUCUGUGACAGUCUUAGAUGCAAAUUAAUUGUUCUUCUUUUAUACUACACCGGUCAACAAAUCAAUUAAUUAUCGUACCUCCUAAAACUAUGAUGACAUGACUAUCACUCACAAUGUUACCUCUAUUUAAUUUACAAGAAAAUGUCAAACUUAAAAACAAAAAAAAAGUUGAAUCACUAACUAACUUUCAUGCAAUAGUUAAACUUGAUGGUUUGAAAUUUUUAAUUACUAGUGAAAUAAUCUAUAGUAUGAAAAAUUAUUAUACUUUUUCUUUCUCUUUAAUGAAAAACUCAAUUUUAUCUAAAAUGUUUCUAUUUUUCCAAAGAAAUUUUAAUUCCCACUAGUGGCAUUUUAGUGUUUUGGUUUUGAGCAUAUGACAUAUAUAUUAAAAUAGAAGCAUUUGGUUUUAUUGCGUUCACACUAUAUUGGCCACGUUACAUUAUCGCAUUACUUUAAAAAUAAGAACAAGAACGUAUUGUCUUAAUAUAGUUUCUCACAAAACUUUGGUGUUUUAAAGACAAAAAGUUUCUUAUUUUGCUUAAACUAAACACAAGCAUUUAUCAUUUAGCUCAUACCGAUGAACAUUCUUUUUCUUUAACUAUUAUUUAGAUUUCAUUUGAUUUUGCAUGUAUUUAGAAAUUAUAAAACGAAACCAUUGGUUCGACAUAAAAUUGUCUAAAAUUCAUAUAACAUGGAACCAAACAAAUAAUAAUAGUUUUUCUAUCAACGGAAACGGAAACGGAAAAUUCAAGAAGGCUUAUCCGAAAAAAACAAAAAUAAAUAAGGAUUAUAAUGAUAUUUAUAUUUUAAUACAUUAAAAACCAAAAAAACAACCUAAAACCGAACCAAUAUCCAAAUUAAACAUGACCAAUGUAUUUUUAUCUACAAAAAUAACUAAAUUAACAAUCUCAUCCAUAUUACCUAGUAACUGUAAAUAAAGCUCAAACAUAUCAUGAAUUUGAGUCAUAAUAAUCAAGAUGAUUCAUUAAUUAAAUGCCCAAAUUCAAAAACUCAGUAGUAUCAUUUGAGAAUAACAUUUUACUACACACAAAUAAAAUUUAACCUUAAAUAAAAUCAAAAUUUUAGUGGUCAUCUUUAUUAUACACAUAAAAUUCAUACAGAAUAAUAUCUUUUUGAAAAUCCAUUAUAUACAAACAAUAUUUUAUCAUACACAAAUCAGUAGGAAACAGCUUUAGUCAUAUGUGUUUAUUUUUAAAACAUAAUUACUCAAAAUUACAAUAUAACAAUGUACUACAAUACUAUGACUACAAUCCAUCAAGAUCGUAUCAGAUUCGACCACGUGAUAUAUCAUUUUCUAAAAAAUCAGAUUCAUUUAUUUGCGGCCAUGUGUUUGUUUCUAUUAUUCUUUUAGAUUCAAAUCAUUUUUAAUAAAGACUACUUCGAAAUGGUUUGGAUUUUUACCUGGUUUAAUCAAAUUUUUAAUUAACAAUUUUUUUCAUUAAAUCUGAACUAGAUUAUAUACAAGGCGUCCGCCGGGUCUACCGAUUCGACCAUUGUUCUAGGUUAGAUAUGAGAACAGUACUCAAAACUCAAAUAUAAUAGAAAAAAAUUUAAAUUAUUAUUUUCUAAUAAAAAAUUAGAAAUUCAUGCAAAUUUUAUCAAAAUGGUCAACAAACAAGAUAUCCAGCUUUAAAAGAACAUGUCAAAAAUAAUAGUAGCUUCUAAAUCGAAUAUGGAUAAAAAUAGUGUAUUUUGAUGGUUAAAAGUAUUAUACAAAUACAUGACACGAGAAAUUCAUUUUCAAUUUAUAAUAGAAAAUUCAUAUCGUUACUACAUUUCAAUAAUGAGAACAUAUUGUUCUUCAGUAUAGAAGAUCUAUACUAUUAGAUCACACAUAGCAUCUUUAAAUUUUAUUUUGAACAAAUACCACACUUUGAAAAAAUAAAUGAUAAAAACAUAAAAACUCAAUAGUUAAGAUUCAAAACAAAAAAAAAACAAAUAUGGCAAUUUCUAAAUCAAUUUUCGAUCAAUAAGUGAAUAAAACUACGAACAUUAACAUUUGGAUAACAAUAUAAUUUGGAGUUGCGAUAUUUUUACUUUAGAAUCAUAUAGAUUGUAUAGUUAAAUAACCAUUAGAGAUCAGCUGAGAUUGAGCUCCAAACUUUGACACCAAUGCCUCUUCCACCCAAACGUGGAAUGACUGUGGAGUCUCCGGUCAAGACAACAACAUGUUUAAGGUGGUGGCAAAGAGCGGCAUUGUGAAUAUUCCCUUUUGCUUUAGGGUCUGCUUAUCUUUUUCUGAUGUCUAAGACCUUUUAUCUAUCCAUCUAUGUUUGCUUUGCUUCAUGUUUUUUUGGAACUUAUUUUGUAUCGUCGAUCACAUUUAUAAGGAUAUCCCAUAUUUUAUAUCUAUUAUGUUAUAUAUGUAUACUUUCACAUUUUACAGAUUUUACUUGCAAAAAUGAAUGUUAUUUUUUACCUUCUAAGUUUUUUAACUUUAAAGUAUGCAUCUUAAAACCAGGCGUGUGACCUGGAGGUGAUUAACAUGAGGGCAAAAGCCCAAUAUGGUGAAACCACCAGAGUUCGAGUUCCGGCCACUGGAAAAUUAAUAUUUCGUCAUCGCCAAGGACAAAGGACCGACACUUGGCAACACGUGACUAGUCAGGACCAUUUCUGUGGGGCCAGGAUAUCCCUAUAAAAUUUAAAAAAAAUGUGAAGAUGAUUAUAGACAAAAAUGUGGUAGUAAUUAUUAUAUUGCAUGAAAAUUAGUCAAUGCUGAAGUUUUUUUUUUUUUGAAAAUUUGAUUUUUGUAAGGUAAUCUUGUGAAUGAGAGUUAUGUCAUCUAUGAUAGUCUUAGAUGCUAAUUAAUUGUUUUUUUUUCUUUUUGACUACACCAGUAAAAAAAAUCAAUCCAUUAUGGUACCUAAAAAUAUGAUGACAUGACUCACUCACAUCAGAGUCAACAUGAGUGUGUGAAUGUUUGCUGUCAAAAAAAAAAGACUCACUCACAAUGUUACCUUAAGUUAAUUUACAAGAAAAUGCCAAAAUUUCAAAAACAAAAACCGAAUCAUUAACUAAUUUUCAUGCAAUAGUUAAACUUGAUGGUUCGAAAAUUUUAAUUACGAGUAAAUAAUCUAUACUAUUAAAACAUGAUCACUCAUUUUUUUCUCUUUAAUGAAAAACUCAAUUUUAUCUAAAAUGUCUAUACUUUUCCAAAGAAAUAUUAAUUCUCACUAGUGGCAUUUUAAUCUUUUGGUUUUGGCAUAUAACAAUACAGCUCAAACAAAUCAUGAGUUUGGGUUAUAAUAAUCAAACAUUAUUCAUUAAAUAAAUGUUCAAAUUUGAAAACUCAUCAGUAUCAUUUGAGAAAAACAUUUUAUCAUACACGAAUGAAAUUUAGUCUUAAAUAUAGUCCAUAAAUCAAAAUUUUAGUGGUCAUACUUUUUAUACACAUAAAAUUCAUUAAGAAUUACAUCUUUAUUAAACUCAUUAUACACAAACAAUACUUUUAUUAUACACACACCAGUAGGAAACAGCUUUAACCACAUUUUUUUAUUCUUUAAAAUCAUAACUACUCAACAUUACAAUAUAACAAUGUACUACAACAAUAUGACUAUAGCCCAUCGAGACAUAUCAAAUUCGACCACGUGAUAUAUUAUUUUCUAAGAAAUCAGAUUCAUUCAUUUGAGUCCACGUGUUUGUUCUUUUAAUUUCUUUAGAUUCAAAUCAUUUUUAAAAAGACUACCUCCAACUAGUUAAUAACGUUUUGUGGGUUUUUACCGGGUUCGAAGAUUUUAAAUUAAAUAUUUUUUCAACUAAUCUGAACUGGAUUAUAUACAAAGCGUCAUGUCUACCGAUUCGACCACGGGUCUGGGUUACAUACAAAAAAACUGCUUCAAACUCAACCAUUAUAAUAGAAAAACUUUUAAAUUAUUUGUUAUCUAAUAAAAAGUUAUAAAUUCAUCCAUAUUUUAUCAAAAUGGAAAACAAAAAAAAGACACACACGCUUUGAAAGAACGUGCCAAAAAUAGUAGUAGCUUCUAAAUAGAAUAUGAUUAAAAAUAAUGUAUAUUGAUGGUUAAAAUUAUGAUACAAAUGCAUGACAAGAAAACACAUUUCCAAAUUUAAAAUCGACAAUUCAUAUCAUUACGACAUUUCAAUAAUGAGUUUUUUCAAUAUAGAAUAUAUAUACUAUUAAAUCACAUAUAAAAUCUUUAAAUCUAUAUCAAACAAAUACCACACUUGAAAAAAGCAAAUAAUAAAAACAUCUAUACUCAAUUUUUAAAAAUCAAAAUGAAAACAAUUGUAGUGUUUAUAUCAAUUUUGGACCAUAAGUGAAAAAGCGAACUCGCAUGUUAACAUUUGGAUAACAACAUGAUUUGGAAUUGUGAUAUUUUUACUUUAAAAUCAUAUAUAUUGUAUAUGAGUUGUAGAUAAUAUAAAAUUUCAAUGUUAUAAACAGUAAAUAACACAUAAAUAAAUUACUUUUAUAUUAUACUUCUAAAUUAAUAAAAUAGACAAGUUAGAGACUCAAAAUUUUAUAAUUUGAAAGAUAAUAGCUUUAUUUGUAAUAAACUUAAAACAUAUAACAUCAGUUAAAUCAAACUCAAUAAGCACCUAAAGCUCUUCCAUUUUUCUCGUGUCGACUUGUGUCUCAAGCUCUUCAUACUUGUCCAGUAAAUUCCAGAUGCAAUCUUGAAGUUUUGUUUUGAGUAACGCUUGAACCGGUCCUUAAUUUGGACCCAGUGUAUACUUUAAUGUAUGGAGUCUUCUUUAGCAUUCAUACUGUGUGAUAUUGAAGUAGUCUAUGGUGACUUAUGUUGGACAUAAUAGUAAAUAUUCAAAGUCUUACUUCAUGUUUUAUUCCUCGACUGAAGUAGUCGAUGGUAACUUCUGCUUGUACUUAAAUUUUAUCUCUUUGUACAUUAGAAAAUUUAACAUUUCUUCCUCAAUCUUCAAUAAAAUUAAUAUAAAUACUACCGAUCCACAAAAAUUUCUUUACACCUCUUCAUUCUCAAAUAGAAAUAAAGCAAAAGCAAAAAAGUUCUUUCAUAAUGUCUUCUUCAAGACUCACAAUUGGAGUCCAGUGAGUGCAUUAUCCGAAGUGUCAGCAAAGCCAUUGGGUGUCAGUGGAGAGAAACUGAGCUUGGUUUACUUACACAACCAUUGGAGAUCAGCAGAGUUUGAGCCCCAAAAUUGGACACUAAUGCCUCCUCCAUCAAAACGCGGAAUGAUUGUGGACCCUCCCGUCAAGACAGCAACACGUUUUAAGGUGGUGGCAAAGAGAGCAUCAUUGAAGCCGGUUUCGUGAUUAUUCACUCUUGCUUGGAUCUACUUAUCUUUUGAUGACGUUUAGUGAUGUGUUAAGACCUUAUUUCUGUCUAUGUUUGCUACGGUUGUUUGCUUCAUGUUUUCUGAAACUUAUUUUGUAUUGUUGGUUACAUCUAUUGAUCACAUUUAUACGAAUAUCCCAUAUUUUAUAUAUAUUAUGUUAUAUAUGAAUAUUUGCACAUUUUACAUGCAAAAAUGAAUGUUAUUUUUAACCAUCUAAUUAUUUAAACUUUGAAGUAUGCAUCUUAAAUUAAAGAAGAUGAUUUUACGGAUACCUUUCAGCCAUAUCAUCAUAUAAUAAGCAAAUAAUGAGCAGAUAAUGAGGAAAUAGUGAGAAGAAGAAUGUCGUUUGUUAAUAUAAAAAUAGGUAAAAAUUGUGGAGAUCUAAGUUUGAGUGGAUCAUCCGAUUACAUAGUAAUUGAGUUUGUAGUUUAUUUGAUUCAUUAAAGAUUGAAUACUGUAUUGUAUAACUAUAAAAAGAUAAUUUAAUAUAUAGACAAAAAAAACCGUGGCUAGAAUAUUAUGUAUAUAAAGUUAUAUUACAAUUUCUAUCUUUAUACAAUCCUAACCAUUGUACCUCUUCAUCUUUCUCUUUUGUUCUUCUUUUUGUUUUCAACUCCAUCACUUUUCAUUUGAUCUAAAUUUCAUAUACCAAUAUGAUUAAGUCAACCAACUAUGUUAAAAACAUAUACAUCACUUACAUAUGACAUAUUUAGAAAAAUUCAAACAGACAUAAAUUUCACAUUCUAUUUUUUUUUUCUUAACAAGAACUUUUAGUUCUAUUCUAUAUUAAUUUUUAUAGAAUAACACAUACUUUUAAACUCAGGAAUUCUAUAUUUUAAAGUAAAUACAUUUCAUAUUGAGUCAUUUAGCUAAAUAAUGUUUGAAAUGUGUCUAUAGAAUGCAAUUGCUCUUUCAUAUUUACAGAAACCAUAUACGCAUCAGAUAUGCAGUUUAAUUGUUAAAACAUUCAAUCAAAUGAAAUACUUUCACAUGUAUAUUACAUGGUUACCAAACAUGGAACAAUUUUUUUUAUAAUUUUUGUACUUACAUCAAUCAUAUACACAACAUAACAGAGGUCCGGCCGUCCAAAUGAUCGACAUCUACCUACCACAAAUACAUAAUAACUAGGUGAUAAUCUGCGCCGUGCGCGGGGUAUAAAAUCUAUAAAUGAAUUUUGAUUUGAAUAAUGUAUAGAGUUUAUAUUACGUUGAUUAGUGGUUAUUGAACGUCUAAAAUAAUGAAAAAAAUUAUAAUUUUGUUUCUACGCAUAAUAAUUACAAUUCAAAAUAUAACUCAAACGGAUUGAGCCGUAUUAUAAAAUUAAGGUAUAAGGCCGAGAAAAAAUUGUAAACCAUAUUGUAUUGUAUCUAACUUAUUGGGCUUACAAUAUCAAAUGGGCUAUGUUUUUGUUUUGUUCUCUAUUUACUCAAGAGAAGCGACAGAAAAAAAAAUCUCCACGGUGUUUCGAUGGUCGGAAUAGAAAGGGGAUAAGGGUUUCUCAAUUCGGAUUGCACCCAACCAGCGAAAAAGGUGAUGUUCCGUUGAACUUAAUCAAAUUGUAACCUAAAUCUAGAUGUAAGAUUGCAGAAUAUUUGUCGAAUGUAAUGUUGUCGUUUUUUUGUUUUCAGAUUCGAUGGCUUAAACUGGUUCGCUUUCUUCAGCGAGGGUUCGUUUAUCUUAACAAAUGUGUGAAAGGGUUUAGUGUCGAUGGUCUUAACUGAUGAUGGUAUACCUAGUGUGAAUCCCCUUUAUAUAUAAGAGAACGUUAGGGUCGUGAAUAUGUUAUUUCAAUAUAUUAUAAAUUUAUGAGCACAAUUUAAUGUUUCGCUUGGCAACCAAACAAUUUCCUUUGUUCAAUCAAAUCGUUAUUUACUAUAAUAUUUGUUUGACAAUAUUACCUUGUAUAAGAAAGAUCUGAUAUAUUGGAAGUAUAGUUCUUUGAGUGCAUAUCAAGUUAAUGUACGAACGUGAAUAUAUUGAAUUAAAUGCUCUGAAGAGGAACAUUAUAGAAAUAAGCUCCUAACAAAUAUUUCCUUUGACUUUUACAGGAAAACGUGUCGGCAAAGCAAAUCGAAACCACAUCCAAUUCCGGUUUUUCUUCGAGGUAUGUUAACAAUGUUUUUCGGUUAAGCUAUCCAGUGGUUAACGAUUUUUUAGAGUUUAAAAAAUUAAAAACUAUCAUACAUGACACAAUUACAAUAUAAUCCACUAUUUGCAUUUAAAUCAGUGUACAUAUUAUGAAAUAUACAUGUAAUUUUAAACAAAUGCAAAAAUGCCAUCAUGUAACAUGUGUAUGUUACGUUAUAACUAAGUUUAGUAGAACUUGAGAAAAAAAAAUAAAAAACUUGCGAAAACUUUAUUAAUUAUACAGGAACAAAUAAAUAUUUGCUACAAAAGUUUGUUGAGUAUCGAUGGUUUUAUUUAUCGUACAUCAGUUGAACUAAGAUCAAGUUUUGAUCCAUGUGUUACACAUUCUGAUAAACAUAUAUAAACAUUUUUUGAAUUUCGAAUGUUCAAUGACAGGCUCAUGUUUAAGUUUAGGAUGUUAAAUUAUAAUGUUCACUGAUCUUGCCCCAUUUCAUAUGUUCAUUCAGUUUUUCGUAUAGUUGUAACGGACAUCACCUGUCAAAAAGUUUAAAAAGAAAUAGAGUUAUUAGUGGAACUGGUUUAAAGUAGAACCAGAUUCAUUGAUGGGGGCGUAACUUUCGUAAUCAUUCAUUUUACGUAUAUUAAUAUAGAAUAACUUGUCGGUAGUUUAAAUAUAGGUUGGUCCAUACGACCAAAAAAUGUAAUCUCUAGUAAAAAAAACAUUUAAUGUGUACUCUGAGGAAGGCUGUCAGGCUGACAUGUCAGCUUUAUACUUUAAGUUACAACUUAAAAAAUGCUUCCCAAUUAAUAGAAAGGGGAUAACAAAUCUUAUAUUCUUUGCACUGAGAGCACCAUUAUCCCUAGCAACCCUAAUGGGUAUCUUAAUCAUUUUUUUACUAAUAAAUAUGUGUUAAGCACUUUAUUUAAGAGCCUUCUAAUUUUUUGCCUCCAAUGCAAAGUUUUUAUUUUGGGGUUCUUAAAAUAUGAGUUUGACAAAGUGAUUAAAGAGAUAAAAUGGGAGAAGAUGACUUUAGUGUUGUUACAAAGCGAGAGAGAAGAUGAGUUUUGUGUUGCUACAAGUGGAGAGUGAAGAUUAUAUAAACAUAAGAAGAAGAUACAGAAGAGACAUAGACACAAGCAUAAUUGAUUAAAAAAAAUAAGCAUAAGACACAAGCAUAUGCGCAGAACCAUAACAAGAACAUAUGACAUUAGCCCUGUUCGGGACGAAGACGCUGCGUCAAGCGUCCAACAAACAGAAAAGCACAGUAACAAUGGCAAUUGACUUCAGAUUUCCGGCAACGAUGUGAGAGUUUGGACGCUAGAUUGGCUGUUGAUUUAAAGUUUCCGGAAACGAUGACGCUGUUAAUUCCAGCGUCCCAAAGCAUGUCUAAUCUAAAGCUUGAAAUGAUUACUGCUACAACAGAUGGAGAAAUGCGCAGAGCCUCUGAUGUCGCAACAAAAUUAAGGGCUGCAGAAUGAGAAAACAAGAACCAACAAAGCUACAACCUUUUAAAACCAAGAAGAUAAGUACGAACUACAACCUUAAAGAAAACAAGAACCAACAAAGCUACAACCUUAAAGAAGAAUAUGUUGACAUGAAGCAAUAAAGAGAGGAGAAUGAAGUAAGAAGCAAGAGGGGAACAAUUACAUCCGGAUCAAGCAAUCACUCAACUUACCUUGCAAGACAAGUCUGUCCGUACAAGACAACCCUAACUUGGAGUGCAAGGCAUAAGAGUGACUGAUGUAGAAGAGAAGAAGGCAAGAAGAAUGUUUGGAAUCGCCUAAGGGAAGUGGGGAACCAUUGGGAGUGCAGGUCACGGGUCUGGUUAAGGAUUCAAAGUCUUCCCACCCGUUAGGACCUGUCACUAUCCAGGACCACUCUGCCCAUCUCUCCUUUGUCUUAACCUCUUUGUUUAUUGUUUCCUUAAUGUCGACAUCUUGCUGUAAGAGUUCUAUAAAUGGGUUGUUCCCAUAAACAAAUGAAUUCAAGGGAAAAGAGUUCUCUAUUAUUCUCUUUGUCAAUCUCACUCUCUCCCUCACGGAUUAACCUAGUUCUUCUCUAAUCUAUUCACAAAUCCUCCUUAAACUCUCACAUUAAUUCUCUAAAACUCUCAUGGUAUCAGAGCAGCUCUGCUCUUGAGACCUAAAUCUCUUUUUCUUCCGCAAAUUCUCUGUGUUUCAUUUCUAUUUUUGGCAAAGUUCAUCCUGUUCUUGAGGUGUUCUUCAAACACAUUUCCAGAAUUUGCCAAAAAUAGCAAAGUUUAUCCAAAACUUUUAUUCUUCUUUCUCUCUUGAUGGAUACCUCUGAGAACCCAAUGAUGGUGAUGAUACCAGUUACUCUCAAGGGUCCUAACUACCUGACAUGGGCAAGACUUGCCAAAACAGCUCUCGGAGGCAGAGGUCUUUGGGAGAUUGUUGAAGAAGGCCGCCCCACCAAGAAGACUGUCCUAGGAGAGGAUGGCAAAGAAGUGGUGGUUGCGGAUGCUGGGGAUAAGAAGAAAGGUCAGGAGGACCUCAUGGUGUUGUCUAUCAUCCAGAAUAGCCUCGCCCCUUCUCUCCAAGAGGCUUAUGCAUUUUGUGAAACUUCCAAGGAGCUGUGGGAUACUCUCAAGAAGGUGUAUGCCAACAAAUCCAACAUCAGCAAGGUGUAUGAAGUAAAAGGAGCAAUCAACUCUCUAAGUCAAGAGGACACAGACUUUGAUGCUCAUUUUGGGAAGUUCCGGUCUCUAUGGGCUGAGCUAGAGAUGCUCAGACCUGCAACAGUUGAUCCGGAUGUUCUACAUGAAAGAAGGGAGCAAGAUAAGGUCUUUGCCUUGCUGCUCACUCUCAACCCAGGGUAUGAUGACCUUAUUAGGCACAUACUGAGGAACAAGGAGCUCCCAUCUCUAGAUGAAGUGUGUGCUGAGAUUCAGAAGGAGCACGGCUUAGUGGAUCUCUUUAAGAGAAAGGGAGAGCUAGUGAUGGCCAAUCAAGCUGAAGGAGCCGAGAGCAAACCUGCCGGAGUAGCCAACAAAGGGUACUACAAGCUGGAGGAGAAGAAGGUGUGGGUGUGUGAUCAUUGCAAGAAGAAGGGUCACGGCAAGGACAAGUGCUGGAUACUUCACCCACACCUCAAACCGGCUAAGUUCAAGACUGAUGGCCGCGCAAACUAUUCAGGUGAUGUAGGAGAAGCUUCCACAGCCUACCGCACUCAUGAGAGCAAGGGAAACCAGGAUGAGUCCAUCAAGAAAUCCAACAUUGAGGCACUCAUCAAAGCUCUCAAGGAGUCUGGUAAAACUCUUGGUACCUCUGUUAGUGCAUCCUAUCAAGUUCCUAGGAGUUUAUUCACUGCUUUUCAAGUCUCCCAUGAAUCUGAUAGAGUUAAACCCUUAGUCAUAGACUCAUGAGCCUCUCAUCACAUGAUUAGUGAUCUAAACUUGAUUAAAAAUAUUACUCCUGCAGUAGGAAAUGUUAUGAUAGCUGAUGGUAACAAGGUUCCAAUUAAAGGCAUAGGUGAACUUAAAUUAUUUGAGAAAGAUUCCAAAGCCUUCUACAUGCCUAGUUUCACCUCUAAUUUGUUAUCUGUGAAAAAGGUGACCAAUGAGUUGAAUUGCAAUGUUAUAUUUACGCCUGAUGAUGUCUACUUUCAGGAUAUUGACUCAUGUAGGUUGCUUGGCAAAGGUGUGAGCAAGGGAAACCUGUACUUGCUAGAAGACACUAAGCUUGCAUCCGAUCUAUCUGUUGCUUUCAAUUCAAGUUUUAAUUUCCCUAAAGAUGUAAUGUGGCAUGCUAGAUUAGGACAUCCCCACUCUCGUGCCUUGAACAUCAUGUUGCCUAGUAUUUCAUUUCAACAAGAUUGUGAAGCUUGUAUCUUAGGAAAACAUUGCAAAACUGUAUUUCCCAAGUCUAGUACAAUCUAUGAACACUGUUUUGAUUUAAUCCACUCGGAUGUAUGGACUGCUCCAUGUCUCUCUAGAGAACAUCACAAAUAUUUUGUGACCUUUAUUGAUGAGAAAUCCAAGUAUACAUGGAUCACUCUCUUACAAUCAAAGGAUAGGGUCUUAGAUGCAUUCAUAAACUUUGAAACAUAUGUCUCUAACCAUUAUAAUGCCAAAGUUAAGAUUUUGAGAUCAGAUAAUGGAGGAGAGUACACCAGCAAUGCAUUCAAAGCCCACCUAGCCAAACAAGGUGUAAUUCAUCAAACCAGCUGUCCAUACACUCCACAACAGAAUGGUGUGGCCGAGAGGAAGAACAGACACCUCAUGGAGGUCACUAGGAGCAUGAUGUUCCAUACAAGUGUCCCAAAGAGCUUCUGGGGAGAUGUGGUCCUAACUGCAUGCUACUUGAUCAACCGAAUUCCUACCAGAGUUCUCCAAGACCGAUCUCCAUUUGAGGUAUUGAAUAAAGCUAAACCAUCCAUUGAUCAUAUGCGUGUGUUUGGGUGUCUUUGCUUUGUUUUAAAACCAGGAGAACUAAGGAACAAGCUGGAGGCUAAGAGCACAAGAGCCAUGUUCAUUGGGUAUUCACCAAACCAGAAGGGCUAUAAGUGCUAUGAACCAGAGACUAGGCGAGUCCUAGUGUCUAGGGAUGUGAAGUUUGUAGAAACCAGAGGGUACUACAACAACAAGGACUGGAAUGAGCUGGAGAACCUGUCUCAAUCCGCAUCGGAUAGAGCAGCCAAUCUCAGACAAGUCAUGAGGAGACUUGGGGUCAGCUUACCUAUGGAAGAGCCGGGACAAGCAGGAUCAGAUAAUGUGGGAGGAUCAAGCCGGUCUGACGAGCAAACCGAGACAACUACAGAUGAAGUUGAGAUACAAGAAGCUGCUCCCCUUGAUCCUGAGGGGGGAAAUCAGAGUGAACCACCAGUUCAUGAUCAAGAAGAGCACCAUGACCAAGAGGAGGAAGUGGAGGAUCAGAAUCAGAACUUGGAAGGUGGAGAAGGAGCUCAGAAUGAAGAAGCUCAGCCAGUGCUUAGGAGAAGUAUCAGGAUCAAGAAUCCGGCUACAAACUGGAACAACACCAGAGUCUACUUCAAUGCAGAGGCAGUAGCUCACCCACCCAGUAGAGUGUGCUCCCUAGCUCACUAUCCAGAAGAACAUCAAGCCUUUGUGGGUUCAUUGGAUCAGGAAUGGAUACCAAGAACAUAUGCAGAAGCUAUGGAAGAUGACGAAUGGAGGGAAUCAGUGAAUGAUGAAAUGGGAGCCAUGGAGAGGAACAACACCUGGUAUGAGACAGAGCUUCCAAAAGGAAAGAAAGCCGUGACCAGCAGACUCAUACACACCAUCAAGUACCUUGCAAAUGGAAAGCCAGAAAGAAAGAAGACCAGAUUGGUAGCAAGAGGAUACACCCAAGUGUAUGGAGAAGAUUAUCUAGACACCUUUGCACCAGUGGCCAAACUUCACACAAUCCGGAUCAUUCUCUCAUUGGCAGUAAAUCAAGAGUGGGAUCUUUGGCAAAUGGAUGUGAAGAAUGCUUUCUUGCAAGGUGAACUAGAAGAUGAGGUAUAUAUGAGACCUCCUCCGGGAAUGGAAGAGAUGGUGAAACCAGGGAAUGUACUCAGACUCAGAAAGGCCAUUUAUGGUUUGAAGCAAUCACCAAGAGCUUGGUAUCACAAGCUGAGCACUACACUGAAUGGGAAAGGCUUUGUGAAAUCUCAAGCGGAUCACACACUCUUCACUCUCACCAGCAAGCAAGGGAUUGUUGUGAUUCUAGUCUAUGUGGAUGAUAUUAUCAUCACUGGUUGUGACAAGGAGGGGAUCAGUUCAACCAAGACCUUUCUUAAAGCCGCAUUUGAUAUCAAAGACCUAGGGGAACUGAAGUACUUCCUUGGCAUUGAGAUGUGCAGAUCAAAGGAAGGAUUGUUCAUGUCCCAAAGAAAGUAUACCCUGGACAUCUUAAAGGAGGCAGGAGAUCUUGGAGGAAGACAAGCCAAGACACCACUUGAAGAAGGUUACAAGGUACUGCGAGAGGGGGAGUAUGAAGAUACUCCAUUUGAAGAUGUCAAACAGUAUAGAAGGAUGGUUGGGAAGCUGAUCUAUCUAACCAUCACUCGGCCAGAUGUGUGCUUUGCAGUUAAUCAAGUAAGCCAGCACAUGCAAACUCCCAAGGUUCAUCACUGGAACAUGGUGGAGAGGAUACUAAGAUACUUGAGAGAGGCGCCAGGUCAGGGUGUAUGGAUGGCUUGCAACAAGAACACUGAGGUGAUAGGAUACUGUGAUGCAGAUUGGGCUGGGGACAGAAUAGACAGAAGAUCAACCACCGGCUAUUGUACAUUCAUUGGAGGAAAUCUGGUCACUUGGAAGAGCAAAAAACAGAAGGUAGUGUCUUGCUCUAGUGCAGAAGCAGAGUACAGAUCAAUGAGGAAGCUAACCAGUGAGCUUAUCUGGAUAAAAGGGCUUCUAGGCGACUUGGGAAUUGAGAUCACCACUCCCAUGACCAUGCAUUGUGACAACCAAGCCGCAAUACACAUUGCAUCCAACUCAGUCUUCCAUGAGAGGACAAAACACAUAGAAGUGGACUGCCACAAGGUAAGACAAGCAGUAGAGCAGCAAGUGAUUCUCCCAUGUUAUACAAGAAGUGAGGAUCAGCUGGCUGACAUCUUCACCAAGGCGGCCAGUAGCAAAGUUUGUGAGUCCAUUCUUCCAAGACUUGGACUCAUAAACCUCCCAUGUCAAUGAUCCCCUCACCAUGGAGUAUUCUACUCUUUUUCCUUUGCUUGGUUUUUAUCCCAAGUGGUUUUUCCAAGUAAAGGUUUUAAUGAGGGAAUGCUUCAUGGUUUCCAAGCUUGACAAUCACCACCGUCAAGCUUGAGGGGGAGUGUUGACAUGAAGCAAUAAAGAGAGGAGAAUGAAGUAAGAAGCAAGAGGGGAACAAUUACAUCCGGAUCAAGCAAUCACUCAACUUACCUUGCAAGACAAGUCUGUCCGUACAAGACAACCCUAACUUGGAGUGCAAGGCAUAAGAGUGACUGAUGUAGAAGAGAAGAAGGCAAGAAGAAUGUUUGGAAUCGCCUAAGGGAAGUGGGGAACCAUUGGGAGUGCAGGUCACGGGUCUGGUUAAGGAUUCAAAGUCUUCCCACCCGUUAGGACCUGUCACUAUCCAGGACCACUCUGCCCAUCUCUCCUUUGUCUUAACCUCUUUGUUUAUUGUUUCCUUAAUGUCGACAUCUUGCUGUAAGAGUUCUAUAAAUGGGUUGUUCCCAUAAACAAAUGAAUUCAAGGGAAAAGAGUUCUCUAUUAUUCUCUUUGUCAAUCUCACUCUCUCCCUCACGGAUUAACCUAGUUCUUAUCUAAUCUAUUCACAAAUCCUCCUUAAACUCUCACAUUAAUUCUCUAAAACUCUCAGAAUAGUCGUGUACGUCACCAGAUUUGGCACCAGACCCAUCUCGGGAAUUUCGUCGAGCACCUUGUAGGCACUCUCCACAUCGUUCUUCUUACACAAAGCUUUCACGAGGAGAUUACAAGUGAAGAUGUUGGGAGUGAUUCCAAAAGACUCCUUGUUGUUCUAAACAUGGAGUGUACCAGAUUGAAUCUCCCGUUCGAGAUCAAUCACACGUUUUGGAAUUAAAGCCAUCUGAUUUCACGGGAGAGAGAUAGAGAUGAGAGAGAGGAGGAGACUUCUGUGUCUGACGCGUGUUUCAUAAGCGCUGGUUCUUCCUCUUCCUAAUUAAGCAACGCUGCUUCGUUUAAAAGGCAAUUUUCUUUUUUUUUAAAUCAAAAUUAAUUUAAGCAACUCAGUUAAGCAAUCCCGAUAAUCAUGCUCUGAUGAUCUUCAAGUUAUUACCUAUGGUUACUUUUAUACUUUGUGUUUAUAAGAUUUGUUCUAUAUGACCACUAAAAUUGAAAAGUAUAUAUUAGAGUAUCUUGUGUAUUUGAUAUAAAACUCAUGUAUAACGAAGGAUAAUUUUUUUAAUUUAUAUGAGAAUUAUCACUUUUCUGUAAAAAAUAUUAAAUGGACAUUGGUGAACUUUGUCUCCAACUUUAGCUAUAUGAUUUGUCCAAAAAGUUAUAGUGGCCUUUUUUACACGCGCCUUAUUUUAAAAAAUAAAAUUUAAAUAAAAUUUUAUAAAUGAGUAUAUUAGUUCCAAUGUCCUCUAAGAACCAGCUUUGGUUUCAACCAAACCCUAAUCAUGGUGGUCAGAGGGAAAGACACGGUUCCAAAAGCCGAAGACAUUAGGGAGCUAGCUUUGCAAUCUCGUCACACAUCAUAUUACAUGGCACAGAAAAGACUCGAAGUUGUAUUCAAUCGAAUUAGCCCCGUUACGGUUUACGAUCCAUCCACCGCGAACAAAUGGAGAAAUAUCUCUUUUAAUCGCUUUUCAUGCUUAAUAUUGUCAAAUUCAGACCCAUGGACGAUGUUAAGUUGUGUUCUGUCUGAUUUCCUUCACGAACAUGAUACUUUGGUUAGAAUAUCCUAAGCUAUUCUCUCCUCAGAAAUUAAGAGAGUUUAAUGUCAACAUCAUGGAAACGGUCUUUGUAUCCCUUUGAGAUGGUGUUGCUUUCGUUUUUGCCGCAGGCACUUCUGUGAAUUACCUGUCUAACAGUCUAAGCGUUUAUCUUUAAACUUGUAAGUUAAUGUUUUACUUUUUUUUUUCAAAGAAAAAGAAAACUCAAACCUUUAGAGCUUGAUUUUGUUUCAUAUUCUCUCUCGACUAAAGACCACCGCCGCUUAAUCUUUUCGCUUUUCCGGCGGUUGGCGCUCCUCGCCACCACCGGGAGUGUCGCUCUCUCCCUCCCUUUUGAUCUACAAUCUCGGUUAUGUGUUUUUGAGAUGUAGAGAUAGAGGUUGCGAGCUUGGAGCUGAUUUGUUGUAGAUUGGUGCAAUCAUUUUUUCUUGCCGACGUCGUCCCCACUCUCUCGGUUUCGGACUCAUCUGAACGGGAUGGAGUCUCGAAGCUUGCAUCUUCCUCGUGGGGACCGGUGAAGCUCGGCGGGUGCAACCGGGUUGAGUCUCUUCAGAUCUCUAUCCUUGCUUCCUCAUAUCUCGUGGUUUGUGUUCUAGUCUUUCCGGCUUUGAUUUUCUUUUUGCAAUAGCGGGUUUGUUCGCUGCUGGUGUUCAUCAUUGUUGCGUACCAUGGUGAACCUGGUCAUGGCUGUGGUGAUUCGUCGUCUCUUUGGUUAGGGCCUUAUAUUUAUGGAUUUGUGUUUAAUCGAGCCUUCUGACGGGUUCACUAAAAUGAUGCUAGUCUUCGUUGAUGUGUUCUAUCCGGGUUGUGCUCAUGUUCGUUUCAUCUCGGGUAUUCCCUCUACUUUCGUUUGAAAGAUUAUUUGGUGGUUCUUCUUGGUUCAAGACUGUUCGACAGGCUGGUGGUGCUCUCGUUCUGCUCCGCUGCUUCGUGCUAGGUCCAGUCUCUUAUUGGUUCAAGCUUGUUCGAUAUUAUACGUCAACCGUUUGUUGUUAUAGGUUAUAUGAAUUGCACUUGUGGCUUCACCGAGAUCUAUGAUUAUCUUGGGAUGAGGGUUAAACAAGAGAUUCAUAUUUACCUUUUCUCCCAUCAGUUUGUGCUGACUGGGAAGCAACUCUUUACUCCAUGAAAUAUUCCCGAGACCUUUGAAAUUGUCUCAGUAAUCUGGUAGUGUACUAUGCUAUGGAGAUAACAAGUAAUGUCUCCUUUGGUUACAGCUUUGAGCAAGCUGGAUUUGAAGACGAGAUGCCAUGGAAUUGGUCCACAAAAUCCAGUAUGUUUUUUUUUUUUGAAACUGGCUUUCGUAUUUAAUUGCAGGAGAAUAAAACGUUUACAGCCUAAGCUUAGUGGAGAGCAAGUGCCCAAUAGAAAAGAUGAAAGAACCCAAUUAAACCCAAGUGCCCAAGAUGGUAAGACCCAUUAAGUAAAAGCCCAGAAGCAGUUUGUGAUGGGAGAGAGUAAUGGAAACGUCAGGAUUUAUUAAGACCGCUGGAACCAAGCUUGCAUCAUCUCAGAAGCGACGAUCGCGUUUGAUUGCCGUAGAGAACCAAUCUUAUUUCGAAUCUGCCGGUCAAUAGUUGUGUAGAUCGUAUCCACAGAUCGGAAGGUACCCGCAUGCAGUCUGGUGUUUCGCUCGUUCCAAAUCCAAUAUUGUGUUGAUUGCCAAGCAAGCAGAGCAAGCGACUUCAAGGCUCGAGGUAGAGAUAGAGCGACCAUUUGGUUUAGGGAGGCAUUCUAGUCACGAGAAGGAGAUAUGCCACAUCUCAGCGCAACUCGGUUCCAUAGAUCAAAUGAGAAGCUACAUUCCCAAUAGAGGUGAUUGCGUGAUUCAGCGCUAGAGUUACAUAAGAGGCAGAGAGGGCUUACUGGUAGACCCCAUCCAAUCAUUCGAUCACGAGUUGGCAAUCGGUCUAGUGUCGUUAACCAGCAAUGGAAGUUUUGUCGAGGAAUGCUUUUAGAGGGCCAGACCGCUUUUGUCCAAGGGACAGCUGGGAAUUCACCUCUCAGGUAGUGAUAAACCUCCCCUGUUUUGAAUUCUUCACUGACUUUCCCUUCAAUUACCCACUCGUAGUAGUCCGGUUGAGAGUUAAGUUGGACAGUUGUGAUGAAUGCCAGGAGGUUCAGUUGCUCUUCAGAUCUUGCGUUUGGGAGGAGCCAGGAUCCGUUCCUGUUCAGAGAAGCAACAGUGGCGUUACGGUUGAUGCCUAGUCUUGAAACCAAGGCCCCUAGGUAAGUGUCAAGAGAGCCAAAAGGACUCCAGUUGUCAAACCAAAACCGCCCCGAUCGCCCAUUCUGGAUCUGAAGUCGGAUGAGUGGAAACACCACACUCUUGAGCUUAAGAAGUUUGUUUGAAAGCCAGGAGAAGGAAGUCUUUGGGUUUGUGGACCAGUAGUUAUGUAUAGAGCCUUGAAGCACAACCUCCUUGAACCACGUUAUCCAGACAGAGUCUGGUCUGAAGAACAAAAGCCAUAUCAGCCGUAAACAGCAUGCAAGAUUCCAGGUCUGUAAAUCCUUUAUCCCAAGUCCUCCCUGCUCUUUAGUCAACACGGCAGUACUCCAAGCAACUCUUGCUGAAUUAUGGUUCUCAACAUCUCCCUUCCACAAAAAGGUACUGCACAUAGAGUUAAUUUUUACAAUACACGCUUUUGGCAAGAUAAAAGCCGAACACCAGAAAGUAUUAAUCCCUGCUAUUACGGUUUUGAUUAGUAGGUGCCGCCCCGAGAAGGAUAGAGACUUGACAGACCAAGAGGAGAACUUUGCUUUUAUUUGUUGGAGUAGUGGCUCACAAUUGGUCAGAGAGAGCUUCUUUGAGCACAGAGGCACACCUAGAUAGCGCACCGGUAAGGUCCCACAAACCAUACCUGUCGAGGCUUGAAUGGUACUGACUUCUUCAUCAGAAAGCCCUGAAGCAAAAAAAACUUGUCUUCUGCAUGCUUACAACCAGGCCUGAUCUUUCUUCGAAGUCACGAAGUACUUGGAGAACACACUGCACAGAUUCGAUCGAGCCAUCUGUGAAAAUUAAAAGAUCAUCUGCAAAAGAAAGGUGCGUUAACUUUGUCUUUCUGCACUUAGCAUGAUAUCCCAUUCGAUUUUGCUCUGCCACUUUGUUUAGCAUGUGAGAUAAGCAGUUCAUUGCAAUAACAAAGAGAUAGGGAGACAUAGGAUCUCCCUGCCGCAGCCCCCUUUUGCCUUUAAAAUACCCGUUCACUGUGCCAUUAUACCCUAACAUGAAGCUGGGUGUACAAAUGCAGGCUUUAAGUCUUCUGAGAAACUGAGCGGGCAUGUGCAAUCCUUCCAAACACGCGAAGAGAAAGUCCCAAGAGAGGGUGUCAAAUGCCUUUGCAAUAUCGACUUUAAUGGUAAUUCUCUUACUCCCUUUGUUCUUGUGGUAGCCAUUAACAAGCUCACUAGCUAGUACCAAGUUCUCUACGAUUAAUCGCCUUUUUACAAAAGCAGUCUGCGAGGGGAGAAUUAAUUGUUGCAAUAUUGGCUUGAGUCUACGCACUAGUAAUCUUGAAAUCAGCUUGUAGAUAGUGUUUAAGCAGGCGAUGGGUCUGAACUCAGUUAUUUUUGUUGCUCCCGGAAACUUUGGAACUAAAGUCAAGAUUGUUGCGUUAGCCGUUGCAGGGAGAAACCCGGAGACAAAAAAAGUGUUUUACAGCUCCUAUCACUUCAUCGCCUAGCACUUCCCACGCCGCUUUAAAGAAGCCCGAAGUAAGCCCAUCAGGACCAGGGGAUUUGUUGGGGUUCAAUUUGAACAUGAGGGACCUGAUCUCGUCAGAGGAAGGGACGGUCUCCAUCAACAGAGCUUGGUCACUUGAUACACGAUAAGUUUGCAGCUCAUGAAACCAACGGGCGUCAGUAGAGGUAGGGGAGCGAAAGAGAACCAUGGGGGCCAAGACGGAUUGAAAAUGGGCCAGAGCAUGCAUACUCAUCUCCAUUGGAUCAUAGAUCCAGUCUCCCGCAUCAGUGAGGAACGCACGGAUAGCGUUAAUGGAAGCUCUAACUUGACAUAUGCGAUGGAAGUACGAAGUGUUCAAAUCCCCCUCUGUCAACCAGUUUAUCCUUGACUUUUGCCUAAAGUAAGCUUCUUCUAUUUCACGCAGGAACAACCAUUUUUGAUGGAGGUCUCUUUCUUCUUGGAAAGUCUGAGGAGUUGGAUCAGCCAACGCCCUUACCUGCACAUGUUUAAGCAAACUGUAAGUGUCAUUAACCCUCUCCUGAAUCUGUGAGUAGUUCUCUCUGUUUAAUAGUUUUAAGUCUCUCUUUAUUUGCUUGAGCUUCCAACACAGUUGUGUUAAUGUUUGGCACAGACUUCCAGCAUGAAACCAGGCUUCUCGAAUCACCUCGGCGAACUUAGGGUGCUUGGUUAGGUAGUUUUGGAAUUUGUAGGGAUAGGUUCCAACUUUAGGGAGGGUAAAGGCUAGGUCAAGGAUACAAGGGGUAUGAUCAGAGGUUAAGGUAGGAUGGAAUGAAGCAACGGCUUGGGGCAGGGCAGAGAUCAGAGGGGAGUUUAUUAGCAACCUAUCAAGCUUCUUAGCAAUAGGAUCAGUAGGUUGCUUAUUAGUCCAUGUAUGGCAAGUACCCAAGUAUCGAAGAUCGAACAGGCCAGCCUGAGAAAGACAGUUUUGGAGCUCAUACAUCAGGGAAUCAGCGUAGCAGACUUCAGGACUAGAAUGCUCAUAGUGAUACAUGAUUUGGUUGAGAUCACCUCCCACAAUCCAACAAUUAUUAUCAAGAUCAUAAUCACUAUGAGUUUGAAGCAGUUCCACCCAGAGGUCUGAUCGAUCCUCACUAAAGUUCGAUGCAUACACCGCAGAGUAGUAAAGAGCAGGUUGGUUUGGUAGGGUGAUGACACAAGUGAUGCAUUGCCUGGACUGCCUAAGGAUUCUUACUUUCAAUGGGUCUCUCCAUAUCAAGAUUAUACGGCCAUCAGGGUCUGAUAGGUGAUUUGAAAAGUGAUUCCAUCCCGGGCAGAGUAAUGAGAUAAGAGGGUUUAGAAAAGGUUCUUUUACAUGAGUUUCUAAAAGGGCAACAAAAAGAGGUUUAUGAGAAGAAAGCCAGUCUAUAAAGGGGUUAUGUUUUGCCGGGUCAUUUAGACCACGAACAUUCCAAAAAGAGAGUUUAACACUCAUUAAGAAGCAAAAGUAGGACCCUCAGAAGGAGGGGAUCCCAAAGAGCCAAACAAAAGGUUAGAGGAGUUCACAGGGCCAGGGGAAGGGUCAGGUGUUAAAAACAUAGAGUUAGUGGGGGGGGGGGGGGGUUUGUGGAAAGCGAAAGGGGGCCAGGGACAGAUAGGAGAUCUGGUGGAGCGAAAGGAUUGGGUUUUAGCGAGAGGGGUGGAGAGAGGGUUGGAGAGGAGCGGGAUCUUUUUAGAGAAGGUCGAGGUGGAGGGUCAGGAGAAGAAAAGGAAUUGGGUAGAAGAGGCAGGGCAGCUAAAGAAGAGAGAGCAGUAAAAGGAUGAAGGUUCUGGUUUUGGGUUUUUUGAGGGGUUUUGUUUUUCUUGAGAGCCCAGCGGGUAGAAGAUUUAGAAGGACCCACGACAAUGAAAGGAAUUUCUGGUUGAGGUUGGGAGAAGGUUACAGGCUUAGAGAUAGGGGGUUUGGCCAAAUUUUGGGAAGUUUUUGUGAGGUUUAGAGCUGGGUUAGGGGUAGUUUUAGGGAUAGGAGACGGGACAGAGGAGGAUGAGGAUGGGAUAUCAUUUGAAGGAGGGGUUUCUUUAGGAGGAGGGGUAUAAGUUAAGCAGUUUCUAACAAUGUGACCAAGUUCAUGGCAGUAUGAACAAGUAGGAGGAACCCACGGGUAAUGGACAGAGACCUCAACCACUUCUCCACUCUGCCUUUCAAAUUCAACAAUAUCAGGCAGAGGCUGAGUCAGAUCAACUUCAACCUUUACAUGAGAGACGGUGAGAUUGAUCAAGUUUCGAGUGAAUUCAUCAGUCUCUUUGGGAUGACCUACAAGCCCAGCGACCAGACUGAGUCCUUGCGUAUGCCUGAGAUCAAGUGGAACUCCAGUAAGAUGAGCCCAUAUCUUAAUUGCUUUGGGAGGGGGGGUUGCCUUUGAGUGCCUGAAGUCCACUGUGCAGUAUGAAACAUAGUAUCUCCUACGUACCACACACACUUAUCCAGUAUGUUGGUUGGAUCUUUUUCUAAUAUGGAUUGUUGUUUUUUGCUUGGUUGAGCUUUACUUAUAUCACCUACUGGUGAGUGUCUGUUACUCCUGUUUUGAGUUUGUACUCUCGGAACUUUGUCCAGGAAAUGUUUGAAUUAAACAGUGUUAAAAAAAUGUUUUACUUUUUAAACUGGAGAGCAUAUAAUAUAAUGUCAGAAUAAUAUCUUAUCUUAGAAUAUCAGUGUCUGGUGUUUCUAUUGGCUGUUGACAUAUUUUUCUGGUGCUUAGAUUUUUUGUUCGCUUACGUGGUAACUGUGGGUCCGUUGUAAAAAAUCUUGUAACGUUUGAGGAGAUGGUUAAGCAUCCAUUCAUAAAAUGACACGUAUAAGGCUUGAUCUCUCUAUCUUGUUGAAAUCCUGAGAGAAUCACUUAUGAAAUACCACAUGUAUAUCAUCACAUUGUUAUUGAAUCUUUCAUAUAACAAUUUAUAAGAUUAAAUGACGACACUUGGCUAGAGAGACAGACGAAUGAAAAAAGAGUAGAUAAAGUAAAAGCAAGAUAUUUAUCUCAGCACAUGCAGAAAACCUCAAAAACAUUACAUUAAUACAUUCACAAAAGAAAUAAUACCAUUAUCACAUCCGGUGUUGAGAUAUUCAUCAAAAGAAGACGAAAUAAUGAAUGUUAUAUAUUUUAUUAACAGCUUUUCAUAAGGUUAGUGUAUGAGUGUUAGCAUAAAAUGGAGUCCACAUAUGGUUAAAGCCCCUAACCAAAAGAGAAUUAUGAAAAGUUAUUUGAUAAACAUGAUACUAAAAAUUAUUUAAUUAAAAAAAAUUGUAAAAAUAGUAGUGAUACAAAUUGUAAAAAUUGUAAUUUAAUUUUUUAAUAGUAACUAUAAAUUACUAUUUUGAUAGUAAUUUAAUUUUCUGAAAUUCUAAAAAGAAGAUAAUUUUAUGAGAUUUUAUGAUAGUAAUUUUUCUUUCCUAAAAUCAUUAAAAAAUGUAAAAGAGUAUUUGGUAGUAAUUUUAUUUUUUUUAAUUCUAAAUAAUUAUAAAAUUGAACAUUUUCAUUUUUUUAAUCCUAAUUUAAAAAAAAAAUUAUUUAUAAUAAAUUAGCAAAAAUCAAACACAUGUUUGAUAUAUAUUUUUGUGUUUGGUCACAAAAAUAGAUUAUUAUUAUUGUUACUGUAAGUGAUCUCUAUAUGUGUUUGAUCAAAAACAAAUCAAGCUUCAUCAUCUUAUUACAUUUCUUUACUAUGUAGUAUUUUUUCUAAUCCAUUUUAAUUAAAAUAUUAUUAUGGAAAUAUAUCAUUAAAAAGUAAUGGAUGAAGAAAAUUAUUUAACAUUGGAUUAGUUUAAUAAAACGGCCUUAUUGUUACUAGAAAAUGUGAAGCAAGUAAUUUGAAAAUAAUAAUAAAGCACACACAGGAAAAACUACAAAUCUAAAAUGGAAAAAGUAGAAUUGCUUGAAUUACUAUAACUUGGAUACCAUUUUUAAUACUACCUUAAAAAAUACCAUAAUAUUUUCGUUUAUAAUUUAUUGAUUAUUUUGAAAGUUUAAUAUUUUGUAGGUGGGAUUGAGUUUAUAAAAUUAUAUAAAGUUUGAAAAUUAUAUAUAUUAUAUUGAAUAUCGUAUAUUUAAAAUAAAAUUAGAAGAAAAUCUUAGUUACCUCCAAGAUUGUGUCUUCUUCAUCAUUAUUACAAUAAAAUUAUGAUCAGCCAAAUUUUUAUAGAAAAAAAUAUCGUUAUAAUUUUCACUCAUUUUGUUUUGUUUGCUAACUAAAAUAUUACGUACUGGAAGGGUGGUUAUUAGGGAGAGGUUUCAAGUAGGUUCGAUUUAUGGAAACCGAGGGUUUGAUUGAUUUCAAAUUUUAAUCAAACCAAAACAGUAGACUCGCAAUACAAAGCACAUUUGCAGGAAAAGAAGAACCCUAAUUUCCAAACCCAAAUCCUGUCAUCCCAGAAGUUAUGUUUGGAGCAAGAAGAUUGUUGAAUUUGAGGAAAUUAUCUUCAUCUCAUCAGGAAGAACUGAGAUCUGACGUGUCAAAAGCAGUCGAGGUCUCCAAUGAAGCAGAGGUCGCUAUUAGAGGCCAUAUGAUGGUUGUUGAGUCAAGACAUAAGAGUUUGAGCUUUAUCUACUCUUCUCUGAGUAGUUAAGCAAAGCAGUGGUUGAUGGUGCUUUACCUGGCACACUAGGUUCAGAGACCUCAGUAACACACUGGCUCUGAAUCCAGUAGUCUUGGAAGCAGGCGAAAAAACAAAUGUUGCUACUCAAAUUGUCUCUCAUCUGCUAAGACGCACAGCAUGAGCUGUUAGGCUAUGAAUUGGUAGAAAAUUAGUUUGGCUCAGAAAUGUAGCAGUAAGGGUUUCUCCUCUUCUGUCACCUGCUCCUGACCAAGAAGCUUUCAACCAACUAGACAUUAUUGUCAUAGGUGUGGUCUUGGGUUGGUGGUUCUUCUACAGGGCCACUUGAAGGUGAAAGAGUUCUCUCCCAAAAACGUGAAGGAUAUGUUGUUAAUUGGGUAUACAUACAACAAAGUUCUAGCAGAGGAGAAGAAAUCUAAAGCUGAGGAAACGGCUUACGAAAAAUCUUGGGAAAUGGCUGAGGAGAAAUCUGAGGUUGUGGCAAAGAAGGAUGAGUAAUUCCAAUGGGGGAGUAACUUGGAAAGUAGUUGAAUAAGUAUCAAUCAGUUUCCACCUUUGUAUCGAGUAGAGUCUAGUUGUAUCAUAUUUUUGAAAUAGCAAGACAUUCAGUGAGGCAGAAAAAGAAAAAAAUGAUGAAUAAAUAAAAAAUGAUUUUGCUUUUAAAAUAAGAGAAAAAAACAAACAUCAAUGAGGUAAACUUAGACUGAUAUACAAUAUUGCACAAAUACCAUGAUGCAAUAAAACUUUUAAGUGAAGUAUUCAUUAAACAUUAUAACAUGUAAUUAUAUAUCGUAACACGUUACACUAAACAUGAAAGUUGUGUAACAACAUUGUAAUUCUUAAAAGAGGAAUUAUAAUACUAUGAAACCGUAUCAAUAUUGUCUUGAAAAUGACUUAAACCACAGUUUUUACUCAAAGUUAGUGCAUUUGAAAAUGAGAAAUGUAUAAUUUCAUAUGUAUGACAACUCACUUCUUUGUUUUUUUCCAGCAAGAGUAAUGUUUGAUGCUCAUGGAAGAUUUUAAUAGUGCAAUGGAAACAUUCAAAAUUGACUUGGAGCAUGAUCUACUCAAUAACGCGCUUUUGAGAGGUGUUAAAAAAGUAAUUGCUUUUAUAAUUACCUAUGUUAUGUGAGAAUCAAUUUUUUGAACUAAAUGUCUAUUUGUCGUUUGUGCAGAUGCGUCGUCAACAAAAGCACCACAUAGAUCUCUAGGAUUUGUCGAAAGUGUAAAUAUCAUUAGUCAUUUCAAGAUAUGUAUAUACCUUUUAUGUAUAAAUAUUGGUGUGAACAAUUAUGCCGAAGAUGCAAGCGAGACUACUUCGAUUUAUCUCGUUGGUGAAAACUGGGUUUCAACGUUACUUGUGACUAACUUUCAGUUGUCCGACUUUGUCGUGAAGCUUUUAUCUACGCAUUCAAGCUUUGCUUUGAAUUCGUUGUCAUCUUCUUACGAAUACCUAUCUAUUUUAGCUUUGUUUGCUUAUGUAGUUUAUGCUUAUAAUCAAAGAGGAUGUUUGAUUCCCUCUAGUAGUACGGUUGUACCCAAAAACAUUGAAGUUUAAUGAAAUUAAGUUGUGUUCAAAAAAAAAAAAACAAUCAUGCCGAAGAUACUUCAAGGUUUUGAAGAAUUAUUGGUCGACAUUUGAUACUCGAACAUAUUAGUAUUUCUUUGGUCUUUACAUUUCGAUAGAACAUUAAAAGAUCCAAGAGUUUCAAGAUAUCCAUUAGAAUUUUCAGGUAACUGAAUAAUGUAUCAACGGAAACGAUGCUUCUGGACGCUGUAAAUUGGUAAAAGUCAAGGACUUACAAUUGAAAUAUCGGUGUUAAUAAUUCACACAAACUGAAGUUAUUUUUGCAAAGUCCCAAUGGUAGUAGUGUUACCGUUAUAAAGUAUACGACAACUCAUACAACUUGUGGUCUAAAAAUGUUUUGGCUGCGAUAUGAAAGAAUCAAAGCAAAAUCUAGUGGACUAGAGAGGCUGCCACAUAAGAUCAAUAAAACGAUAAACAAGAAUCUCAAUACCCAAUGAGUAAAGAGAUAAAUAUUACUUCACAGAUAACAAACCUUACUCACAAUAUCUCUAUUUAAUCCAAACAUAUCCUAACGUUUUCAAUCACUCUCACUCACAAGUUAGUCACCAAAAAAAAAAAAAAAAAAAAAACGUCAAUGGCCUCUUCAACAAUGGCUCUCUCCUCCCCUGCCUUCGCCGGAAAGGCCGUGAAGCUUUCUCCUGCAGCAUCAGAAGUCCUUGGAAGCGGCCGUGUGACAAUGAGGAAGACCGUCGCCAAGCCAAAAGGACCAUCAGGCAGCCCAUGGUACGGUUCCGAAAGAGUCAAGUACUUGGGUCCUUUCUCUGGCGAGCCACCGAGCUACCUUACCGGAGAGUUCCCAGGAGACUACGGAUGGGACACCGCCGGCCUCUCAGCCGAUCCCGAGACAUUCGCAAGGAACCGUGAGCUAGAAGUUAUCCACUGCAGAUGGGCCAUGCUUGGAGCCCUAGGCUGUGUCUUCCCGGAGUUGUUGGCCAGGAACGGAGUCAAGUUCGGAGAGGCGGUUUGGUUCAAGGCCGGUUCACAGAUCUUCAGCGAAGGAGGACUUGACUACUUGGGCAACCCGAGCUUGGUCCACGCUCAGAGCAUCUUAGCUAUUUGGGCCACUCAGGUGAUUCUCAUGGGAGCUGUUGAGGGUUACAGAGUCGCCGGAGAGGGACCAUUGGGAGAAGCAGAGGACUUGCUUUACCCAGGUGGCAGCUUCGACCCAUUGGGUCUUGCUACCGAUCCAGAGGCUUUCGCCGAGUUGAAGGUGAAGGAGAUCAAGAACGGAAGAUUGGCUAUGUUCUCUAUGUUUGGAUUCUUUGUUCAAGCCAUUGUCACAGGUAAGGGACCGUUGGAGAACCUUGCUGACCAUUUGGCUGAUCCAGUCAACAACAACGCUUGGGCCUUCGCCACCAACUUCGUUCCCGGAAAGUGAGCGAAGUUUUAUUUUGUAAUUUGCUUCUGUCUUUUUGAAUUCGAGUGAGAGUGAGGAAAGGGUUUGUGUUUGUGAUGGAUGGUUAAGACUUUCAGAUGUAAAAUUUGUCAGUCUGUUUGAUUCUGUCAUUAAUUAAAUAACUCGUUUCUCUUAACUUGUGUUGUGUGAUAACCAAAAUGGUUUAUGUUCAUUCAACUGCAGCCAUUAAGCAAAUUGAUGCAACAAUACACAAGUUUAAAGCCUUGAUGGGUACGAGCAUUAUGUCCUUGUGUUCUGUAAUAAACUAAAAUGGCGUGAGCCUACAGAAAAUGCGACUCUUGUUGGCAACGAAUUCAAACUAAAUGUUUAACAAAUUUUACAUAUUCAACGAAUAUAUUUCGUGCAGCAUUAUUGAAUUUGAGAUGAAUCUGAUAAAAACAAAGACCUGCAUGUCACAAGGACGAAGCUGACUAACAAAUGACACCUACCAUAGCGUUUCACAAAUUAACCUUUGAAGAUUAUUCAUAGAAAUGCUCAUAAGUAAACAAAAUCCGUUAAACAUUUAACUGAAAUCGCAAUGGUUCCACACACAAACGAUCAAACAUAGAAAUAAAAAACUCAACUCAGACGAGCAAAGAAGAUUCAUUCUUAACCUCAAAGAAGUCCUGAAGAGCAGUCAUUUUAAUAGCACUUGACUUCAAGCUCUUGAUUCCCUCAGCAGUGGCCAAUGCUCCAGCCACAGUGGUGAUAACCGGGACCUUGUAGGCUAAAGCCAUUUGUCUCAGCUGCCUCCCAUCCUUCUGAUCAAGAGCAUCGCCUGAGCUUGUGAUCAACAUCAGAUGAAUCUGACCAUUAGCCACCAUAUCAGCAGCAUGUGGCCUUCCUUCAUGCAACUUCAACACUCUCUCCACAGGAAUGCCUUUCAGUUCCAGGAAAUGAGCUGUCCCCGAGGUAGCAACGAUCUUGAACCCGAGGUCGAGGAAGGACACCGCGAUUUUCUCCAGGUGAGGUUUGGUCAUAUCGUUUAAGCUAAGGAAGACUGUGCCUGUUAAAGGCAGCUUCUGACCUGCAGCGAUCUGAGCCAUCGCAAAGGCGCUUGGGAACUCGGAACUGAUGCUCAUCACUUCCCCCGUGCUUCUCAUCUCUGGCCCGAGUAUCACAUCACAACCUUGGAACUUCUCGAAUGGGAACACAGCUUCUUUCACAGAGAUGUGUUUAGGGAUGACUUCUUCUUCAAAGUUGAGAUCUUUGAGUGAUUUUCCGGACAUGACCAGAGCUGCAUACUUGGCAAGAGGGUGUCCAAUGGCCUUUGAGACAAAAGGGACAGUACGUGAAGCUCGUGGAUUGGCUUCAAGCAAGAACACAUCUCCAGAUGAUGUGAUUGCGUACUGACAGUUCAUCAGCCCACAAACAUUUAGCUUCUUCGCCAACUUGGUGGUCCAUGACCUGAUCGUUUCCAAACAAGAAGAAGGGAUGGUCUGCGUUGGAAGCAUACAAGCAGAGUCACCAGAGUGCACACCAGCUUGCUCGAUAUGCUCCAUGAUCCCACCAAUCACAACGUUUCCAUAGGAAUCAGUGAGAGUAUCAACAUCGAUCUCAAUGGCAUCAGAGAGAUACCUAUCUACCAAAACAGGUCUCUCUGGGUCAACUUCAACAGCAUUCUCCAAAUAGGUUAUAAGUUUACUGUCAUCAUACACAAUCUCCAUUGCUCGUCCACCAAGAACAUAAGAAGGCCUCACCACAACCGGGUAGCCUAUCUCCUUUGCAAUGGCUAAUGCAUCAGAUUCGCUCUUCGCAAUGCCUCCCUUGGGCUGCUCAAUUUUCAGCUCGUUGAGAAUCGCAUUGAACCUCUCUCUGUCUUCAGCAGCGUCAAUGGAGUCAGGGGACGUACCCCAGAUGCGAACGGGCCCCUCACCACUCAAGCUCAUGGGCUUGUGCUUGUCCAGAUAGUUUUUGAUUGGGAGAGCAAGCUUCAGAGGCGUUUGACCACCGAACUGCACAAUUAUGCCAUCAGGUUUCUCAAGGUCAAUAACAUUGAGAACGUCCUCGAUCGUGAGGGGUUCAAAGUAGAGCCUGUCGCUUGUAUCAUAAUCGGUUGAUACCGUCUCAGGAUUUGAGUUCAACAUGAUAGUCUCAUAUCCAGCAUCCUGCAAUUAAAAAGUUUAAAAUAAUCUGUAAGUAAUUUCCAGCAAAACAGGACGCUUAGAUCGAUCAUCUAACAGACCUGUAAGGCAAAAGAUGUGUGGCAACAGCAGUAAUCAAAUUCAAUCCCUUGGCCAAUACGGUUUGGCCCUCCGCCCAAAAUCAAAACCUUCUUCUUGGUGUUUGGUGCUGACUCGCACUCAAAAUCAUACGACGAGUACAUGUAAGGUGUGUGCGCUUCAAACUCUGCUGCACAUGUAUCCACUCUCUUGUAAGAUGGAACAACUCCUAGAGAGAUCCUCUUGGUACGGACUUCUUCCUCUGUUGCCUUUGUAGCAAAGGCUAUUUGCUUAUCACUAAACCCUCGCUUCUUGACUUCGUAGAGGUCUUCCUUUGUGAUCUCCGACAAGGGUGGUCCAGACAUUAGAUACUGUUCCACGUCCACGAGCUCUUUAAGCUGGGUCAGGAACCACUUGUCUACCAUGCUCAACUCAUGGAUUUCAUCAACCUUCAUACCCUUCUUCAUGGCAGCGUAUAUGGCAUGGAUCCUGUCCGGAUUUGGAACUCUAAGGCUGUAUUUUAGCUGAUCCCAGUCCCAGUUUAGCUCUUUAAUCUUUGCACAGCCCCAUCCUGAGAAUCCCGUCUCAAGAGACCUCAGAGCUUUCUGGAAUGAUUCUUGGAAUGUGCGACCUAGAGCCAUGGAUUCCCCAACAGACUUCAUCUGUGUCGUCAGCAAGGGUUGAGAUCCUGGAAACUUCUCAAAUGCAAAUCUAGGAAUCUGCAUUACAAAGAAACAGACCAAAAAAAGAACCGAGCAAAAUAAUUAUUAACUUUGAACUGGAUAUUAUUGAAUAAAACUUCAAAGUCCAGAGCAUCUCAUAACGCAACAUAGAAACAGCUAAAGAAAGAAAUAAAAUAAGUAUUGACUUUGAACUGGAUAAUUACGGUGUAAAUCUUCAAAGUAAAGAGCAUCUCUCAUUACGCAAACAUAGAAACAGCCAAAAGCAAGCACAAGAAAGAGACAGCAAACCUUUGUGACAACAUAAUCGAUGGAAGGCUCAAAACUCGCAGGCGUUUUCCUAGUGAUGUCAUUAGGAAUCUGAUCCAACGUAUACCCAACAGACAGCUUCGCCGCCAUCUUAGCAAUGGGGAACCCUGUAGCCUUGGAAGCAAGAGCAGAGGACCUCGAGACCCUAGGGUUCAUCUCAAUGAUCAUCACUUCACCAUCAGCAGGGUUCACAGCAAACUGCACGUUAGACCCACCGCACUCAACACCAAUCUCCCUAAUAAUCGCAAUGGAGUAAUCCCUCAGCCUCUGGUACUCCCUAUCCGUCAGGGUCUGCGCAGGCGCCACGGUGAUGGAGUCACCAGUGUGCACACCCAUAGGGUCAAUAUUCUCAAUGGAGCAUAUAAUAACAACAUUGUCAGCCAAGUCUCUCAUGACCUCAAGCUCAUACUCUUUCCAACCAAGCAAAGACUUCUCCACAAGAACCUGACUCGUCACGCUCGCGGCCAAACCGGCUUUACAGAUGGACUCAAACUCCUCUCGGUUAUACGCAAUGCCGCCACCUGUCCCACCUAAGGUAAACGCGGGCCUGAUAAUCAAAGGGAACUCGCCGAUCCUCUCGGCGAUGUCGAAACACUCGUCGAGAGUGUUGCCAAUCCCGGAAGGCGGAGUCUUUAGCCCGAUGCUCUUCAUCGCCUCCUUGAACAGCUCGCGAUCCUCCGCCUUCUUGAUGGCAUCAAGCUUGGCUCCGAUCAGCUCGACGCCGUAUCUCUCCAGGGCCCCGCUCUCUGCUAAAGCAACCGCGAGGUUUAACGCUGUCUGGCCGCCCAUGGUCGGUAAGAGAGCGUCGGGCCUCUCCUUGGCGAUGACCUGCUCGACGAGGUCGGGAGUCAUGGGGGCGAUGUAAGUGCGGUUAGCUGUUUCCGGGUCGGUCAUGAUGGUGGCGGGAUUGGAGUUGAUGAGAAUGACUUCGUACCCUUCUUCUCUUAGGGCUUUGCAAGCUUGGGUUCCCGAGUAAUCGAACUCGCAGGCUUGUCCGAUUACGAUCGGGCCCGCGCCGAGGAUCAUGAUUUUCUUCAGAUCGGUGCGCUUCCCGACGAUCUCCGGGGAGAAAGGUUGGGUCUUUUCGUCGGGGGUGGAUGAGUUGAGGACGCGGGUGACGACGGAGGAGGCUUUUCGAUUGAGGCAUGGGAGGAGGAAGGUGGAGGAGGGAAGUCUGGGUUUGGCUCUGUAGUUGAUGGCGGAGCGGGAGAGGAGUCUGGGGUUGGAGAGCUUGGAGGAGGUGAAGAUGGAGGAGUGAUUGGGGGAGAGGUGUAAGCAAUGGUUGCUGCUCAUUUUCGCUAUCUUCUUCUUCCUCUCUUCUCUGCCUGCUUUUGGUUGGUGUCGGCUUCUGCAGUGGAGAGAGUGAAGACGUGAAAGGGUUUUAGGGUUUCUCCGAUUUUUUUUACUUUUAUUUUUUAAUUUCUUUUUAUUGAUUAUCCACGAUUUCGGCAACGGAACAAUCAGUCGAAUACUUUACUGACUGCUUUAAUGGGAAUAUAUAUAUUUUUGGGGAAAGAAAUAAAUUUAUUAGACAAAUGGUCCUUUUUAUAGUCAGUCAGAUUAUUAUUAUUAUGACAUUUGUUUAUCCACCUAAUCACCUAUUACACUCCGACAUAUUGAGUAAUGUUUUCCUAGUUUUUUUUAAUUUAUUAAUAUGUAGUUUUUAUUUUCAAAUUUGGAAGAUAUUUCUCUAUUUUGUUGACAAUAUAUUUCAAUUUACUGGAAAAAAAAUCUGUCUUAUUAAAGUUGAAGUAUAUUUUUUAAAUACCCUUUAAUUCAUCUAAAUAUUUACAAACUCCUGCCAUUGCCUUAAUAAUAAAUUAAUAACUAUCUAUUUAAAAUUAUCAUUAAUUAUCUAUCUUAUUCAGAACAUACUCCUUAAUAUUCUUUAACUGAUGAAAUGAAAGAUUUUGCAUAUGAUGCACCAGAUUCACUCCUAAAUAACCAUCUUUCUUUAUAAUUUUUAAAACAGUGCUAUCAAUUUUAAGUAUAUAAAAGAAAUACUUACAACUAUUAAAUAUUUUAAGGUUACAAUCUCCCCAUAUCAAUCUAUUAAAUACAAUAUUAAAUUUGCAAGCUGGUCACUUAUUUAACUGAUUUUAAAUUUGCCCCAAAAUGUAAUUUGACCCAAUAUAGCAUAUCAAUACAUAGAUCUAAUCAUAUUUAUAAUUACAUAACUCAUCCAACACAUAUCUAAUAAGAAAAAUAUAUCACAUGAUCCAGUAAUACAAUAUAUGGUCUCAACGAUACACUAAAGUAAUACAAAUGCAACUACUAAAUUGUUGUGUUUAGAAAUAUCUAUAUAUCUAUCGUAAAAUAAACAUUCACGAAUGUGCAUGAGUUAGUUUUAAAAUUAUUUAUUUUCUUUUUGUAUAUGGAAAAUAAGAUUGAAGAGAUUCAUGGAACCAACUAUAUGUUGGUUUAGCAGUAAAAAUCUGUCUAGUAGACAUAUCACCAUUUGAGUUCAAUUCUCGUUAGGAGAUACUAUUUAUAUUACUUCAGCUUCCAACAUAUUGUUGAAAUAUAUUUUUCUUAUUAAAAAAAGACUCAUGGAUUUAGGGCAUCUCUUAAGAUUGGUUUCAUUUUUAUUUUUCAGAGUUCACUUUUAUAAAAAAAAAUGAAAUAACAUUUAUUUCAAUGGUUUUUUUUUUAUUUUCUGUAAAAAGAAUAUUCUAACUAUAUUCUAUCUCCAAUAAUUAUUAGUUAUUAAUUACAUUUGUACUUUUUCAUAUUUAUAAAUGUUACUCAAUUAUUAUUUUACCAAUAAUCUAUCACAAUUAGAGUUUAAUAUAUAUUAAACAUUAUCAUUUAAUAAAAUUAUUACAUAACACAAGAAACAAACAAAGAAUAUCAUAUUUUAGAAAGAAAAUAUUUUUCUAUGAGUUAACAAAAGUGUUUUGAAAUAAAAAUAUGAGACUAUUUAUCUUUGAUUUUUCUUAAUCAAGCUAAAUAGUCAAAAUUUAUUGGGUAAUUAAUAUUAGAUGAAAACAAUAGUCAAAAAUUUUGAAAUUGAUUGGGUAAUUAAUAUUAUAUAAUUUAUGGUGACAAAAUAAAAAUAACUAAAAAUUAAGAAUCAAUUUAUAGUUAAAAUUUUAUCUUAUAAAAUUGAAAACGUGAACGAUAUAUUUUUAAAUUUGAAGAUAUAUUGUUUAUUGCUUUGUUGAAGCAAGAAAUGAGGUAGAAUUGGAACAAAAGUUCUUUCAAAAUGAAGCAAAAAAGUGAAAAAUAAAAUAGAGUUGAGAUCACUACAAGAAAACAGGGGGAUUCUGAUGGCCAAAAUCGUCGGAUAUUCCGACGACUUUUCGACGACUACAACGGUUAUAUUGUUUAUCGGAUGUCGUCGAAAAGUCGUCGGAAUAUUCCGACGACCCUUGUUUUCUCGGAAGUUCGUCGGAAUUAGCCGACGGAAUUCCGACGACUUCAGAUUUUUUGUUUUCGUCGGAAAUCGGUCAGAAUUUCGUCUAAAUUGUCCGACGCCUGUGACGUCCGUCGGAAUCUCCGUCGGAAUUCGGCGUGUUUUCUUGUAGUGGAUGGUCUUACAUAUCAAUGUGGAAUCUCGAAAAAAAUAAGACCUUGAUAACAUUGAUAAACAAAAUGGAUACGUUUUAGAUAGAGUAUCUUAGAUUAAAAAAAUUCAAAAAUACAAAAAACACGAAAGAGAAGAGAAGCAGGUUCGCAUGCGAGAACUUUUAACACGAUUUUAAGUUUUUAACAAAUCUCAUAUGGCCGCAUAUUGUCUUUCACCAAUUAGAUUGACUUAAAAAAUAAAAAAUAAAAUUGAACUUUAGGUAAAAACAGAUUAAACUAACAAUAUUUUUGGUUUGAGAUAUCUAAAUUUAGUAUCAACCAUAAGGUUGCUCUUAAGUUUCUCGCAUAAACCGUGUAUUUUUUUUUUUAUUUUGUAUGGGUGACGUUUUUGGUUUAAAUUGUGUUAUUUCCCUCUGUCUCCCUCUCUCGAUCUUCUUGACUUGACAUAAUGUAGUGGUAGAUAAAUUUUUUAUUCAUUAGUAACUGAUCAUCUUUUUAUUGAGAAUAUUUAUUUAGUACAUUACUAUAGGUAGAAGAAGCUCUUUAUCGGUUGAGCAAGUAUAAAGAGUGAGAGACAUGGAGAUGAUCUUGAAGGGGGGGAAGUGUUUCAUGCAUCAGACAGCCUCUUCUUCUGACUCUGGGAAGAGAGGCUUGAGCGGAGGAAAUCUUGUUUGGCAAGGUUCUUGACUGUCCCGUUAAUGAAUCUCUGGUACCAUUUGCCAGAUUCUUUGAGGUUUCUAUCAUCGAGAUCGUCCCAAUUAACGUAACUGAGUCCAAAUCUGACGGUAAAGCCUUUACAGAAUUCGUAAUUGUCUCCAAGAGCCCAUGCAAAAUAACCUCUCACGUUGACACCCUUCUCCCUGAAAACAAGAACAAUCAUAUAUAUAUAUAUAUAUAUAUAUAUAUAUAUAUAUAUAUAUAUAUAUAUUACCAAAAAGAGAAGAAGUUGAUAAACAUUGGAAGAAAAGCAUCCAUAUAGUAGCAUUACUUACUUGAUGACCUUACGGAGAAAACAUAGAUGACUGCAGAGAUAAUCAAUUCGCUUGUAAUCCGCAAUAGCCUGCUCACGGUUUUCUGAACUGGGCGUACUAAAUCCUAAUUAAGCCGCCAUUGCAUGAAAAAUAUUACACAAUAUUUGUAAGUUAGUUUCUUGGACCAAUUUCGAAAAUACAAUAAUUGUAAAAUAACUUUUACAAUUAUUUUCAUUACUAUUCACCCUGCGGUAGAUUGAAUAUCGGUCUACUUUUGUGGUUACAUAAUAUUAUGCGUGGUAUAAAUGAAAAUAGAGGAGUAGUAGUAUGUAGAACUCACCGUUCUCGGUGACAUAGAUUAAAGGGUUGCCGUAGUUGGUUUUGAAGUAGUCCAUCACGUAAUAAAUUCCUUUUGGAUAGUAAUAGCUGUUUCCGUUAUCUUUGUCUUCAACGAACUGAGCAAGGGAAGCAAACAAAUAUACAUAUCAAUCACGAGAACAUAAUCAGUGGUGUUCUAUAUAUUGCAAAUAGAAUAAAAAAUGAAAGAGAUAUCAUAGGGGUGGUUCAUUCAUAUAUACCAGUGGACCAAGAAAUUCACCACGCGAAUUAUCAUCUGUAAACACAAGGAUGAAAUAAUUGAUACUCUCACAAAGUAUGUUAACAAAAAGAAGAAAAAAAAUAUAUAGAAAGGUCGUAACUAAGUAGUAAUAUUGUGUGGUACUUACAUGUGAGCUUUACACCAGCGUCCAUCAUGGCAGUGUGUGUCUCUGAAGGAUAUGGGUUAGGUUUCGGCUGGGCGUACUGAGUGACGUAAUAGUUGAGACCAAGAAAAUCAUAUGAACCGGCAACGAGUUGGGCUUCUUCCUCGGUAAAGUUGGGAAGCCUACUACCCACAAUCUGCCUCAUGAUGUCUGGGUAUCUACCCUUUGUUAGCGGCUCCAUGUACCUGAUCCAUGUAUAUUUUUCCAUUAUACAUACAUACAAAUACAGUAGAUACUGUUACAUUUUUGGUAAUAUAUAUAUAUACCAUCCAUGGAAGAAUUGGUUCAUCCUCUCAGCUGCUUCUAUGGAGGCCGGAUCAGACUCAUCAAAUGGAAGAAACCAUCUUGUUAUCAUCACAGGUCCAAUCUUCCCUUUUUGGAACUGUUGGUCACGUGAUAUUUACAUUAGAAUCAGAUAUGUUAGACACCACCUUAAUUUUCACAUAUGGAGACAGCAUUCACCUUAUAUUUGGUCCUGUAAAGAUCGACGACCGUGGCAUGAGCAAGAAGCUGGUUAUGUGCAACGAUAUAGGGUUCUGUUGAAGAAUUUCCGCCGUAACACCUGUGCUUAGUAUCAACCAUAGGAGAACAUCGACCGGGUGCAUCUGUUCCGACUGCAUAGCCUCUCGUAGGGACUGUGUAUAGCUGGUUGAUCGUGAUCCAGUGCUUUACCUUUCCACCAAAUUCUUUGAAACAUAGAUCGGCAUAAUCUUUGAAAUCUUGUCUGUGCAUAUUAAUAUAGAAUCAUUUCAGUAAUGCAUGUAACUAAAAUUAACCAUCUUUUUCUUCUCUUAUUAAUAAUAUAAGAAGCAUGUCACAAAUAUAAACAUACAUGAUCUGGCGGUCCAAGAAACCUUCGUACUCAUCUUGGAGUGUUUGAGGAAGGUCCCAGUGAAAGAGGGUAACGAAAGGAGUUAUAUUCUUUUCGAGGAGGGCGUCUAUGAGUUUGUGGUAGUAAUCAAGACCUCCUUGGUUCACUCCCCUACUCACCUUUCCUUCUGCUCAUGUAUAUAUAAAUCGUACAUUUAAAACACGUCCAACUAUAUAUAUACAUGUACUGAUCGAUAAUCUGUACGUACUUGGAAUGAUUCUCGACCACGCAAAGGAAAAUCUGUAGCCAGUAGCAUUUAGUUCGCCCAUAACGUCUACAUCUUUCUGCAGUUUCAUAUUUUGAUUGCAUCUCAAUCGGCACGUAGUUUGUAUACAUAGUUCAGUCAUGAGUAUCUACAAAUGUACUGAAGAAUUAACCUGCCAUCUCGUAUAUGACUCACAAGUAGUGUCUCCAUUCUUCAAAUCUGACCCUGAUUUCUCUGAUAGUAAUUACAAAUACAUUAAUAUGAGUACUUAUAACCAACAUUCCUGUCAUAUAUGAUAUAUAUAUAGAUGUCACCGUGCAAACGACAUACCUGGGUAUCGGUGACUGAAGCCAUCCCAAAUGUUAACACCACGACCUCUCCCUCCUUCGAUCUGAAAUGAAAAGAAACAACCAUGCAAAGUUAGAUAUUAUCAUUUUUGAAUAGUGUUUUCUAUACGUCAAAAAGUAUGGUAUGUCAACAUUUGUUACAUGCCUGGUAAGCAGAAGAUGCAACACCGAAGAUGAAGUCUUUUCCGAAGUUCUUACUGCUUAAAAUAUCAGUGUUACUACAUGUGAAUGGAUUGUUCUCUUCACAAGUAAUUUCUUCGUCAGCUUUGCAACUCGCAGAAGCUAACAGAAAAACUAAAGCGAGCCCAAGAAGCUUCAUAGUUAAUAUGUUGAUGUAUGUGUUGUGUUGUAUGGAACCUUGUGUCCAUCUACGGUUUAUAUAGCCCUUCCUAAAGAAGAGUGACACAUACAUUUUCUUGUCUUAGUAUCUCGACAUUUUGGGGAGGUUUAGGUGGGAUCAUGAGUCCCGUGGGUUCACUUACUUUAGCUCAGUGUUCACCGAUUUUGCUUAAAUUUCUUGUUUGCUUCCACUUUUUAGUUUUUCAUUAUCUAUUGCAAAUAAUUUUUUUUUGUUACAUAGCACAUAGUUGUGUUCCAUCUUCAAAUUACGGGAACACGUACGACUUGGAACACGUACGACUUGGAAGACGUACGACUUGGAAGACGAAUUGUGUCACAUCUUCAAAUUGAUCCGUCGACCAGUGGUGCGAUGCAGCAUGUAUAUAUGGAAGGCGUGCGCGAACUAGAAAAGACGAAUUAUAUAUCAAGAUUAGCUGCAGUAAAUAAUGUUCAAAGCGUCGUCAUAACGCCAUAAAGUUAUUGAAGACUUUUAUCGAAAUAUUAUCAAGUGCUAAAUCUAGAGUAACACUGAUCCAAGGCCACACUUUUCAUGAGAUCACCGCUAAUAAUCAACAUUAUCAAGAAAAAACAAUCAUAGCAUAUCUUAUUUGUUUUGAUUCUUUUGACCUCUCUAUAUAUGCUUUAUCACAUGAGACCACAGUAUCCGAAAGACAAAAGAAAACGAAAACGAAAACCAACAACAUUUUUUGCUUUUUUUGGUAACGUUUCUAGAUAUGAUUGGAAGGGUUGAAAUGCAAGAAUCUUGUGUAUUAACCUAUAGUUUAACACUUAUGUAAGAAUUCAUAAACUUUAGUUAUAUAUAUUUUUUAUAAUUAGAUAUUAUUUUUGAAAAAAUUCUUCUAUGACAGUACAAAGCUAUGUUUUCAAAGUUCAAACAUGAAUUAAAAUAAACUGUUCGUAUUAUUUCAAGAAUAAAACAUUUUAUUAAAUUUCUGUGCUUUAGGCAUUUGGAUAAAAUAAAUUUAAAAUUUGGUUAAUUAGUUUAUGUAAAUUUUGCAUAUUUGUUAAGAGUUCUAUUGGUAUUACUUAUUUAAAAUGAUAUUUAUUUUAGUAAUUUUAAGUUUGUUUAAAAGAAAAUUAACUUAUGAGUGAAGUUCUUAAAAAUAAAAAAUAACUUUAAAAUUAAAUAAUUAGUUAUCAAACUUUAGAUUCCAAUAUAUUUUAAAAAAAUUAAUUAAAAACCAAAAAGCAAAAUCUAGAAUCACCAUUCAAGUUUUUUUGAAAAAUUAAAAUAUAUAGCAAAAUCAAAAUUCAAAAAUCAGAAACUAAAAUGUAAAAACCAAAUCUAAAAAAUAAAAACUAAAAUCCAAAAACCAUGUAAACAAUCAUCACCUAAAUAAUAGUUUCAGUUUAAAUAACUUUUUGGUUUGUUUUUGAGAACUACUAUGGAAUUCUCUUAAUGUUCAUUCAAUAAAAUAAAAACUAUCCAUGCACCAUGAAUUAUCAAUAACAUAGACUGUAAUACUCUUAUUUUUCAUUCAAUAAAAUAAAAAUUAUCGAGACAUAUACAUAUGAUUUCAUUUUUUCACAAUAAUCAUUUCAAUUGUUUUAUUUCUUACAAGUAGUAGUUUUGAAUCGAUUUGGGAAAAUUUUGUAAAUAAGACCUAAGAGCAUCUUUAACGGGGGAUUUUAAGUGGGGUUUUAAAGUUAAUUGGGUAUUUAAUUAAAUGAAAACUAAAUAAAAGGGGAGUUAUCGAUCCUUAAGAAAGGAUUUUUGUGAUCGAUAACUAAAGGGGUUUUUCCUCCACGUGUCAGCUAACGAAAGGCAAAGCAUAUAUUUUUCUAUUUUUCUUUUCUCUUUUUCUUUUCUUUGGUUUCUCUCGGCUUCUCCGCCGCUUCCCUCGUUGUCUCCGCAAGACGCAAGACGACGAUGGCUGUCGUUCUCUCCUACGCACCUCCAAGGUUGAAACAAACGUAUUGUUUGUUCAAUUGGCUUUCCUUUGCACCUCCAAGCUCUCCUUCGCACCUCCAAAGUUGAAACAAAGGUAUUGUUUGAUCCAAUCUUAUCUCCUUUCUAUAUGAACUGUGAUUGUACUUUUGUUUCAUUCGAUAGAAUAAGCCUCUGUUGUUAUAAAUGGUUUUGAUUGUUAUUUAGUACUGAUGACAACAAAAGGCUCAAGCUUUUGAGUUCUUGGCUUAUUCCAUUUUAACCCACCUUCAUAAGUUUUUGUAAAUUAGGUUGAGAAAGUAAUUGAAGCUGAGAAGGAAGGAGCAAGAGACUUAAUCCGGGAACAUGGAAAGGAGAAGGCUUUCUCGGCUUUGAGGAAGAAACAGACGCAAGAAGAGUUGUUGAAGCAAGUAGAUCUGCAAGUCUUGUCUUCAUGCUUGAGGGUGCUGUGGCACAGGCUAAGACAUCAAACUCUCCUCCGUCAUCCUCACCGCCUCUCUUCUCUCUUCCUCAGCCGACCGUAUCUCUGGUACGUACUGGAAAACUAGUUCUCUCCCUUAUACAGGUCUCUAACACAUCAUCAUCUGUCAUGCAGGUGCUACCGUUGGUAUCAUGUGCCAUACUGGACAUAGGAGUAGAUCCAAAGUGAUCAAAGCUGUCACAAUUCAACAUCGAUCUUCCUUCUCACCUACACGCAAUUCCUGACCUAGAGAAGGCUUGUUCCAUCAAACCCCUCUCUGUUCCUAAACCAUGCCGAUGCUCUCACAAGAUUUACAAAGGUAUCAAACUCGUUUCAUCCUCACACGGCUUGCGCUUCUACACAGCAGGCAACAUCACCUUACACUGAGUACCAUGUAAAUAGACAUGCCUUUUAUUUUUUUCUUCUAUAUGGUUCCUUCUGAAGCCUGUCAUACAAAAACCCUGAAACCAUAUCUUCUUCUUUAGCAUCAUGAUCAGAUAAUCCGUUUGCUGAAAUCUUUGAGUUCUCUUUUCCAUCAGUCUCUGCAGCACUGUUGAUCGGCUGAUUCAUAGCAUGGAUUCUUCCUGUAACUGAGCGUCGUGGCUGAGAACUAGACCUUUUCUUUGAUCCUCCACCGCCACUCGUCAAGAAUCCUAAAAUCUUGCCAGUUUUUACAGUCUUUGUAGUCGUUUGACAGAUAGAAAACGUGUUUGUACCCUUCAAGCCAUCUUCUAUUGUUUUCAGCCUCAGCUUCCACCUCUCCUGUAUUAUAUAUAUAUAUAUAUAUAUAUAUUACUUGGAGGCAUCAGAAACUCCAAUUGCUUGCAACACAAGCUUAACAACACAAUUUAAUUUUUUUUAAGAACCCCUAAUUAAGAAACUACCACUGGAGCACACAUUUUAAAAGUUUCUUAACUACAGUUCUUAAGUACAAUUAAAGUUUAUUUAAUUAAUUAAAAAAUCAUUAAGAAACCCAUAUGGGGUUAUAGGGUUAAAGAUGGUCUAAGACCUUAUCUCUUUCUCUCCCUGAUCUAAAAACAAAUCAAAGCAGUAACCAGUUUGCUUCGGUGACCGGAAAUCUCUAGCCGGUGCCGGAGGCUCUCCUUUCCUCUCUUCCUCUUUUCUUUUUUUAGCUCCUUCUUCUCUGACCUUGGGCCUCCGAUAUGCACGACGCUCUGGGGUGAUUGUUUUCUGAGCUCUUCGCGUGAAGGUUUGUAAAGCUGCAGAUACGUUUAGUCGUCUAUGGCUAUGUUGUAUUGUUGCUGAGCAUCCUCCAUUCCUUCAUUUGCCCUCUACCCGAGCUUUGUUGUCAACUCUCUCUUUGGAAAGCGACGACUUUCUCAGAGAUUGUUUGGUUCAUGGUCUUCAUUCUCUGGAGCUUUCUCUGUUUAGCCAUCAAAGUAGUUUUUCACAGUCACAUCUUGGACCCUUCUUCGGUUCUCGAAUUCUGGGCAAUUGGCGUCGGAAGCAAGUGGUCGGGUUGUCUCUGAUUGCAGUGUGUCCGCCGGUGGCUCCAAUUGUUCGGGUAACUCAUGCCAGCUCCAUUGUUUUGCACUUGUUAAAUGGUGGUGGGGUUGCAUGUUUCCUUCUUUGUGCAGGUUCGAAUCUCAAUAGGCUUCAAUGCACCUGGUACCUCAGGUCCGUCUUUCUUUGUGCAUAAUUGUCAGUGGCACUUCAAGUGUUAAUGUGAGUGAGGAUGCUCCAGCUCCUCCCUGGAUUAACAGCAACCAGAUAGCUUUUAGGAUGUAAGACCCGGAGUUGCUACCGUGACUUGUCUGUGCAGUCAAACCAUUCUCUAGCUGAUCAGUUGUAUGUCGUACCUAUUUUAUUCGAUUUGCAUAUCUUGUGUGUCACUGUUAUCCCCGUCUCGGGUAGAAUCAAUUCGGAGUCUUGUGUUCAUUUUCCCUUUUGCAUUCCAGUUACUUUGCUUCUUUGUUUCUUCUUCCUUGGUUCAUCUUUGUAAACUCUGUUUUUUCAUUUUAUUUCAAUAUGAAAGCCAGUAAAAAAAAGUAGUUUUGAAUCGAUUUAGGUCAUAUUAUCCCUUUAUAACACAAAAAGAUUAACUACAACACUCCACUAUAGUAAUUAAGCCUUUUAGUAUUUAUCUGAAAUUCAAAGAAACGAACCGAAUAAAAAUUAGUUUUGAACUCAUAAGAGCAUGAUUAUUGGGUGAAACCCAUUUCGGGUUUCUAAUUUUUUUUUUGUUUUAUCUGAUUUAAAAAAAUAUAAAACGGAACCAAUCGUGGCCCGCCACGUGUCGUGGAGCCUGCAAAAUAGUGUAACAAACUAGUCAAGAGCGAUCCGUAAUUGGCAACUUUGGUGACCGAUUUAAAAAAAAAAACAUGGGACCCACACCCUUAUUUCAUGCAGAAACCCAUUUUGGUUAAAGGUGCUCUAAGAAUUCAAAUAAUUUUUGUUUUCCUAUUAUCCAAAACGCUGAAACUAAAUUAAACCCAAACCAUCGAAUGAGUAUCCCAGAAUAUUUGAAAUAUAAUUUAUAUAUAGUUAAUAGAUAAAUACCAUAGGAUAACAUUUUGAUUGAUUUAAUAAUUCAUAUAGUAUUUAUAAAUCCAAGUAAAAUAUGCAAAUCGGGAGGUUUUCUCUCGGAUUUGAGUCUUUGUAUUUUUAGCUAGAAAAUCCAAACAAAUCCAUUAUAAAAUCAAAUAUAUUCGUAAAUCCGUACGAUUGAAUAACACUUGAUUUGAUAUAAAAUUUAUAAAUCGUUAAACCAAUAACACCUAAUUUUAAUACAUAUUUGAAAAUCACAAAACCAAUAACACUAGAUUUAGUUCGGAUUUUUCAAUCCAUUAAAAUACAACAACCAAUAACCCUCCUACUUAGAAUUAAGGGAUGAUGAUUUAAGAUUAAGUUUUAAAAUUUUUAUAAAAUUAAAAACAAAUAUUAAAAUUUUGAAAAUAAAAAUUUGAAAAAUAAUUUCAAAAAGUAUUUCGAAUUACAAAAAGAAAAUUUCAAAAAAGAAAUAAAAUAAAAAUUUCAAAAAAAAAGAAAUUUAUAAAAAAACGAAUUUGAAAACAUAUAUGUGAAACUAUAAAAAAGUUAUUUUUAAUUUAAUCUUUUACUUAUUUGUAUUUAUAUAUCUAGGAUAUAAAGGUUUUUUACCUAUUAAAUGAAUCAUUUUGGUCAUUUUCCUCCUUAUGGUCUAUUUUUGUAAUAAAAACUUGAAAAUGGUCUAUUUAGGGGAAUUGCUCUAGUUAAUAUAUUCAAUUUUAAAAUAAUUACAUAUCUAAUUUAAAUUAUAAAGUGGAAAUUAUAUCUGCUGAUAUAUAAUAUGAUAAAAUAUUUGAAUUACUUGAAACUGAACCAUGUGAAAUUAUUCAAAUUAUAUAAUAUUUUAAUCUGAUCCAUGUUAUUAUCUAAUAUUUUAUUUAAAAACUUGUAUCAUCCGAUAUUUUCAUUUAAUUGAUUUAAGAUCAUCUAAAAUUAUCUGAAAACCAUAAGUAUAUCGGACCUUAACAUGAUUUGAUUUUUUUUUAAAUGUUAGCCAGUUUUCAAUACUUUUUUUCAGAAUUAAAUCAAAAUUAGAAAGAAUCGAACCAAAACGGAAACUUGCUUUUUUUUUGAGGAAAACCAAAACCGAAACUAAUUUUGAAAAAUACCUGACUGGUUCAUAUAUCAAACCAGCUUGCUAAGUCCAAAGGAACCAAAAACCACCUAAGUUCAUAUUAAUACCUAAUAGUAAUAGAUUUUAAAUCAAUUGUGAAGAAGCCCCAAAAAAAAUUGAGUGGAUCCGAAACAAACCAGCUUGCUAAGGGCAUUUCACAUGGUUUUCGAAAAAAAAAAUAUUAAAAUAAGUAAAAGAGGUGAACCUGUCUUUUGCAAGUUCACUGCACUGAACCCGGGUCAACACUGUAGCACAGGUUCCACGGCGCGUGGCGGCCCACGAUUGGUCCGAUUAAUUUUUUUUUUUUUUUUAACAAAAUUCAAACAGAAAAAAAAAAUAAUAAAAAAUGCUUUGUGAACCCUCCCAUGGGGUUCACUGAUGUACAUGGCCUAAGUCCAAAGGUUAUCUCAUCUUUCAUAAACCCUCCUAGGCUAUACUCUACUGCAUACGCCUUCUCUGCUUUUUGUCUCACGCUUCACCUCUAUCCAUAUUCCCAAUGGAGCAAUCUCUCCGCCACUCUCUCUCCGAGAAAUCCUCCUCCGUCGAAUCCCAGGGUAACGCCGUACGCGCUCUCAAGGCCUCCCGCGCAGCGAAGCCUGAGAUCGACGCCGCAAUCGACCUCCUCAACAAACUCAAGCUCGAGAAAUCCACCGUCGAGAAGCAGCUCCAAUCAAUCAUCACAAGCUCCGGAAACGGCUCCCUCAACCGCGAGGCUUUCCGACAAGCCGUCGUCAACACGCUAGAGCGUCGCUUGUUCUACAUUCCUUCCUUCAAGAUCUACCGUGGCGUUGCUGGGCUGUUCGAUUACGGCCCUCCUGGCUGCGCCGUCAAAUCCAAUGUCCUCAGCUUCUGGCGUCAGGUAAAGACUCUCAAAUCCGCAUUUAUCAAACCGGUCGGUUUAGGAAUACCGAACUAAAAAACGAUUGAAUUUUCAAAUCUAACUGAUCCGUUUUAUGCGUACCGAAUCGGUUAUGUGUAUCGAACCAAAACCGAUUUAAUUUUCAAAUCUAACUGAUCGGUUAAUGCGAACUGAACCAAAAACGAUUGAAUUGUCAAAUCUAACUGAUCGGUUAAGGCGUACCGAACCAAAACCGAUUUAAUUUUCAAAUCUAACUGAUCGGUUAAUGUGAACCGAACCAAAACCCGAUUGAGUAUGUGAUAGCUUUAUUCUUAUAUGGAUGUUGAUCUUGUUUUUGUUUGUAGCAUUUCAUUCUGGAGGAGAACAUGCUUGAAGUAGAUUGUCCAUGCGUGACACCAGAGGUUGUACUCAAGGCAUCUGGUCAUGUGGAUAAGUUCACUGAUCUUAUGGUCAAGGAUGAGAAAACUGGAACUUGUUACCGUGCGGAUCAUUUGCUCAAGGACUAUUGUACUGAUAAGGUGGAGAAAGAUCUCACCAUCUCUGCUGACAAAGCUGCUGAAUUUAAGGAUGUUCUUGCUGUUAUGGAAGAUUAUUCCCCUGAAGAGCUUGGUGCCAAGCUUAAAGAGUAUGGGAUCACUGCUCCCGACACCAAGAACCCUCUCUCUGAUCCUUACCCGUUUAACUUGAUGUUUCAGACAUCCAUCGGCCCAUCUGGUUUGAUUCCUGGGUGAGUGUUCCUCAUUUUAUGAUUGUUCAUGAACUUCCUUCUUUACUGAGUGGUGUUUUGUUUAACCAGUUCUGUUGUUGUGUCUCAGUUACAUGCGUCCUGAAACGGCACAAGGCAUAUUUGUGAACUUUAAGGACUUGUAUUAUUACAAUGGGAGAAAACUUCCCUUUGCUGCUGCUCAAAUUGGUCAAGCCUUUAGAAAUGAGGUGAUUAUUACUGCUUUGCUUGAUAUAAUUGGAUGUUUUGACCUCAAUCUGGACUCUCUGUUUCUCAAUGAUGUAUCGGUUUCAGUAAGUAGCAUAUUUUACUCGCAGAUAUCUCCUCGUCAAGGUCUUCUAAGAGUUCGUGAAUUCACUCUGGCAGAAAUUGAGCACUUUGUUGAUCCUGAGAAUAAGUCGCAUCCUAAAUUCCCUGAUGUAUCAAAGUUGGAGUUCCUCAUGUUUCCAAGAGAAGAACAGAUGUCCGGCCAAUCUGCGAAGAAGCUUUGCAUUGGCGAAGCUGUUGCUAAGGUUAGAAUUUGUAAUUCUAUAAUGCGCUCACACAGAUCCCUGUUUUAAGAAUUUCUCAUUGAUGUCUGAAACUGUAUUUGAAUAGGGAACUGUGAACAACGAAACUUUAGGUUAUUUCAUUGGGAGAGUUUAUCUGUUCCUUACCCGCCUUGGCAUAGACAAGGAACGUCUGCGUUUCCGCCAACAUCUAGCAAAUGAAAUGGCCCACUAUGCAGCAGACUGCUGGGAUGCUGAAAUUGAGAGCUCUUAUGGAUGGAUUGAAUGUGUUGGGAUUGCAGAUAGGUCUGCCUACGACCUACGUGCUCACUCGGUACCUCUAACUUCCUUUAGGAUUGUCUCGUUUGUCAGCUAUUUAAACUUACUAAGGUAGAUUGUUAUGUUGACACAUUGCUGUAUGUCAGGAAAAAAGUGGCGUUGCUCUUGUGGCUGAAGAGAAGUAUGCAGAACCUAAAGAAGUAGAGGUAUAUAUUUAUUCGAGUCAACAUUUCCCAUCUCUCUGUUUCUAUAACUUGGCUGCUAAUAUGUUUCUGUUUUCUUUCAGAAACUUGUGAUUAAUCCUGUGAAGAAAGAGCUGGGUCUUGCAUUCAAAGGAAAUCAAAAGAAUGUAGUUGAAUCUUUGGAGGUAGUAUAAAAGUACUUCAUCAUUUUUUCUAAAAAGCUUAUUUGCCUCAUGGUACUGGUUUUUAUUGAAGAAACAUGUUUCGUGAAAUGUGUUGUAGGCGAUGAAUGAGAAAGAAGCUAUGGAGAUGAAAGCAAGCCUGGAAUCAAAAGGGGAAGUGGAGUUCUACGUGUGUACCCUCGAGAAAAACGUGAUCAUCAAGAAGAACAUGGUGUCAAUCUCAAAGGAGAAGAAGAAAGAGCACCAGCGGGUGUUCACACCUUCAGUGAUUGAACCAUCUUUCGGGAUUGGUCGGAUCAUAUAUUGUCUGUACGAGCAUUGCUUCAGCACAAGGCCAAGCAAGGCAGGGGACGAGCAGUUGAACGUGUUCCGUUUCCCUCCUCUUGUGGCUCCCAUCAAGUGCACGGUUUUCCCGCUUGUUCAGAACCAACAGUUCGAGGAAGCAACCAAAGUGAUCUCUAAGGAACUCACUUCUGUUGGAAUCUCCCAUAAGAUUGACAUCACUGGUAAGUAAAAAUCAGUUCUGAAAAAGAUUGGAAGUUGUAUAGAAUCUCGAAACUAACUGAAGAUAUGUGUGGGUUGGAUGUGAACAGGUACAUCGAUAGGGAAAAGAUAUGCGAGAACUGAUGAGCUGGGAGUGCCAUUUGCAAUAACAGUGGACUCGGAUACAUCAGUGACGAUCAGAGAAAGAGACAGCAAAGACCAAGUCAGAGUUAGCUUGGAGGAGGCAGCCUCUGUGGUGAGCUCAGUCGCGGAGGGGAAGAUGACAUGGCAAGACGUCUGGGCUAGGUUCCCUCACCACUCUUCUGCUACUGCAGACGAGUAGCUUUAGCUCCUCCCACCAAAUGUUUCUUAUAGUUUUCUUUUGUUUUGUGAAAAUCGUUUGUUGGAUCUGCCCAUUUUGAUGUUUUUUUUAUACUGCCUCGGAAUAUAUUUCGAUACCAGAUUUGUAGAAACAUAAGUUACUUAACUGGUUAAACGUAUCAAAGAGAUGUGAUAGUCUGAGCCCAGAGUACCCCAUCAUAUUUAAAACCUCGACUCGUAUACAUCAUUGUAUUGAAGCAGGGAACAUAGUGGAAGUUGAUUGUCCAUACAAAGGGAAAGUUCAAUUUAAAGUGUGUACCCUCGGGAAAAACAUGAUCAUCAAGGAAGAACAUGGUGUCAAUCUCAAUGGAGAAGGUGAAAGAGGACCCAAUGGGUUUUCACUCUGUCAGUAAGUGGACCAUCGUUUAAAAUUGGUCGAAUCAUAUUUAUAUUGUCGGUCGUUGUAGCAAAAUCAGAAGACGAACUUUUGAACGUUUUUCCUUAAACAAUAAGUCAACAACGUUUGCUUUUCUAAGUGAACAACCAAAAAUGGCAGAGACUUGAUCUAAAGACAAAUUAAUCAAGAAUUUUAAAACACAGUCACCUUCACGAAGCAUAACUAUUUUCUGAACUAAUUAAAGUCCAAAUAAUUAGUAGGUUGUCUUGUCUGUGAAAUAUAUACACAUACAUGUAUAGUAAAUAUAUCUACCUAUAUAAAUGUAUUCAUAAAUGCAUCAUAUACCCACCACAUAUAUGACCCAAAUAAGUAUUUCGAUAUCUCUCUCUCUGUCUCUUUCAAGAUUCGUGCUUCAAAAGCAUUGAAGGAACAAUGUCUUGAAGAAGACCAUAGCCAACAACUUCUCGUAGAUUACUAGAGUUAAGACGACUAUGUUCGUACGGUACAGAUCCCACCGACUGAUAAUUGACCGGAGGAUGAUUCAUCAUAAGAAACUCUUGAUGGUGACGUGGGAAGCUACGGAGCAGACCAUUUUCACGGUUACCUAAUAGAUGUUCCGCGACGACAGGACCUCUCAAACUCGAUGGGAUCGGAUGAUUGUGUUUGCCUUCGUAGGUUGUGAUUACGAUCGAGGGAUCUUGAAACGAUCUCUCUACGCGUUUCUUCACGUUACAUAUUUGCGUUGUGCACCUAUAGUAACUCCUGAAAACGCAUACAUAACUCUUGCAUUCAUAUUAUUUAUAUAUACUUCUAUAUAAAUGAACAAGUAAAAUAUUUAAAUUGGGAUGUAGUGAGGAAGUGAACCUUGGAUAAGGGCUGUCCUUGACGGCUUUUUGUCCGUAUUUUCUCCAUCUAUAACCAUCUUCAAGAUGAUCAAUGUCGCUUUUGGUCAUAAAAGCAACCCUAGCUUCUCUUUCCUUCUUCUCUCCUUUUCCUUUACCUUGUUUUGUCCUAACCAUACUCAUCAUCCACAAAGCAUAUUAGUCUCUAGGGUUUCAAAGGUUAAACAACUAUAAUAAUUUUUAGCGUGUCUGACGGAUUGUUUUUUUUUGGACUUAUAAUCCACCCUUAGUUCACAUUUGAUAGGUGAAAUGAAAGAAGAAAAAAGCUCACAACUGCUUGGAGCUUUCACCAACACCACGUUGGUCUCCUUCAUUAUCCUCCAUUGAGAUCUUAUCUCCGAGGCUUUCUUUAGGGUCGGCUUCAUUGGAGGAAGAAGGGACUAUUGGAGAAUACGGAUUGAGGUUUAAGUAAGGGUAAUUCGCUAUUUGUCCCAUACUGGACGGUGAAAUCGGUUGGAAAGGGGAACUAUUAUUGAAGACUUUUUCUAGUGAGUUAUAAUCCAUUACUAAUGAACUUUGUAAGCAAUUGGUUAAGCUUGUGAAAGAUGUUUCCUCGAAAGAAGUGUUCUUGUGAUCAGCCAUUAGUUGAAGACGAGGAGAAGGAAGAGGAAGGGGAAGAGGAAGAGAAUUGGUUCUUUUAAGCUUAGUUGUUAGGCUUUAUGUGGACUUUGGGCGAUCAAGUCUUAUAAAUACGUACAAGUCCAUUCAACCUUACUUUAUUUGAUUGGAUAUGUGGUCUUUAGUUUUGAAUAUUCAGUUAAGAUCUUAUUUAAAUCUUUUUGGACAAUAUAGAUACUUUCAUUAACAAGGGGCCUGUAAAUUAUUGAGCUUCCAUACAGAUAUAGUGUAUGGAAUAUACUGUCUAAGCCUAAGCUAAGCUAACGUUUCUAUUUUUUAUAUACAAAAUUACACUGUAAUCUUCACUCGUGUGCAGUUGGGGUUACGUGGUAUAAUACCACAUGAAAUCUAAUUAAUUAUGUAUCUUAAACCGCUUUAAAGGCGACAACCUUUAAAUUUCCGAUUCAGAAUUCCUAGUUAAAAUCUAGUUUCAUGGACACAUACCAGUCGACCAUUUUGCCGUUUAGAAUAUUUAGCAGUCAAGCUACCUUGCAUUCUGUAAACGGCACCUUCCACGCCUCAAGACACCUUGGCCUUAGUUCACCCGAAAGCGCAUUAUUCUGUAUCAACAAACAAGCUUUGGCUUCAAUGUUUAAGCAAAACUUUAUAGGCAUUAUCAUCUUAACUAAGACCAUGUUUCCUAAUUUUCUUCUAGUUGUAAAUGUUUUUUUCUGGAAAGUGCUAAUAGGUUUAAGUAUUUUUUGAAGUGUGUUUAAAAUGAUUUUACCAACUAAUAACGUCCGUCCACAUUUCUAAACAUAUGUUAACCGAAUUACGAAGGUGUGUCUGAUUUACUACCCUGCAACAAUCGUUUUUUCCCGAAAAAAGAAGAAAAUUUGCCAACCGAAAUAUUAAAAAUGGUAUGUAAUUUGGAAAUAUAGUUUCUCUACAAUGGGAAAUCAAACAAGAUUGAAAGAACACAAGAGGGAAAAGUUGAAAAGUUUAAAAUGGUCAUAAUCUUUAAAGACUUUAACGAGUAUAAAUAUUGCUAAAAUAUAUGUAUUUGUGAAAAAGAAAGGUUUGACAAUUUCAACUUCAAAUUAAUUAGCUAGAAAGCUACUGAAACAAAAGUGGUUUAUAUCUCUAGUUCUAUCUACCACACUAUGCUUUGCACUUUUUUCUUCCAGUUUUGAACUUUAUGAAUUCACUUAUAAUUUUUUUAUAUAAUGGAUAGCAUUUUGAUUUACUAUUUUUUAAUAAACAUAGAAGUUUAGGUACAAUUAUCGCACGCAUCGUACAUGUAAGGAUAAAAAUAACAAAAUAAUGAUUUAGUUAACUUAUUUACUUUUCGUGUAAACAUACAUUUUGGUUCAGACUAUUAAUAAUAUUUUUUCUUGGAUUAUAUUACAUAAUAAGUAUGGCGGUUGGUGCUAUACUGCUAUGAAUGUCAUUGACUUCAAAAGUAGAAGUAAGAUAUAAAAAAUCCCCGUUUGAAAAACAUACGUACAUCUUCGCAGAUAUGUCAUACUAGUAAUGAUCAUCACCGUAUAGUGUUAUGAUGUUAUCUAUCAAAUACAUAGUUGAAGAGUCAAGACAACAUCAAUUCUCUAUCUGUCUAACCAAACUAGACAGUCAGUGUCCUUAAGAGUUUAUUCAUCUACGUACAUAAGUCCUGAAGAAGAAAAUUGAAAAAUAAAGAUAAAAUGGAGGUCAAACAUAUAAAGCAAUGCAAACAUUAUGCAUCUACUUCCAUUAUCUUUGCACUAGUCAAACGAGAACUUUCUUGGUGAGCGAUACCGAAUUAUAUACAUUUUAUAUGCAUAUACACAAACCAUCAAGUGAAUAAUUAAUUAAUAGUCUCCGACUUACCUCUCUCCUGAACUUUUUGUAUAAAAAUUUUGUGUUUAUUAAUACAAGAAAAACCUCCAUCAAUUAUCUUUAAAAGAGGUUUAUAUAUAUACUCGUUUGUGACAAAAAAAAAUAUAUAUAUAUACUCGUUACUUUUUAGCUGCAUUAUUGGUGUGUGUUGAUUCAAAGUCAACGGAAACCACUUGAUUUGUGAACAGUCAACAUCCUUGAUCCUUCUACGCAAUAGCCUCACUUCUUUAAAAAGGCUUCACUUUCUUUAGCUUUAUAUUUACCUCGAUAAGAUAAGCGUCUACAUUGUACUCACAGAUUUAAAAAUAAUCUUAUCAUAUCAUAUAAAAAAUACAAAAAAAUAUACAAAACGUUAAAGAAGAUUUUUUUAAAUUAUUAUUUGAACUUCCGGUCCGGACACAUUAAUAUUAUGGAUUAGUCGAGUUUGUGUGUUUAGUAAUACGUAUGCACCUAAACUAACUAUAAUAUUAUGGUUGCAUGUUUAAUGACCAUAACGAUCAAAAGCAUCUAAAAACAUAAAAGUUGAAUAAGAGGCGUGGUGGAAAAUGGCAAUGUUCUUUGAUUGUUAGAGACAGCGUCAUUGAAGUCAUGCAUGUCACGUGUCUUCCUCGUUUCUUCUGGCUGUGAUGACCCAAGCCCUAUGUCAUUUAACAAUUUCUUUUAAAUUAAAAAUUUGCGUGCUUUUGCCUCGUAAUAAAAUUGUAGCGGUUCUUAAAGUUGGAAAAAAUUCAUAACUAUAUGUAUAUUUGUUUUUGUACAUCUAUUUUAAACCCUUAAAUGUUGAACGUAAGAAUAGGUCAACAACACUAUAUCUUAAAAAUUAAGGAGCCAAAGUCAGUGACAAACAAAAAAAAAAGGAGCCAAAGUUUCAUUUACUCACUUUUCGUUUCACCAGGAACCGAAUGUAAAGUUAUACAGACAAGAAAACAGUCCUGGUAAAAAGAUUCAUGUCUGAAUAUUUGUUAGAAAUGGAUUUUCGAAAGAUUUCUGAAAUAUCAUUGAUCAAAUUUAAUUGAUUGGAAAAUAAUCAGUUGAAAAUCUAUCUUUUUGGUACUUAACCUAUCAAUUUUUUUUUUUUUGAUAAGUAUGUGAAUUUUCAUUACUGAAUAACGAUGCAUGAGAUACAUUUGCUUUUGAAGAAUCAAAACCUAUUGCAUCUAAGAUAAGCUAAUAAAGCAAAGGUCAGUGACUACAUUUCUAACAAUGCAUGAGCUACCAACAGAUUAGAAAGUUGGUAGAUAAAUUUCAAAGAAAAUGUAACCACUGUGCAUCAUUUUUCUAAUCUGUUGUUUUCUUUAUCGAUAUUUGCUAGUUCAAAUGUUCAACAGUCGUAAGUAAAUUAAUCUUUAAUGGUUCUUUGAACUACAUCAUUGUUGUCACUACCAAAACAAUGUAAGCUGUUAGUUCUUUUAGAAAAUAACUGCUUAAUAUGAAUCAUAAUUGUCAACAAAAGAAACAUAUAUCAUAAUUUUGCUAAAAUGUUACUAGUUCUGCAAUGACAAAUAUAUAUGAGACUUUUUUUAGGAUAGCAUUUUUAGUUUAUUUUCAAAAAAAUAAUAAUCAAGAAGGAAAAUGACCAAAAUAAUUUUUUUAAAGGGUAAAAAUAUAUUUAUACUUUAAAAUUAACUAAUCUAGAGUUAGGUUUUAAAGUUAAGGGGUAUGGUUUUGAAGAUAAAGUUUCAAAUUUUAAAAAGUAAAAAAAUAUAUAUUAAAAUUUCAAAUUAAAAAAGGCUAUUUUGAUAAUUUUUCUCUCUAGAAGCUAUUUUUAUAACAAAAACUUAAAAAUAUCUAUUUGAGAAAAUUGCUCAAUAUAAAUAGCUUAUUUUUAAAACAAUUAUUAAUUUCUGAUGAUAAAUUUAUCAAUUGAUCAGCUUCGUAGCACUAUACAUUAUUUUUUAGUCGAUCUACGCAGACCGAUAAGCAAGGUGACAAAGCAGUAAGUUAAAGCAAACAUUCAGUUGAAAACCCUAGAAUUAAAGUCAUCUCCUUUCAAAGGAAGAGACAUGGUUAUAAGAUUAGAUACAUUUACUUUCACAAGUAGUUUAACUUGUAAAGCUCUAUAAUCAAAACUCAAAACCACACAAUUUAAUUUAGAUUUCAUAGGGUUUCAAGAAAAACAUUAAAGUGUGACUUUGAACCACUCCUGUCAAUUAUAAUUUCUAGUUGAGUGUGACACUGACAAAGGUUAUGAAUGCUUUCCUUUUUUCAUUUAUUUUGUCUACAUGGAGAGUGAAAAUUAAAGAGAUUUACUGAUUUAGCAAACUUCGACGUCGCUAAGUCAUGUUCGGAGCAGGUAUUGUGUUUGGCGCGUUGGUAAAUGGCAAUAUCUGAAAUAAGAAACUAAUUUUAAUAAUAUGUUAGUUAUUUAACUAGUACCAAAAUCUUCAUUUAGCUAAUUAUAUCAUUGAAAGAUACAGUAAAAAACUCUGUAAAUUACUAAUGUUAGGAGUAUUGUAUUUUAUUAAUUUAUAAAAGUUUCCUUUUUUUAGAUUUUUCUAUUUAAAAUAUAUUUUUUAUAAAAAAUAUAUAUUUGAGAUUACCAUAUUUACAUUAAUUAAAAUUAUGAAAUGCGACUUUAAUAUGGUUUUUAUUAUAUGAUUUGGUGUAUAUAAAAUACAUUUCAUAGAAUUUAAAUAUGGUUGUAGAUAUAAUUUACUAAAUAUCUUCAAAAUAUAUUGUAGUAUUAAGAAAAUAUAAAAAUAAUUCUAUUAUGAAUAAAAAUAAUAAUACAAUGGUUUGUUUAAACUUAUAUAAAAUGCAUAUACAUAUAAAUGAUUCAUUUACGAUUUUAAUGGGACUACAUAUUUACAUAUGAUUUUUUUUAAAUGUUAACUUAUUAUUUUAUUGAUCUGUGUCAUAUUUUAAAUUAGUCCAAUUUGGAACCGUGGAAAUUUAUUCAGUUAUCAUGUUUAUUAAUUUAUCUAGUAUUAAUUUAUUAAGCAUCAAUUAUAAUAACAAUGAUCUAAAAGUCAAAUGUCAAAAGAGAAAAGCAUAAUAAUUCUAAAAAAAACAAUGACUGGAAAAUGUAAAAGUCAAAACUCAACGUCUAGGCUCAAUUGAAUUCGAUAUUUCAAGUUCAGUAUCCACUCCACUAGUGACAUUUCCAUUACUAUAACGAAGAAAAUCAUCAUUCUAGUAAACGGAUUAUUGUACGGCUUUUAUAUUAAGAAAAAAAAAUAAUAUUGUUUGAAAACAUAGAUAACAAUUAAAAAAAUAGUGUUGUUUAGAUUCAUGAAUAACAAUAUAUUAAAGAAAAAAAAGAGCUUAUGCUAUAAGAAAAAAUGGAAAUUUAUUAUAUUAUGAAAACUAUAUAUAUGGACAAGCUUUAAAAUAUACGAAAAAAUGGCUGGCCAAUUUAGUUACCUAAAAACAUAUUUGUCUAAAAUAAUCAUAAAACAAAAUUUAAAUUUUAUAUAAAUAAUUCAAAUAAAAAUAUUAAUUUAAAAUUGAUUUAUAUAAAAAUUGUUUCAAAAUAUACAUAUAUUCAAAAAUUAAUUUUACUAAAUAUUUUUUUAUAACCAUUAUAAAAAUGGUUAAAAUAUAUUUAAAAAUACAAUACAAAGCAAUUUCAAACACCAACGUAAGUUAUGAUUUUUAUAUUUCAUAUUAAGUUUUAAAAAUAUAAUCUAUAUGAUUAUUUAUAUGAUGGUACAUAUAAAAUACUAUUAAUUAUAUGAUUAUUUAUAUGAUGGUAGGUAAAAAACACGAUUAAUUAUAUGAUGACACAUAUAUGAUAUUUAAUAGUGACAUGAACAAAUGAAUAACAACAUAUUUUUGCAAUAUUAUAUCUUAUAUCUUAUUAAAGUAGAAAUACGUUUGAGAAUGUUUGGAAACAAGAAUAACAUAAUUAAAAAAAUAUAUAUUGUUGUUUGAAAAUAUAGAUAGCAGUAUAUUAAAAAAAAUGCUUAUGGUAUUAAAAAAAAUUGAGGUCCAUUAUAUUUUUUAUAAAUUAUUUGUUUGGACCAGAUUUAAAAUAUACAAAAAUGACUCAAUCUAAUUAUUUUUUUGUGCAUUUGGUCCAAUCUAAUUAACUAAAAGCAUAUUUUGCCUAAAUUAAUCAUUAAACAAAAUUUAAAACAAAAAUUGAUUCAAAAAUAUACAUGUAUUCAAAAAUUGAUUUUUACUAAUGUAUUUUCCAAUAACCAUUAUAAAAUUGUUUUCAAUAUAUAUAAAAAAAAUAAUAUACAAAGGAACUAAUAGAUUGAGUAAACCUUCUUUCUAUUUUUUUUUAUGGACCACCGAAAUAGAAUUAGAUAUACAAUACUAGAAAUAACUAUAAUAUUUAAUUUAUAAUAUCAAAUAAACAAUAAAAAAUAAUAAUAUAUGAAUGUAUUAGUAUUCUUUUAUUUGUAUUACAAAUACAAUAAUAGCCAAACAAUAAUAUAUAACGGGACCAUAAUUUUUAAAAUCCAACAAUUAUCAAUUAGUUAUGAAUUUAUAAUGUUCUUACAAAUUUAAGCAAACAUCUGUGCGGACGCACGUGUGAAGAUUUAGUUUAUCAUUAAAAACCGAGUCACAAUUUAUUGGCAUAGUGGAUCUACGCAAAAGAUGGUUUAUCGAAUCAUAGUUAUUACUUAAGCAAUUGUUCAAAAAAAAAAUUGUACUUAAGCAAAUGAAGAACAAGAACAUACAAGGUGAAUUAAAGUAUAUGUGAUUGUGAUCAUUCUUAAUAAACUCAAAACGAUUUGAUAGUAAUUAUUACAUUUGAGACUUAUGUUAUAACGUUUAACCAGAACAAUCAAACGUGUGAGUUUGAGACGUUGAGUAAUCUGAAUUUGACAAGCUAACUUCGAUACAAGAAAAAUAAAAUUAUUUCAAAAAGAAACUUUCUUAAGAAGAGAAAAACACAAUGCCUCCUUUCUCUUUGAUUCUUUCAGGUAAUAACUAACAACUUUGAGUGCCAAACCUAACUAAUAGCAUUGUAUUUUUUGGUAAAAUUACAUAGUAUUUCUGGAAACGUUAUAAAUAAAUAUAGCUAGGAAACGUUUGUUAGAAAGUUGAACUAUGGCGUCAUUUAUUUGACAAAUGAUUGCUUUCAUAAACAAUACUAUGAUCCUAAAAAUAAUGAUAAAAGUUGAACUAUGGCGUCACUUACUUGAAAAAUGAUCGCGUUACAGUCUCGGUGACUGAGUUGGCUUUAGUCACCUUCACCCGCCGAGAUAAUUGAAAAUAUUUAUUUGAAUCGGGCAAUUGUCAAUAAUAGCACCUUUUGAAGUUUAUGUCACAAAAAUAACACUAGAAGAAGAAAGUCACAAAAAUGACAUUCAUUAAAGGGUAAAAUAUCCCUAAUACCCUUGGUUUAAAAUUAAAUAAACAAACAAAAAUAAAUAAAAAUAAAUAAAAUAAAAAUAAAAAAAAUGAAAAAUGAAAAAAAAGAAAUUUUUUUUAUAGUUUCAGAUUAUAUUUUUCAGAUUCGAAAUUUUUAUAAUUUUUUUUUGAAAUUUUUUUUUCGAAAUUUUUUUUUAUUUUCUUUUUAUAAUUUAAAAAUACUUUUUGAAACUGUUUUUAAAAUUUUUUAUUUUUAUUUUAGUAUUUAUUUUUUAUAAAAUUUUAAACCCUAAUUCCAAAACCCCACCCCCUUAACUCUAAACCCUAAGGUUUGGAUUAAUUAACCCAAGGGGUAUAAGUGUAUAUUUACCUCUUUAAUGAAACCUAUUUUUGUGACUUUGAGCCUUGAGUGCUACUUAGGGAACAAAAACUUGGUUUGGUGCUAUCCUAGUCUUUUUCUCUUUUGAAUCAUUGAUAGUUGGAUUAAUUAUCAAGAAUAAUUCAAGAAAGUAAAAUUAGUCAGAAAAAGAAGCAAAUGACUUGAGAAGAGGAAGUUGAAAAGAGAAGAAAUGGCAAAAUGUAUAAAAUGCGAAGUUUCAGUUUCAGAUUACUCUUUUAUCUCAAACCCAAGCAUCUGGAAGAUCAUUAAGAUUCUUCACUCAAAAUAAACAUAUUUCACAACUGAACUCAACAACUUAACAGGGAGAUCUCCAAAGAGAUGUACAAAGCACAUCAUAAACAUCUCCUUUCAUCAUUCCUAAUCGUCGAACACCCCACGACGCCUCUGGAUCUGUAAAAGAUAAACAACACUUAAAUAAACUAAGAACAAAGCUUUUUGCUUUAAUAUCUUGUGUGUGAUAGAGUACCGUGACUUUUGUUUGUUUGCUAGUUUGGCUGUUUAUUUGUUCCAGCAGCGUUAUAAGCCGUUCCUCAGAAACCUGUAAAAGAAAAUCAAAGUAGUUCAAUAACUCUUUAGAUGUAUAGUGUCAACAUAAACUGAGUACAACCAACGGAGAGUGGAUUAUAUAUAUUACCUUCUCAACAAUCUGUCCCAUUUGAGCAGCCCUCAAAAUAACAUCCUCUACGCCUCUAGCUUUCUCAGGUUUCACCAGUGCAAUUCGUGCAACUAUAGGGAAAAAAUACAAGCAAAUGAGAAAGUAGAUGAACUCAAGAGCAUUUUAGAUGGGGACUUACUUCUCUCUCGGGCUUGGGAAGACAAUAUUUGACUAAGCAUCAUUUGUCUACGUUCAUCAGCUUCCCUAAACAUAUAUAUGUUCCAAUCAAAGACUAGAGUUAGCUCCAAAAUCCAAAUUUAUAUUCAGCUAAAAUGACAUCAAGGAUACACACACACCUUUUGGCAUCUUCUUGUGCUCUCUCUUGAUCUGGAUUCUGCUGACUGCCUUGCUUCCCCUGCUAUUUAAAAUUGUUGGUCAUCAGUACAAUAAGCCACCAUAAAGUUGCAAUUCUUUUUUCUUUUGAACAAAACGAGGUAUAUACGUGAAGGCUGUUAUUAAAAGGAUUUACAGUGCCAUGUUGAGCCAUCAGCUCUUGCAUCCUCCUCUGUCUAAUAGCUUCUAGUUCUGGAUCAGCCUACACAGUACACACACAAGGAAGUAACAGAACAGAAGCAAACUUUUAACAUGAUACAGUGCCAUGAUUGCUCACAAAGUUGCAUUCUUUUUCAUUCAACACCGAACAUAACUCAUUUGUUCUUUACUAGAUUGACUUCAGACAGAUCCACCCAUAUAACUCAUUACUGAUUCAAAUCCUAACUAAUAAUCACAUAUUUUCGAAAGUAAAGAAAAGGCUAUCUGAACUAAAAACUGAUUCUUUGCAUCUGUUUGUUACACAUGAAAGAAUACUGGGUGCGAGAUAGAGAUUGAAAUCUCAUCUCAUUCAAAGGAACCUACUUUUCAAUCGAGAACACAAACUAAUGACUUCGAGAAGAAAUCUCACCAUAGAAGCAGUCUUUGCUUUUCUCUGGAUGCCAAAUCGAUACUCCGCACCGCAGCUCACAAAACAAACACCUCAAAAACCAACACAACAGAGUAAUAAAGCUCCAAAGGAAAAUGCAUUAAGCCCAAACGUUGCGUUUUUAAGACGCGCUCCAUCGUUUUUUAAUAUAUUCGUCCCAUCUGUUUUAUUGUAUUACGAAUUCACCCCGUGCACUUAAGAUUUUUAAAUUUACCACCUCGCCCCAAAUCUAUUCGGAGAUUCAAAAAGUCGAAAAUCUUUGCAAUACCUGCGUAGUGGAAUGGAAAUAAAUUGAAUUUAAACUAAAUAAAAAUUUUAAAUUGAUAUAAAACUCUUAAUUUAUCUUUCAUUCCUUCAAUUCCAUCUAUUCAUGAGAUUUUUUGUUCCUAAAUACUUUUUAACUACGUUCCAUCUCUUUCCACAUAUUUCAUUUGGAAUUAGUGAGAUAAACAUUUUUUAUUCAACUCAAAUGGUAACAUUUUAAUGGAAUUUUUGUGAAUGACUCAUUCCACACAAUUUUAUUCUAAAAAAUAUACAUCCAGUUGCAGCCUAAAGCUAUUGACAACAUGUUGUUUUUUUUUGAGAGUUUAACUUUGUAUUUCUAUUCUAAGUUUAGCUUAAACACUUCAAUAAAUAGAAUAUUUUGUUCUAAUUUCUUUCACUAUUGUUAGAAGAAAGAUACAUUAUUAAAACAUUGUAAUCACUACUCCGCUCGAGCUUGAUGAUCAAUGAAGAUGAUGCAGUAUGAUAUGUUGCAACUGCCAUUUUUUAUGUCAGGUUAGGCAGUGGUGACUAGUAAUUUUAAGACUUGGAAUUGCUUGUUUAGUCGAGGGCCUAGAGUUUAUAUUAGAAUAAGACACUUUGGUUGUUUCAUAUCUGUAAUCUACCACACAAAUUUCGCACUUAUUAGGCCCAUAAGUACGGGUUAUUACAAAUUUAACUCUACACUUAUGAUAAUAGCCAUUUGGCCCCACACCUCUAUGGACCUUAAGAGAAAAUAAAAUUAUUGAGUAGUCAAAUGUUUCUAAACCCUUCAAUCUGAGAGCUUGCCUUUGACGUUUCUAAAGAAAUCAAUGUUGAGUCGCCAUUUAUAGCAAGUGAAACCCGAAACAAAAAAAAAGAAACACACACAUAAUUCAGAAUAUAUAAAGAUAAAGAGCAUAAAAGGCAUGAUGAUGGUUUACCUAUACAUGUCAGGCCAUUGAUUUAAGUCCUACUCUGAUUGUUUGAGAGAAAGAUAAACUAAUGAUUGUUUUAAGAACUCGUUUGAGUAUGGAGGAGGUAUAUUGUCAUCGAUUACCCAGAUUUUGUUCCUUGCAAAUCCAUAUUGAUCCACUAAACCACAAUCUACAAACUUUAGACACACACAAACAACUCAAUUACAAUGUUACAUUCCAAAAAAUACAACAAUGAGAGUACUAACUUAAAAUUAAUGAUAAUAACAAAUAUGAACGAAUCUCCGCAGUGUUAGAGCAGCAACCGGCUUUUAAAUCGGCAAGGAGAGUGUAUGAAGUCGCCAUCGUCGGAAUCGGGUGUUAGAACAAAGUAUUCUUCUGGAUCAUGUUUGAGUUGUGUUGUCCAUCGUUGAAGGCUGAGAUAUUUAGACUCGAAGCUUCAGCCGUUUGCUGUGGUGUGCGAAGAGGGAUAAUCACGAAAAAUUUGGAGUUAAGCACGUAGUAAUGGAAGGUUGAGACGUAACGGAGAUUGGAUUGACGAUUUAGCUUCUGAGAAUUUCGUCAGCUACUCGAAGAAGCUCGCAUGCGUGGAGAGGAAGAAGCAACCUAAUACUAUGAUGGGUUUUGCAUAAUGGUUUCCAAAGGGACAAUCGCAAUUCUGUAAUAGAAACACAGUUCUGGAGAUGUGCAUCAGUAAACCGGAAUAACAUGAAAUUUAAUUUAGACGCGGGAUGGUUUAAUUAGUGCCAGGUGUCAAAAAAUGUCUAUAUCAAACUGAUGACGUGGAUGCAUGAGAAGAGAUGCAAUCCAACUUUAUUUAUAUAGAUAAGACAGUUUGCUUGUUUUAUAUCCGUAAUCUACCACACAAAUUCUAAUUUCUUUACAUAUUAGGCCCAUAAAUACGGGUUAUAACAAAUUUAACUGUACACUUAUGAUAAUUGUCAUUUGGCCCCACACCUCUACGGGCCUUGAGAGAAAAAUAAAAACAAAUGACCCAAGAAAGAAGCCAGUUCCGCAACAGCUGCCUGCGACAGACCGAUGAGUCGGCUCUUGCUGCCUAGGCUUUUCUCGAUCUCUAGAAAACAGGUAAAAACCAAACUAAUCUCUCUCUAGCUUCGUGUAUGUGUAUGUGCAUGUGUAUCUAUAAAUACAUAUCUUCCAUUGCCUCUCUCUCAUGUUUUUAGGUUCUAGCUGCGUCAUCGUUCCGCAAUCAGUACGACGGACGUCACAGGAGGUAAUGGUUUGCAAAGAACGGAUUUUGAUAAACUGGGUUUGAUAUGUCUGAGUCGAGAGAAAUGAAAUCGUGUUCCCUGAUUUAUUUUUGUUAAUAAUUAGAGUUUCUUGGUGUAUUUGCUGUUAUUAUCCGUUUAAUGGAGUUCAGUAGGGAGGCUAAGCUUCUCUAGUUGGAUGUAAAGGUGAAAGCUUUUUUUUUUUCUUUUGCAAUUUUCCUUGCAGCUUUGUUCAUUGGACGAGUGCUGCUAUGUCGCGUGCAACUGGUGGCUCCUCUGCUUCUGUAGCUACACCAUUUUGCUCCUUACAAGGUACUAUUAGUCCCUGCUCUAUAUUUCGAUAUUUCAAAUGAAAUUUUCACUGAUCAAUGAAUGUCUGAAGAGUAUUGUUAUGAUUUUCCAUGUCACUGCGCUUAUAAACCACUUCUUUACCUAAUUGGUUGAAUGAUACAAUUGGUGCUUAUAUACUUCAGGAUUUGUAACCAAGAUACUUCAUGUAUCUUACUUUAUUAAUUAUGGUAUUCUUUUUGCUCUUGUUUAGAUUUAUCAGCCAAAAAGUGUGUCCCAUGCAACGCUAAGGAUCUGCGCGCCAUGACUGAACAAAGUGCUCAAGAACUACUUCAAAAGGUAUUAUUAUAUUUACUAUGCCAAAUGAAUACUUAAGUAUGUUAAACCUCCUGAAUUAUUCCUUUAACAACAGGUUCCUGGAUGGGAUAUGGCUAAUGACAAUGGUACAUUAAAGCUGCAUCGGUCGUGGGUGGUGAAAAGUUUUACAAAAGGACUAGACUUCUUCAAACGUGUAGCUGAUAUCGCUGAAUCAGAAGGUAAUAUCAUCAUCAAUUCAGCACACAUGCUUUGUAACCGUUCUGUAAAAAGAAUUUGAAACAAAAAGAGAGAGCGUGUGGAAAGAUCUAUUACUAUUAUUGUAUCUGAAGCAAGGAUCGUUUUAUUGCAGGUCAUCACCCAGAUUUGCAUCUGGUAGGCUGGAAUAAUGUGAAGAUCGAUAUAUGGACACAUGCCAUAGGUGAGAAUCAUAGUCUGUUGUUCAUAUGAAGAUAAACAUCUUCCAAAUAUCAUUCUGAUUUCUGAUCGUAUUGUUGGUGGACAUUAUGAGUCGCAAGUGUCAAGUGAUGUCUGAUUCGUGCAACAGGUGGUCUGACCGAGAAUGACUUCAUUCUUGCUGCUAAGAUCAACGAGCUCCAAGUGGAAGAUCUUUUGAGGAAGAAGAAAGUUGCCAAAUGAGGGAUGUUUUGGUAUACAAACUCUGUCAAACACAAUCUUUAGAUCUAUGCAAGAUGAGAAUAAAAAGUGAGCUAGAGUUAAUUUUGAUGUUUCGUCAGCGUUUAUGGUUCUUGUAAAGCUGUUUAUAUGUUCUUACAAUUUCAAAACCCACAAAUAAGGUAGUGUAGCUAUAAGUGUGGAAGCAAGCACCGUUUAUUCCAUAACAAAUUAAUACUUUCAUAUCUACAAUAAAGUAUGUUUGUUUAUUUACAAACCACAAACUAUCCAACCAAAUCUCCAUAACAUAUUUACAUUCAAGAAUUUGCAUGAAUCUAUACAAAAGGCACUGUUAUACGUCCAAACAGAUAAAAGACAGUUCAACAAGUUCAGUCUUCAGAAAACGAUGAAGUUGUUGAUGACCGAGUAGUUUCACUGCAAACCAUCAAGAAAUUUUUCAGGUCAACUUCCUUUUCAUCCAUUAAUUAAGAAUUACAAAUAACCCUUCAACUGUGUUUAAAAUCACCUCCCCAUCUUCUGAAAGAGAUCACCAAGCGCACGGUAGAGCGGAGCAGCAGCGGGUGGCUUUGGCAAAGAGCCAAGGAGGAUGUCUGACGCAGCUAGCGACUGGCUCCCAUAGAACCGUGAAUUCUCACUUGUACGUGUUGUGAAGAUGCUUCCUUCAAGCGAGCAUCCAACAAAUGCACCUAUUCAUAUAAUUGCGUUAAGGUUAGUGGCACACGGAAGCAGAGAAGUCUAAGAACCCAUCUACCAAGAGAAUAAAGUAAUCUGCUAAAAUCUAUUUCAGCUCAAGACAAAAACAUGUACCUUUGCUGCAGCUAUAGGUAUAGCAAGCGGCAUAACCACCACUACCUGCUCGGAUAUCUGCUUCAACAGCUCGUCCAGUCACACCAACCGCAGCACUUAAACCAGCUCCAACAACAAAAUGGGUGUUACUCCCAAACGUUCGGAUGGCCUCGCGAGUUCUUAAGACAAUAAUAAAGUCUAUGAACUCUCCUCCUGCCUGCAGGUGAGUUCUUAUUAGCAAAUAGACAAGCAUCGUUUCAACAUCUAGUAAGCACCAAACGAGCUGCGUUACCUGAGCACCCCAUCCCAAACCAAAGGAAGAGAUAGCAGAAGGUGGAGACCAGGAGCCAUCAUCUCUACGAGCAACCACAAGUCCAGUCCCGAUUCUAUAUGUAACCAUCACUCCCACUCUGGCAACAGUGAUUACUGCAAGACCUUUUGCUUGUCUUAGAAUGGCAUCUGGAAUGGACCUCUCGGUCCUCGAAGAACCAACCUGAUUAGAGAUUUUCAAAUAUAAAAAAUGCUUUUAGAGCCAUUAAUAAAGUGAACUAAAAGGAGCCAAAGAUCUCACCUUGGAUAUAUAACCCCGGAUAGUGUUUGUUGCUUUAUAAAUCUCAUACUCCAUUGACUGUCCCCACGGAAAAUUCACCCAAGACCUCAACGUACUAAGAUCCGUCAAGUCAUGAGUCGGCAACUGAGCAGCAGGACUCACUUGGUCCAUCAGAUAAGGCUGCACAGUCUCCAACCUCACAAAACACACAUCACAAACUCUUUGGGGAUCCGAAACGCGGAACUUCACAGGAAGCAAGCUUCUUCCUCUAGAACAGUCUCUACAGAACAAUCCUCCGCAGUACCGACAGUGAUGACGCGAACACAUGAUCGGGUGAAACCUCACGCUACAAAGCAUACAAGCGGAAGCAGCGCUAUCUGGCAGCCACUUUGGUGGUUCUGUUUCGAGAAUCUCUCUCGCGUUGCCAAAGUUGGCUUCGGUGAGAGUGUGAGCCAUCUCUUGCCAAGCUUGUUCGAGAAGAUGUUGUCCCGCGAAAAAUGAAAUGCCGCUCUCGAGGUUGCCUGAAGUAAGAGCGGUUGCUUUACCACGUGCUGCGAGUAACAUAUCGACUAUCACAUCCCACAUUGUUAGCUCCUUGUCUUCAUCAAGGAUCUGGUUCCAUCCCAUCUCUCCCUCGGGGAAGUAACCACCGUUGAAGCUAAGCCCUCUUGACCAUUCCUCAUGAUCAGGCUCCAGCAUUGGUGGGACUGAAACUGGUAUCCAAACACCGGUUUCUUCAGAAAGUGGUGUGUCAUAGAAAAAGUAUUUACCACGCUUCUGCUGAUCUGGUUCAAGUUUGUUGCUCUCGUCUUUACGUAAGGUAGAAUCUUCUUGUCUAGCCUCCCUGAUGGUUUGACUUGCAACAUUACCAGCAUUAGAAUCACCAAGAUUGACAUCCUAUGAUCAACAAUCAGAGACGGAGAAAGUUAGAACUUUUAAAUCAACCUAGUAUAGAUUUCGUUUGAUCUAGAGAAGGAAAAAUAAAAGAAUUUAAACAACAUACCAUUCCGAGCUUCAAAUUUUGAUAAUCUGAUUCAAGUCUUUUGCUAUCGUCUUCACGUAAGGUAUAAUGUUCUUGUAUAGUCUCCCUGAUGCUUUGACUUACGACAUUACCAGCAUCAGAAUCACCAUGAUGAUCUCGAACACUGUCAUCCUAUGAUCAGCAAUCAGAGAAAAGAACUUCAACAAACCAUUUCGAGCUUAAAGUUUAGACCUUUGAGCUCAACCCUAGUAUAGAUUUAGUUUGGUUUAAGACAAGGAUUCAAAAGAUGAAAAGAACAAACCAUUUGGAGCUUCAUAUUCUGAUGAUCUGGUUCAAGUCUUUUGCUCUCGUCUACAAAGCCUUCAUCCAAGGUAGAAUCUUCUUCUUCUUUAGUCUCCCUGAUGCGUUGCCUUACGACGUUACCAGCAUCAGCAUCACCAUGAACUCCUUUAUCCUAAGGUAUAAACAAUGAGACAGAAACGAAAAAUUAACCAAAGCAUUUCGUGUUAAAGUUUAGACCUUUAAACCCAAACCCUAGUAAUUCCAUUUGAUUAAGCCACCGACACAUCGAAACUAAAAACUAAAAACACCAAACACAUGUGCGAUGUCUAUGAGAUGACGAUCACGAUCAAAAUUAACCCUAGUAUUAUGAUCGCGUAAAAAGCCGAACAAAAUCGAUUCGACUCACCAUAUUUUUUAGAUUUGAUCCUUCCUUCCUUCCUUCUCUCGACUUGGAUUCUUACGAUUUUCAGUUCCUUUCGUUUGGGGAAAAAACUCAGCAAACACAAACACGCGACUUUAUCCAGAGGGAAACGAUUACAAGUUAACACCUUUCUCAUACGAUUUUACUUCUAUUUUAUUACUCUGUUUUACAUUUAAGUCCUCAUAUUUUAUACCUUUUUUUAUAUUUGGACCCCAAACAUUCGUUUUUGAUAAUUUACUCCACAUUUUAGAAAGGAAAGUGCAACAGAACCCACAAAGAAACUGUCUUAAUUCUUCUUUUGGUUGUCUGGAUUUGUUUGUAUAGAGUAAAUUAGUAGGCAAAUGAAGAGUGGGAGCUUAUCUUGGUUGAGCAUUGCUAGCACAAAAGAACUCUCACAAAUGAAGCAAAACCAAGUGCACAAGAGAAACUAGAAAAGGUUAAGCAAGUCAGGCUCAGAUUAAGUUCGAAUUUGUGGUCAAUCUCAUGCUCUCAGACCAUGUAUUGUGGGCUUGGAUAACAUACUUGUGCCUAUGUCAGGUUGGUAAGGGAUUAUGGAAAAAUAAUAAAAUCGUCAUAAACUCUGAGAAGCUUUAGCCAAAAAAAAGAAAAAAAAAACUUUCAGAAGCUUAAAUUCAAUCCUAAAACUUCUUAACGGUUCUUAUCUGCAACUGCAAUCUGCCUUCACAAAAAAAUAAAACAUAUGUAUAUAUAUAAGCCAUGACAGAAGCAAACGGAAGAAGCCAUAAAAUUAUGUAUACCACCACUUAUCAGUCCCUCUAACAAACAAUACAUCAAAUCUUUGCCCCCCCUACUUGAUCCAAGACAAUAUUGUUGCUUGUGUGCUUCCAGCUGGAAAAAAAGACCUCAUGUUCUUCCAAACCUUCAACAACAGUAUGCUGUUUUCUUCAAACAUGCACGUUCUGAAACUCUCGAGGAAAGUGCCUGCAAAACAAACCACAACUUUUGAUCAGACGUGAAACCAGAAACAAAGACACAACGUGACUGAGCUAGAAAAUUGCACUGUUCAAAGCAACAACUCAAAACCAACGUUUCUGGAUUGUGAAUCUGUGACUACGUUAAUUCUCCAAAGCUAAACCAUGUGAUCAAGAAGAUGCACAGUUUACCUUAAUCAUCAUUAUCUUGCAACAGGUUUUUGAAGCAGAGCUGUCAAGAAAACUUCACCAUGUUUCGAAUCAACUUUGUUCGCCACCGCCCACUUCACCUUCUUAUAACCCAACUUCCCGAUCAUCGGCGCAUACACAUUCUCAAGAUCAACCUUUUUGCUAAAAAACCGGUCCAACCAUAGAUAACCACCACCUCGAAGAACCCGGUCCAAAUCAAACAAGAAAAACUCCAUAACCGUAACCGGAAUCCACCGGUUCACCGCCCGUCCACACCUAACCAAAUCCACCACACCGUCAAACACCGGAAGCCUCUGCUGUAGAGGCACGUGGAGCGGCACGAGCCCUCUCAACGCCACCGCCUCGCUAUACGGCGCGUUGAAGUUCAUCGUCGUGGUCAGGACGGUUACAUUGCGAGCCUUCAUCGCCGCGGCGAAAGAUCCGGUCCCACCGCCGACGUCGAUCCCGAGCCGGAGGACGGAGUUGGCGGUUUUGGCGAUCUGGAGGAGCUGAGAGAUGGGGAGAUCGAGCUCGGACUUGUAAGAAGAGAAUUGAGAUUUGGAUUUGUGGAGGGAGAGAUCGAAACCUAGACCGGGGAACUUCGUCGUCAAGCAAUCGAAAGUCUUGCACGAGUAGUAAGACCAGAUAACGUUCGACUCCGGUUUGGAAUCGGUCGGGUUUCGCGGCGUACGGGAGAAGCAGCGACGGCGAGGGAGCGGGUGGCAGCCGCGGAGGAUGAGUUUCUCGGCGAGAUCGGUGUCGGAAGGGCAAGUAAAGAAAGGAGUGUAGUUCAUGUACUCGUGGAGGAGGUCGGGGUAGUUGUGGCAGGCGGAAGCUAUGGGAGAGAGCUUAGAGUAGAGGAGGAGAUCUUUCGGCGGCGCGGAGGAGGAAAUGGUUGAUGAAGUUGAAGUAGAUUUGUCCGGCUGGUGGUGGGUUGUGAGGUGGUUGAUGGCGGAGCGGAUAGUGUGGAGCUGACGGAGGAGGUGGUCGGGGACAGUGGGGACAGAGGACGGUGAGGAUUUGAGGGUGGAUUCGAAGAAGCUGGUGGUGGAGGAGAGAUGGUAGAGAGAGAGGAUGUUGGUAGCUACCAUAGCUACUAGUAGAAGCAGAUUCAAGCUCAUUGUGAAUCCCGCCAUUGUUGUCUCAAGAGCUUCCUUCUCCUAGCUCUCGGAUUCAAGUUCUUGAAUCUCUGUUUCGUCACACAGAUUCUUGGUUAUUUUUUUCCUGAGAGAGAACCUGAUUCUUGGGAUUUAAUGGUGUCUUAAAGCCAAGAUUUCUGGGUUUUUUUCAGGCUGGAUUCUUGGAGUUAGUGACACUUAAGUGAGAUAAGCUUUCCAUCAAAGAGGAGACCUUUGAAGUCAAAGUCUUGUAGUAGUAAGAUACAAACAUAGAUCUGAUUUUAUUUUUUCUUUUUGUCAAAUAUGUAACUAAUUUUACAAUGGAAAAAGGCAUUUAUUCGGAUCCAGUGUCAUUAUUGAUUUCCCAAAAUUUGCAUAGAAAAAGUAAAUAAUCCUGGUGAAAAGUUGUACUAGUAAUUAAAAUGAUCUUAAAGGCACGUAGGAAAAUUUAACACAUGUCUUUUACUUACCUUUUCAGACGCUAGCUAUGUCCUUUUAUCGUGAUAAAAUGUCAUAAUAUGAUUUUGCCGAGGGCUGGGCAGAAAACCCGGAUCCGAAAAAUCGAACCGAACCCGAUCCGAAAAAAGUAAUACCAAACCCAAACCGAAAUUGAUUAAAUAUCCAAACGGAUUCAAAAUUUUGGUAUUUAAAGAAGCAAAAUCGAACCCGACCCGAACCGAAGUAUCUAGAGUACCCAAAUGUAACCGAAAUAGAUUUAUAUACCUAAAUAUAUUACUUAUUUUUAUAUUUAAUAUAUAUUAAAAACAUCCAAAAUAUAUAAGAUACUUUAAAAUUAUCUAAAAUACUUGAAAAUAUACAUAAAUAGUCAAAGUAAAUGUCCAAAUAGCUAAAAAAUAUUCAAAACACCAAAAUGCUUGAAAUAUCUAUUGAUGUUCUAUCCAAAUAUUUAAAUUAAACCAAUUUAUAUGUUAAUUUUAGGUAUUUUCACAUAUAUUAUACAAAUUUAUAUGUAAUAUAUUAAUUUGAUUUAUAGAUUUUGAGAAAUUUUAAGCAUAUAAUGAAUAUUAAAAUUUUAAAAAUAAUUUAAAUGGGUUAUCCGAACCCAAACUGAACCCGCAAAGAUUCGAACCGAACCCGAAUCGACAUUUAGAAAUAUCCGAACGGGGCUGAAAUCUUUAAACCCGAAAACUCGAAACCCGAUUAGAUCCGAACCGAACCCGGAUGGAUACCCGAACGUCCACGCCUAAUUUUUCUAUUAAGCUCGUAUGAAUAUGCGAGCACAUUGUAUGCUUCCUAACCUUGGAACCCUGGUAGAGAUUGACGAUUGUGGAAGGUGCUGAAUAUACCAAGUACUGUACUUUCUCUCAUCUUUCUAUUCGUAGAAGACCGAGAGGGAUUAUUAGUUUCUAAAACUCGAGUAAUGUUGGUAUUUUCAUUAGAAUGUGAACAUUGUGUUUUAACUAAAUGGUAACCUUGGUCAUACCAGUGUGUGUGUUGUUUCUUUAAUAAACCUUGUAAAAAGGCUGGAGAAAUGCUUGAACUCUGGAAAAAAUUAUUGCAAUGUAGACGACAUGCAAACUUGCAGCUCAUAGUGCCGUCAAGAAAACUUCUUUAAUUCUCCAAAGAAGUCGACAAAACAAACUUGCAUCUCUUCAGAUGGAAAGCUUGGUACUGUUAAAUGUUUCUGAAUUUAUCAUCUGCUAGCUUUAUAUACGAUAAUAUUUAGAAUCGAAGUGCAACAUUUGGCUUAGUUUUGUUUUGUUUAUGGGAAUAUUAAAGGUGAGGUAAAGCAGAUGCCUAAUUUUAGAAAGUUUCAGUUAAGACAAUUAGAGCAUAUGUUUGCUGUUUUAUGUACUCAUGGACAACAAUGCACAUACUGUAGAUUAUGGGAAAGAUGAUUUUAUUAUUAGAUGAAGGAAACGUAUAUAUACAUGUACAGCAGAGAGAUUAGGGUAUACUAAGUACUAGUAAUUACAAGAGAGGGUCCUAACUUAAUGUAUUUACAUAUAUCUCUUAUACGCCCCCUCAAGAUGGAGGGACCGCGAUCACUCCAAUCUUGGAACAUGCUGUCUGAAAGUGAGUUCUUGGGAGUGGCUUGGUUAGUGUAUCUGCCAGCUGAUCUCGUGUGGAAACAUGUUGAACUCGAAGCUGGCCAGCCUGAAUCAUAUUUCGUGUAAAAUGAUAAUCCAACGCAAUAUGUUUCAUUCUUGAGUGGAAAACCGGAUUGGCACAGAGGUAGGUGGCACCAAUGUUGUCACAGUAGAUAACAGGAGGGACUGCUAGGUAGCGAUGAAGAUCUGAGAGUAAAGAGCAUAGCCAUGUUACCUCAGAGGCUGUGUUUGCGACAGCACGAUAUUCGGCUUCAGUGGAAGAUCUAGCAACUCCCUUUUGUUUCUUUGAUGACCAUGAGAUAGGAUUCUUGCCUAGGUAUAUGAUAUAACCAUUUGUGGAUACAAAAUCAUCUGUAUCACCUGCCCAAUCGGCGUCAGAAAAUGCAUGUAGGGAGAAGCUAGAGUUCUUGUGGAGAAAAAUUCCAUGGGAGCGUGUACCAGCAAGGUAGCGGAGGACCCGUUUUGCCGCCUGCCAGUGAUCAAUAGUGGGCUUGUGCAUGAACUGCGAUAGACGUGUGACAGCAUAAGAGAUAUCAGGUCUUGUGAAAGCAAGAUACUGAAGACUGCCAACUAUAGAUCGAUAUUCAGACCCAUCCUCAAGAAGAGUGCCGCUAUUGAGUGUGAGUUUGGGGGAUGUAGGUAGAGGUGUGGCUACUGGUUUCGCGUCAGACAUGUUGGUGCGGUGAAGAAGAUCUGUAAUAUAUUUACGCUGCAUCAGGUGAAGACCAUUUGCUGUGCGGGUAGCUUCUAUGCCAAGGAAGUAUUGCAAGUCCGUUGGGUCUUUAAUGGAGAAGCGAUGAGCGAAAGCUUCAAGUACUCGAGAGACAAGGUUCGAGUUGUUUCCGGUGACAAGGAUGUCAUCAACAUAGACCAGAACAUAAGUGAUGUUGUCGUUGUGAGCAUGCACGAAGAGAGACGCAUCGGCUGUCGAGUUUACGAACCCAGUGUUGAGCAAGUGUUGUUUGAGCGAUAGAUACCAUGAGUGUGGAGCUUGUUUGAGACCAUAGAUUGGUUUGCGGAGACGACAGACAUGAUUGGGGCGGUCUUUGUCAACAAAUCCAGGAGGCUGCAUCAUGUAGACAAUUUCAGUAAGGUCGCCUUGAAGAAAGGCGUUGUUAACGUCCAGUUGCUUGAUAGGCCAAGAUUUCGUAACUGCAAUGUCUAGGACAAGUCUGAUCGUGGUUGAUUUUAUCACGGGGCUGAAUGUCUCAUCGAAGUCGAUCCCUUGUUGCUGUGUAUAGCCUUUGGCGACGAGGCGUCCUUUGCGACACCGGAUAGUUCCAUCAGGCAAGUAUUUCGUCGUAAACAGCCAUCGGCAGCCAAUAAUGUUGUGCUGAUUGGUGUUUGGCUCCAGAUCCCAUGUAUGGUUCUUGAUAUGUGCAUCAAAUUCGGUGUUUGCUGCGGAUCUCCAUUCAUCAUCUUUGAGAGCUUGAGCUAUCGUAGUUGGUUCUGAGUCCAAUCUUUUUCUGCCUGCAACUGAAAGAGUUAGUUUCUGUAUCGGUUUUGAAAUUUUAUUUUUGGCUCUGGUUUGCAUUUUGUGGAUAUUUUGUGGUUGUUCUGGUGGUGGAUUUUGUGGUUCAAUAGGUUGAGUUGACAGGGGAGUUGAGGUAGGAGUUGUAUUUAAUAAUGGUGAGGUCUGAGUCGUGGGUGUCGACUCAUUUUGAAGUGGAGCAGUGGGCUCUGUUUGUGUAUUGGGAGGCUGAGCCGGGUUAGGCUCAUUUUGAGAAUGAGCAGUGGGCUCAGAGGGAGAGGCAGAAGAUAGAUUUUCAGAGUUAGAAGGCAAUACCUGUGAUUCUGUUGGCACUUGUUCCGGUGGUGGAGUAGACUGGUGAAGGCUCGAGCUUGGGUGUCCCGGACUUGAUGACGGCACAGAGUUGACUGGUGUGAACAUAGAACUCGAGAGAGCAGGAAGUUCCUCUGCAGUAGCAGACUUAUGUGAGGUUGAUGGCAAGGCAAACGGGAACACACUCUCAUCAAAUGUGACAUGUCUUGAGGUAUAGAUACGGCUCGUAGAUCUAUCAAGGCAGUAGUAUGCGCUCUGUGUCUGAGAGUAGCCAAGGAAGACACACCUUUUGGAUCUAUCAUCAAGUUUGUGAGCUGUAUACGGACGAAGCCACGGGAAGCACAAACAGCCAAAAACUCUUAGCUUUUCAUAGUUUGGCUUGGCACCAAAGAGAGUGUAGUAUGGCGAGCGCAUGUUCAGUAGAGGCGUUGGUAGUCGAUUGAUGAGAUAGACUGCAGCAGAGAAGGCGUACGUCCAGUACUGCUUCGGUAUGGAUGCCGUAGAGAGUAGUGUGAGACCUGUCUCAACAAUGUGGCGGUGCUUUCUCUCGGACAUGCCAUUAUGUUGUGGUGUAUGCGGUGGAGACGUAAGAUGAGUGAUGCCAUGGUGUGCCAGGAAGUCACGUAAGGCAAUGUACUCGCCCCCAUUGUCAGAAAAGAGUGUGCCUAUCUUGGUCUGAAACUUGUUCUCGACGAGUGCUUUGUAAGCAAUGAAGACCUCUUUCACUUGUGAUUUCUUUUUGAGGGGAUAGAGCCAAGUGUAUCUUGAGUAAUGAUCAACCAAAACAAUGUAGUAUUUAUAGUUGUCGAUCGAUGUGAUAGGAGAAGACCACACAUCUGUAAAAAUAAACUCAAGAGGACGAUUGGAAGUAAUAGUUGAGUGUGAAAAAGGCAAACGAUGGCUCUUAUUAAUUAAACAUUCAGAACAAGAUAAGUGUUUUUGUUUGGUAGAUGAAAGAGGUAAAGAAAACUGAGAAAUAAUAGUGUUUAAAACUGAAAAAGAAGGGUGGCCGAGCCGAGAAUGCCACGAGAAUAGAGAGGUUUUCGGAUUUGAUGCAGUAACCAUGGCCUUUGCUUGUGACAGAGAGACAGGCCAUUCAUACAACUCAUUUUUAGUCUUUCCUUGGAGCAAGGGGACACCCGUGCUGAGAUCCUUCACCUGAAAUGAAGCCGGGAAAAAUUCAACCGAAACACCAUUAGUAUUGCAUAAACGGUAGACUGAUAUCAGGUUCUUAUCAAUAUUAGGAACACAUAGAAUUUUCUGUAAAGAUAAAUCACGAGUAUGUGUUGGUAUUAAAGAAGAACCCGUGUGGGAGAUUGAUAAUUUCGAACCAUCAGCAAUGAGGACGUCAUCAUUGCCCUGAUAAGGUUGAUGCAUCGAGAGGUUGUUGAGGUCUGAGGUAAUAUGGUGAGUAGCCCCCGAGUCAAGAAGCCAAUUGGCUGCAGUGUAUGGAGCAUUCAUCACCAUGUUUGCUCGCGGUUGGUAUGGUUGGAAGGGAGUGUUUUGUGGCUGAUGCAUGAGCGGCUGAAGGGUCUGGAACUGAGGGCAGCGUCUGGCACUGUGGCCCUGUGUGUUGCAUAUCUGACAUUUGCCCAAGUAAGGUCUGAAUGACCGCAUCUCUGGUUUGUUCGAGGCAGGAGCAGGUUGUCUAUUUGCCUCAUUGUUGUAGUUGUUGUUGUUCCUCCUAUUGUUGUAGUUGUUGUAGUUGCGGUUGCCGCUGUUGUGAUGGCGAUGUUGAACUGCAUUCGCAGUGGUGGGAACGAUCGCAGAGGGUGUUUCUUUGGCGUGUAGAAGCUUGGCUUCAAAGUUGAGCAGCCUCUCAUGUAUCUCCGUGAUGCUGGGAGCAGUGUCUUUGCCUUCGAUCUGGUCCACAACAUUCUUGUACUCGUCAGGGAGCCCGCCGAGGAUGAUCUCCACUUGAUCUUCAUGAUCAUAGGGCUUACCAAGGAUGGCAAGUUGAUCCAGUUUGGUGACAACACCUUGGAGAUACUCGUCAACGGUUUUGUCGCCUUUGGUGAAGAAACGCAGCUGAUCACGAAGUUGUUUUAUGUGUCCUCUACUUGGUUUCGCAUAUGUUUCAGAAAGCUUCUCCCAGAUCUGAGCAGCCGUGGUGGAACGAGAGACCAUAGGUUGAAUCGACGGAGAGAUCGCACCAAGGAGAGCACUGUAGAUCAGUUUGUCCUGCCUUGUCCAGCGAACAAAUUCAGGAUUUUCAGAGGAGACAUCAUCGGCAGUGAUUGUUGCGUCUGGAACGGUGGUUGUUGAAUCGAGAUGCUUGGAGAGUGCGUAACCAUCAAGCAAGGCAUGAACUUGAAGGCUCCACAUGAGGUAAUUGGUGCUGGUGAGCUUUGCAACAUUAGACAUGUUGAGAUUGAGAAGAGUGUUUGAGUUGAGAGAGAUGACUUCAUUGGUAUUUGUCGAUGAACUCAUUGUGGCGGCUAAGAGAUUUGUUUGAAAAAGUUUUUAGGUUUGUAGGAGCGUAAGCUCUGAUACCAUGUAGAUUAUGGGAAAGAUGAUUUUAUUAUUAGAUGAAGGAAACGUAUAUAUACAUGUACAGCAGAGAGAUUAGGGUAUACUAAGUACUAGUAAUUACAAGAGAGGGUCCUAACUUAAUGUAUUUACAUAUAUCUCUUAUACAUACAACAUGAACCAACAAGAUAUACCUUAUAAGCUUAGUUAGGAUUAAGAGGUUUGAAGAUUAUAAUGGGAUUAUUACAGUUGUGAUGGGACCGUAUUAUAUAAACUACGGAGAGCUGAAUAUUGUAAAGAAUAAAAUUGAUAAAAGUAUACCAAAGAUUAAGAAAAAGGAUGAUACAACUGCAGAGGCGAGAUAUUAUCUCUUUCCUUAACUCAAAAUACGUCCCGUAGUGCGACGGUUUGAUAACGUAAUGAGUCCCAAGAUACAACUGCAAAAAUCUUCUGAUUUGCGUCACUCUAUCAGAAGCCUGGCGAAACUAGUUUUGUGUAUACUCUCAGACUCAAAGAAAAUAUCAAAGAGAAAGAAGAGAGAAAAAAAAUAAUGUGAGGGAUUUGUUUUUUCUAUUCGUCUCUGAAUGAGCCUUACACGUUUGAUAUUUAACUUCAAAAGUUAAAGCUACGUUACAUAUUAUGGAGUCAACCAACGUUUAUAUUGUAGUGCAGUAAUGGAAAUUGAUUCUCCAUGACUCACUUACGUUGACAAAGUAAUUAUUGCUUUUUUGACCAAAUCAAUUCAAAGCCAAUGAAUUACUUUUGUGGGUUUGCAUUUUUAUGCUUUAAUAAAACAUAAAAGAUUAUCACUAAUAAACUUUGAAAGAAUAAGUUAAUUGAUAUAUUGUUCAAUCAACAAAUUCAAAUCCAAAUUCAAACCCAAAUAUCCAAAAUAAAACAUAUGCUAAAUUUAGCCAAAUAAAAUGCUUUAUAAGCUUUUUAUAUAUUUAUUUUUGGACCUCCAUUUUUCAUUCAAAAUAACUUGGGUUUUAACAAUCAAAUACACUAACUCAUAGUGUUCAUGGUGACGAUUACAUCGUGCCCAAAUUCCAGUUUUUCCGACAGACGUCUCCGUCGAAAAAUCCAUCGGAAAAUGAUCCACACCACUUUGUCAAAAAACGAGUUCCAACAAGUUGAGGUAUAGAUAUGGCUUGGGGGAACCUGGUGAACUACUUAAACAAGAAAACCUGUCAGUUUUUGUUUCUAACUUAAAGUUGUUUCACGUUUGACAUAAUCCUUUUAAAGUAACCCAUUAAAUAAUUUAGAAUGGGACUAUCCAAUACCAAUCACUUACUGAUAAUUUAAUCAAAGUAUAAUGGUUCAGGUCUUCAUUUAUUAAAACCAUUCUUCUUUAGUGUCAAGUCCAAAGGGACUAAAGCCAAGAUCUACACUAUUUAGUUAAAAAAAAAAAGAAACAAGAUCUACACUAUUAUAUUGAACAAAUAUCUGAAAUGGUUUUCUAUGGGUUAAGCAUGGACAACUCAGAGCUUCAAGGGUGAAUCCUCUGUGAUAUGUCUCAAAGCACAUGAAGUUAAUAGCCUCAGGGAGCUCAUUAUACUUGAGAUGAUAGCAUCAUCUCUUGUUACUGAUAAUCUGCUAGUCCAAAACUAUUCCUUUUUUCUUUUUACAAUUUUUUUGGUUAUAGUACAAUUUACAAUCACAUAUUUAUGCAAGUAAAAACGCUGAAAAGGAAUGAAGCAUUCCUUUUCCAACGCAAAAAAUACCAAUAGCCAAAGAAAUAUAUAAAAGAAAAAAGAAAGCAGAGUGCAAAUAGAAGCAAUAUAUAUAUGUUCAUCAAAUCAUUUUGUUGUACUUGUAUAGAAGUUCUGAUGCAGCAUCCCUUAGAUCUUCGUACUGAUAACAUCCAUCGAAGAAGUCAGCAAGCUUCAUCAGUUCUUGAUCUUCCAUGUCAUCCACAAACGGCUUAAUGUGAACUCCAUUAUCAGGCUGCAAAGAGUAGGAGAAAGGAUUAUCAUCAACUAGCAAAACACUCCCGAGGUCUCUCCUCGCCACCAACGAUAAGUCUUUGGCAUAUCUCCCGUUCACUUCCGUGCAUGAAUCUCUAUACAGCCGCUGCGAGAUCACACGGUUCUUGUCAAGUUUAUCCAAAACCUGCGAAGCAUAUUCAGGCAAACCGGCUGUGAAAACCGCCACUCGGUAAUUCUUACCGAUCCUGUCAAGAAACUCGGUAACUCCUGGUCGUUUCACCACAUACAUCGGUGUGACAACUCCUUCGAUCUUUAUCCUCAACAUGAAGUCGACAUUAACCCGGAGAGGUGGUUCCAUGGACGAGUGCACCAAUGUUUCAUCGAGAUCAAGAAAGAUGGUCCUCUUCUUGUCAUGGCGUUUUCUCAGAAGGUGCUGAUGAUGAUGCUCGUGUUUCUUGAUCUUUUUGUAGCCAUGUUUCAUGGUGGCUCGGCGGCUAGGAGUUGCGCUACCUUUGGUGGAUAGACGGAAAAGCCUGGAGACGCAACGCAAGAGGCGGUUGUGGAAUGUGAAGAUUGACAUGUUGAGGGCUGCUGCAACAGCAAUAGCCGAACAUCUGGAUUGUUGACGUUGAUGCAGGUUCCUCCUUCCAUGUUUAUGACAUCCAUGUGGUCUCUGGUUUGGUUUCUCUAUAAUUCCAUGGCACACCAUUUAUCAAGAGAAGAGAGUUUAGAAAUAGUGAGAAUGAUUCCUGAUUUUUUUUGUUCUUGGAAACUUUGGAGAAAUGGUGAUAUGUAUAUAAAAGCUCUAAUGGUUUUAACUAUUAACUUCCAUGACAUUGGCUUUGGAACUGAAAGGUACUUGAUUUGGUAUUAGUUUAGUUUGUUCAGGUUGUGAUUAGAGGCUCUUGAGUUAUUUAUAGCAAAAAUAACAGUUUUGGAAACCGACACAUAUCUGAGGUUUGAUUGUGUCUCCAUGUGUUUGUUCUCUCAAUGGACAGCAAUAUGUAAAUGUGAAGACAGUUGAGAAAAGUGUUUCAACUAAAAGAGGUUGAGAGAUUUUCAUGGGAUUACAGUUGAAGUAUCAAUGCUUAUUAAUUUUGUGUUACAUAAACUAAAUUGGGCACUUUAAUAUAUAUCUUUAUAAAAUGAAAUGAACAUUGGUUUUCAGUUUUUUUCUCCUCUAUGAUAUUAAAUAAACAUUUUAACACUCGUUUUUAAGAACAUAUCUUGAACCAAACUAUAUACUAUAAUAUUUUACAAUUUACUCAAAGAACUCUCAGGAGCUAAAGUAAACAGGAAGUGAGAAUACCGUUUCAGAGUGUUAGAAAACAUGAUGUGCACCAACUAUUGCUUCAUCCUCAUCAUCAUCAUCAUCAUCUACUUCCGGUCCGAUUUGAAGCCGGUAUGUCUCUAAGUCGUGUUCUUGGGAUGAUGAGAGAUCUGCAAAAAACCAACGCGAAAAGCAGUUCCGUAAAGAACAAGCUCAUGCUGAUCCAGACGAACAAAGUUCUCCGCCAUUUCCAAACAACUCUUUUGAAGAAAGGAAGAUCUGAUUCAAGCGAGAGGGACGCGUCGUACAGCUCUGGAAUACCUGCCCCUGGUCGAAACUCUGCACGUUGUUCGAUCAUCACCUUUAAGCAAGCGGUGGGAGUAUCCUUUUCCGCAAAGCCUUUCAACUUCAAGGUCAAGGUUUGGAUCUCAGAGACGUAUCCUGUGACCAACGGAACCACUUUGAAAAAUGUCUGGACGAGACGGAUAGGCUCGCUUCUGAAUCUUAACAUGCACGGACGCCUUAUAGUAUCAAGCAUUUGACCAUCCGCAGAUAACAAAUCCACCCGAACCUUCAAACACAUAAGUCAAUACCUAAUGCAAUACUUAGAAUGUUACUAGAUAACGUUAAUAACCUGAAACAUGCCGAGGUUUUUAUUGUAAUAGGACUCAGGCAACGUCAAGGAAAGAGUGAUCUCUAGCUUGUGGCCACGAGGGAUAGCUCGCAAUCCCCUGAUCUUCAUCAUCUCAUUACUCUCCUUACAGCUUCCAUCGCACGCAACACCAGCACAUGACGUAAUAGGCACAAACGCCUCAGGACUACUCUUGGUGUAAUCGAAAUUCAAAACCUCCUUGAUCACAAACGGUCUAUCGGCUACACGGGUUAUCGCAAACCCACCAAGCACAAAAGCCAAAACCAAGAGUCCAAACAACAAAGCGCCUACAUAAGCAGCUCUAAACAAACCCCAUCCGAACUUGCAAGCAACGUUCACCGCACGUUUGGUAUCUUUGAACCCACUCAGCUUAAGAGCUCGAAAUAGAAUUUCAGUAAAGACGGAAACUUGCGUGAGCAAGAAUCGUCUGCCGAGCUUGAAAGUGGUGAAGGGGUCGAAAGGGAAGAGGAAGCAGCAGUUGAGCAAGAAAGGAGAAGACUUUACGAGGCUGCUCAUCAGUUUGAAUUGAAAUCCGAUUGCUUUGAACACUAGCCCGAGGAGAGACCCAUCUGUUGAGAGCUUCUUCUUCGGUGGUGGUGGUGGUGGAGAUACUGCAUCGCUCACGGUGGAUUCUCCACUUUCCUGAACCGGGUCAACCCGACCCGAAUCGGUUACAACUCCAUUCAUAUCCAUAAUCACAACCAAGUCGGUCUCUUUCUCUGUUGAAUCAAUCGCCUCGCUGUCUAUCUCGCUUGCGAGCUCUUCGUAGGUGGGUUUCGAAAACCCAUUGGAAGAGGAGGAGGAGGAGGAGGAAGAAGAAGACGAGUCCGUUUCUGCAUCGGAGCAAAUGAACUUGCGGCGGGGUGCCGACCUUCGUCGACGGAGACCCAAGGCGGAGGGUUUACGGAGGGGGUAGCGACGGGUCAUUGGGAUGCAAUUCGUCUGAGGCGCCGAGGAAUGGAUCGAAGGAGUGGUGCAUCGAUGGUUUAAGUUAGAAGAAGAGGAUGAUGGGGAAGGUGACGGGUUUCAAGGUCUCGGUGCCGAUAAGCAUGAUACUUGACAAAUGGCAUGACCCAACUAUAUUUCUUUUUCUUUUUUUUUUUGUUUUUUUUUUCUAAUCGGCGGGAUCCUAACCGAGCGGGCCAUCAAACCGGAUUAUCUGAUAACCGGAUAUUAAUGGUUCAGCUCGGUUUGAUUUAGGUUUAGUUACGAACUGAUCUUUAUAAACUUAGUUUUAUUCGUUUUCUUUGCAGUUCGGUGGCGCCACAAAUUAUACCGGAUAUCAACCUUUUGUUUUUUUUUUCUUUUUUUUUGACAUCGUAUCAACCUUUUGUUUCAAAAUAAAAACUAAAUAAUGAUCCGUCCUUAAAAGCUAUGGAAAUAUUUUUGUAACAAAAUCUAAUUUGUAAUAUCAUUGGAUUUUAACAUUUUUUUGAUAAGUAAUGUUUUAACAUUUUUAUUUUAGCAUAUUUGAAAAUAUAUAAUUAUAUUAUUUUAUAUUUAUAUUAAAUAGAACAAUAUUUAAAAUAUUAUUUGGUUUUACUUUUAAUUAUUUCAACUUGUUUCACUACGAUUAAUAAAAUCUAUGGUAUUUGUUUGAUUAAAUUUGUGAUAUAUAUUUUUUUGAUAAAUUUUUAGUUAUAAAACUUACUUGAUUUUAAUUUAUUGUCUCUAACCAAGUAUAAUAUCACAUAUAUAGUUAUAUGUUUUUAAAAAUAAAAAAAUUUAGGGUAUGAAUGGUGACCAGGGAACGGUGAGGAAUAAUGCAUUCUCUAACGUUCCUAAAAGAAAUCAUCAUUCACAAGGAAUAAUAAUUCCUUCUCAUUCCCUUUCAUUCACUUUUUUGUAGAGAAUUUAAGAACAAAAAUAUUCCUUGUUAAAUUUGAUAAGGAACAACCAUUCCUUUUCAUUCCUGAUAUUUUGUUCUCGUACAUUCCUUUUUUAUUCGUUCCUCUUGAUUCCCAAAUGGUCAUCAGUCAGACCCUUAGGGUGUGACUGGUGACCAAGAAAAUGAGAAGAAACACUAUGUUCUUUAAUAUUCCUUAAACUUUUUACCAUUCAUGAGGAAUAAGUUUACCUUUUCAUUCUCCGUCAUUCCUUUGUUUGUAGAGAAUUAUAGAACAAAUCAAUUCCUCAUUAAUUUUGAUAAAGAACCAUCAUUUUUCAUCAUUCCUAAAAUUUUAUUCCUACUCAUUCUUUUCAUAUCCGUUCUUAUUGUUCCUAUGAUGGUUACCAGUCACAUAUGUUCUCGCAUAUUAAUUUAAUUAAUUUCAUACUAAAUGAUUGUUUUGUAGUAUAUAAACCUGCAAAAAUAGUUACACUUAUUUUCAACUUUUUAUAAAUUAUUUAAGUAGUUUUUAAUCAAAUAGUUUAAUAGAAGAUAAAUAAAAAAUUAUUAAAAAGGUAUGACCUAAUGUUUCAUAUAUUGUUUGGAAAUACGGUUAGUUAUUGUGCUGUUUGGAAACACAUUUAGUUCUAUAAUCUUAUUUUCUAGAAGAAUGUAUUUAACUAUGUAAUAAAAAUGUCUAUUUAAUUUAAAAAAUUACAAAAAAAAAAGUUGGGUCCAUGAGAAUGAUUCUGUUUUAAUAAGUAAGAUUUAUAAACUUAUGUACAACAAAUUAUACCAGAAACAUAUAAAAAUGUUAAAUCAAAAGAUGAAUACACAAAAUUAACCAACAUUUAUUUAAAUUUAACUGAAUUUCAUUUUAAGUUGUUUUUUGGAAACUUUUGUUUAAUUUUGUAUAGAUUUAAAAUUUGGAAUAUUUGAUAACAGAACCAAGGUUUAACUCGGUAGUAAAGAAUGUCGAACUCAAUUUAUCUGAUUAGCCGAAUAAACCAAAUCGAUUAAUCCGAAUGAACCGAAGUGACAUUCCUAGUUUCCAACAUGAAAAUCCGCUGGAACUAUUUUACUCCCUCAGUUUCAGUUUAUUUGUCGUUGUAGAGAAAAAAAAUUAUUUCAAAAUAAAUAUCGUUUUACAAUUUCAAUACAAAAUUUAUUGACUUUAUAUCUUCUAAUAUAUUUUUCCAUUGGUUGAAAUAUUAUUAAGUAUAUUGGUAAUAAUAUUUUUAUUUAGUAAAUAUAAAAAUUAUUAUUUUUAAUUAGUGUGCACAAGUAUAAAACGACAACUAAAAUGAAUGGGCGAAGUAUAUUGUGCACAAGUCUAAAACGGCAACUAAAAUGAAACGGGUGGAGUAUAUCCUACCUAAACUAUUUUAUAUUUGGCCAUUUACUAGAGGAAUGAGUUUUAGUUAUAUCCUAGCUGAACUAUUUUGUACUGUAUUUCGCCAAUUACAACAUCAAUUAAAGUUAUAUCCUAGUUGAACUAUUUUAUAUUUGGCCAAUUAGAACAUCGAUUAAAGUUUAAACCAUUAGUCACUGUCACACUUAAUGAAUUUUAAUUGGUCUACUUCCAUUAAGAACAUAAAAUGGUGUCUUUCCUAUUUUUGGAUUUUGUUUUUGCGCGACUAUUGUGGUCAUCUCGUCAAUAACACACACAGAGACCAUGGGAGACCAUUCAACUUUUAUAGGGUCACUGCUUUUUCGCUUUGUGGGGAUUGUACCAUUCUUUUUCUUCUUUCUUCUCCGUAAUUUCAAAUCUGACAAUAAUUUAUGGUUGUAAGAAUAAAGAUUUGUAAAAAGAGAAAAACCAGAAAAAAACGAAGGGACGAAAAAACACUGUUUGUAUGUAGUUUUUUUUUCAUAAUUCGACAAAGAAAACACUAAUCAUCAUCACACUUACCCAAACUAACCCAGACGUUUCAGAUCUUCCACACGAUUUUUAUCGUUUUUGAUGGGACUCUGAUUUUACGUAGUCUCUCGUCUGCAUUUUCUUAAGAGAUUUUGGGUUGCAUCGCUUCUGCAUGAAAUGUUUGCCGAUAAGAAAAACAAGAAGGGUGUUAAUAUCUUUGCAUUUUCUGUUUUUGCCAUCUUUUGCUUCAAGUUUUACAGUGUAAAUGCUGUCAAGUUACCAAAGAGUGAAGGUUAGUUUACGUUAUUUCCCUUUCAUAUUUGUAUAGUUUUUUUUUCCUUCUGGAUUCUGUGUUUACAGAUUUUUUGCAAAGUUUUAUUUGAUAAAUUUUCUUGAUUUCCAUUAUUUGCUUCAAUUCCGUUGAACAUGAGUUUUUUUUCUGAUUGCUUACCAUAGUUUUUUCUAAUGGUGACGUUGUUGAAGUAGCUAAUCCGAAAUCUCCAGGCAUUGAUUAGGUCACUUUGACCGUUGAGUUAAACUCUUAGUUAUGUUUUUCAUACGACGAUAGUAACAUGUAAAACGGUAAUUUCUUCAAAAAUCAUUUAAAUUGUUGGAUAGAUGGAUCAUCAUAUAUGUUUUUUGGUUCUAGGUUAGAAAAAGGUUUAGAUAAAUUGUUUAUCUUGCUUUUAUUAAUGUUCUACUCUUUGUUGUGGCCAAAAGUAUAAUCUUUGUUUUUUGCUCAAGUAACUGCACUCAUGUAUUAUGCUGUGUGUUUGCUUCUGUGAUUUAGUGGAUGCUCUGCAGCAAAUCGCCAAAACGCUGGGCUCUAAGUUCUGGAAAUUUGAUGCUGAAAAUUGUAAAGUCGAAACAGUGGGGCUAACAGAGACUCCUCCUCCGACAGCUAAGCAAGAAAUAGAAUGCGAAUGUAGUCCUACUAACGAAACUGAUUGUCAUAUUAUCAAAGUGUAAGAAUACUCAGUCACUCUUCAUAACUUUCUUUCUUUUUUGGGGUCUGUACAUAUGCAUAACGUCUGAAUAUGGUAUGUGACCUUGUCUUAAAAUGGCUAUUUGACUUGUUCUUUAGUGCAUUCAAGGAUCAUAAUCUUCCAGGAACUCUUCCACCUGAAAUACAAAAACUUCCCUACCUCCAGGAGAUGUAAGUGUUUUCAUAAAAGUACCUCAACCUUACUUUACCAAUUCUUAGUAAGCUGAAAAUUUUGACCACCGUUUCUUGAUAUACAUUAGAGACUUCGCCUACAACUACCUCAAUGGGACAAUACCACUGGAAUGGACUAUGACAAAUUUAACAACUAUGUAAGAAUAUUCCUUCUUAAUGUUUUAGCUUUAUGUGUCUAAAUUCUCUUGUAACAGUUGUAGAAUGUCUCUGCAUGCAGCUCUCUUCUUGUAAAUCGGUUGUCAGGGCCAAUUCCAAAGGAGGUCGGAGACAUGACUUCACUAACUUCCUUGUAAGUUUCGAGCAUUGGUCAACCUUCUUUGUCCUGGAACAUUUGUUUGGUUACAUUAUUUUUGUAUUUCUUGUUCAGAGAUCUAGAGUCAAAUGCAUUUACUGGAACCAUUCCUGAGGAGCUAGGCAACUUAGCCAACUUGGAAAAACUGUGAGAGUUUCUUUGAUUCCCUUCCCGUUUCUUACGAAGAUGUUAUUUUGUCUGAAAGAUGAGAUGUUUCUUGGGGUUUCACAGGUUACUUUCCUCCAACAAAUUGACGGGUGGUUUGCCAGAUUCAUUAGCUAAACUAGAGAAGUUGGAAGAUUUGUAAAACUUUUGUUCUGUUUUCUCCUAACUUAACUUCUUAUAUAAUGUUGGUCUCCUCCUUUGUUCAUAUGCCUGUUUGGUUUUUGCACCAUGCAGCAGGAUUAAUGAUCUCCAACUCACUGGAAGGAUACCUAGUUACAUACAAAAUUGGAAGGGACUCAAGAGACUGUAAGAUCCUUCUUUUGAACUCUUCUUUCUUGUUCUUAGCUUAGCACUCAAUGAUGUUAAUCCUUUUUAAUAUGCUGUAGUGAAAUGAUUGCAUCUGGUCUUACCGGUCCAAUCCCAUCGGUCAUCUCAACUUUCGACAAAAUGAAAAAUCUGUUAGUAAACACAACUCUUUUGAUGUUCUCCACAAACUUAGUUAAUGCAAACAAGCAAUUCUUACAGUGACCUAAAUUUUUUAUCAGGAGGAUCACUGAUAUAGGAGGACCAGUCCAACCAUUCCCUUCCUUAAAGAACUCAACAGAGUUCUCUAAGCUGUAAGUUAUAUUCCUUCUCGAAGCUGUUUUAUUCCAUUCAUCUCUUGAGUUUUGUUUAUACUACAUUGUAGGAUACUGAAGAACUGUAACAUUGCUGGACAAAUACCUACCUAUCUUUCAUCAUUGAAAAAUCUGGAGACAUUGUAAGCAUGCCGUCCGACAUUUUUAUCAAGUCUCAUUUAGGCUUGUACAUAUAAACAGUGAUAGAAGUGAUGAGUUCAUUGUAUGUUUUGUUGAUAGGGACUUGAGUUUUAACAAGUUGGCUGGGACAAUUCCCGCGUUUGCGCAGGCAGAAGAUCUACGGUUUAUGUGAGUGAAAAGAAUCUGUUGUCACAUACUUUUAAUGUUCUACCUUACUUUGAGUUGAUUUAAUCUUAUUUUUGUUUGCAGAAUGUUGACUGGAAACAAGCUCGAGGGAGAGGCUCCAGAUGGAUUACUAAGAGAUGGAAUCACUGUGUAUGUAUAUUUAUUCAGUUUUCUAAAUUGCUUUCUCAGAAGAAUAUGAAUCCAUUUUGAUGCCGAUUCACUUUGUUGCUGCAGAGAUCUUUCUUAUAAUAACCUCAAGUGGCAAAGUCCUGAAAGUAGUUCUUGUCGACCACACAUGUGAGGAUACCGUCAUGUUUUCUUCUUCGGUUAACGUCAUUGGAAUUUUAACUAAUUUUAUUGUGUUUAGGAAUCUGAAUCUAAACUUGUUUCAGAGUACUUCCACAAAAAAAUCGUAAGGUUCUUUCUUUUGAUCAUCUUUAGCAUCUAGAUGCAGUUGAAAUUAUUUGAACAUUUCCAAAAAAAAAAAACAUUCCACAAUUGAUGUUUUUGUAGGAGCAAGUUUCUGCCAUGCAUCAAAGAUUUUGUAUGUCCUAAAUGUAAGUACACUUGCCUACUUAAAAAAGCUAGUGAUGGUAGCUCGUCUAACAAAAGUCUCUUAUUAUAUAAUACAACAUAUUGAUAUAGAAAGUUGACUCGUUUGUUCUCUCUCAUUUAUGCAAAUUUUGUUUUAUCUGGUAGAUUAUAGCUGCCUCAAUAUAAACUGUGGUGGAAACGAUGUAACAGUAGAAGCAAACAAUAGCAAAAUAAUAUAUGAAGGAGAUGGAGAAGUUGAAGGUGGUGCUGCUAAGUACUAUCUGAAUCCUGAGUCUUACUGGGGAUUCAGCAGCACAGGGGACUACAUGGACGACAACAAUUUCCAAAACACAAGAUUCACCAUGUUUGUCCCCACAUCUAACCUGUCUGAACGGUACAAAACCGCACGAAUAGCUCCAACAUCUCUCACUUACUUCCAUGCCUGCUUGGAAAAUGGAAAAUACACUGUGAACCUAGACUUCGCUGAGAUGAGAUUCACCAAUGAUGAUACUUAUAGCCAUCUUGGAAGGCGUAUUUUCGACAUCUAUAUUCAGGUUAGUUUUUGCCCUCAACUGUUGAAAUUGAAUUCACUAAGUUGCAAGGCCAGUUUCGAGCAUAACCGGGUGAAACAGUCGUCUUAACCCCCAAGUUUUAGAAAGCUAUUGACCUCCAAAUUGUCAAAAUGUUCUUUUUAUUAAAAUUAACAUAAAAAUUGUUUAAGGCUCCGUAAAUCUCAGAUCCGGUAUGUUUUUAAGCCUUUCUUUUUUUGGCAGGAGAAACUUGUUUUAAAAGACUUUAACAUCAUGGCUGAAGCAAAGGAAGCUCAAAAACCUAUAACCAAAUCAUUUACUGUUGAUGUGACUAACCAUUUUUUAGCUAUCCGGUUGGGUUGGGCCGGUAAAGGAACCACCAGGAUUCCAGAAAGAGGAGUUUAUGGUCCUAUCAUAUCGGCUAUUUCCAUACUUUCAGGUAGCUUUCUUUUAUAGUACAAACCAGUUAUGAUCACUACAGUAGUUUCUAUUAAUAGUAACACCUUCAAUGUACAGAUUCUAAGCCGUGCGCACUCGCUGGAAGUGGAAUGAGCACUGGAGCAUCUGUUGGACUUGGAAUUGGAGUCGCAUGUCUUAUUAUCUUUCUACUAGGAGUUCUUUGGUUUUGUGGCUGCCUUCCAUGUUUCGGGCGACGAAAAGGUGAUCAUUGCCUCUUUUAGCAUUCUCUUUUGCUUUUGAUAUGGACUUGAUAACAUAGACCAGUCUGCUUAUUAUGAAUAUGAAGUAGCUAACUUGCAUCUUAGCCACAAGAAAGUGUUUCUUUGUUUAUUGAGUAUGAGUUUUUCCCACAGAUCCUAAUGAAGAAGAGUUGCCAUCUGGAACUUUUACGUUACGGCAAAUCAAAGCCGCUACUAAUGACUUCAGUCCAGCUAACAAGAUUGGAGAAGGUGGUUUUGGUCCUGUCUUUAAGGUAAAGAAUGAUUCUUGUUCUUUGAAGAGUGCAGUGCAUGCAUGCUGAUAGUAGAGUUUCAUUGUGCAGGGUGUGUUAUCAGAUGGAAGAGUUGUAGCAGUUAAGCAGCUCUCAUCUAAAUCAAGACAAGGGAACAGAGAGUUUCUAAACGAGAUAGGUGCAAUAUCUUGUCUUCAACAUCCAAAUCUUGUCAAACUUCAUGGCUUCUGCGUCGAGCGGGCUCAGAUGUUGCUUGUGUAUGAAUGCAUGGAGAACAACAGUUUAGCUCAAGCGUUAUUCAGUGAGUGUUUUUUUUUUGUUUCCACCAAAAUGGCUAAGUUGAAAGCUUCUCAGCUCUAAAACAAAAUGUGUCCUUUUUUUUUUUGGUAAUGUUUUAGGUCCAAAAGAUAAACAGAUUCCAAUGGACUGGACUACGAGGUUUAACAUUUGCUGUGGGGUUGCAAAAGGUCUCGCGUUUCUCCAUGAGGAAUCACCGUUGAAGUUUGUGCACAGAGACAUCAAGGCCACUAAUAUAUUACUGGACAAAGACUUAACUCCCAAGAUAUCUGACUUUGGAUUGGCUAGGCUAGAUGAAGAGGAGAAUACACACGUUAGCACCAAAGUCGCUGGGACUAUGUAAGAGGCUCUCUUUUUGCUUCUUUAUAGUUAUGGUUUGUUUGCUAACCAUAGGAAACUCUAUGCAGAGGAUACAUGGCACCAGAAUACGCACUUUGGGGUUACUUAUCUUUCAAAGCAGAUGUCUACAGCUACGGUGUUUUGGUUCUAGAGAUCGUCGCUGGCAUUAACAACAGUAGUUUUAUGGCGGCAGGAGAUGAAGUCUGCCUCUUGGAAUGGGUAAUUAUAAUCUGAUUCCAAGUUUUCAGUUGCUGAGCUGUUUUCUUGAUAAACCUUUUUGAUGUAAAUUUGCAGGCUACUCAGUGUGAAGAGUCAGGACACUUGAUGCAAGUUGUGGAUGAGAGAUUGAGACCUGAAGUCAACAAAAAGGAAGCAGAGGCUGUAAUAAAAGUGGCUCUCGUGUGCACGAACGCUUCUCCGACAGAUCGUCCUAUAAUGUCAGAGGUCGUUGCAAUGCUCGAAGGUUUCUAUCCAGUGCCUGAUUCAACCCCUGGAACAAGCAAGAAAUCAGGGGAUAUAAGGUUUAAGGCGUUCAAAGAUGUAAGGAAAGGCAUGGAUAACGACAGUAAGACGCAGUGUUCUGUUAACAGUUAUCCUUCUUCUUCUUUUUCUUCCACUAAUAAUGUGGAUACUAAUGUGGCUGGACAAGAAACAAAGCAAGAAGAGCCAAGGAGCUGAUCAUGAGGUUUAUAGUUCCUGUUCUUUCUCUUUUUUUCUUUUUUCUUUUUUAAUUAUCUGACUGUUAAUUUGUAAUAUGUUUUGGAAGCCUAUUACACAACUAGAGUCCAUUUACUGUAACUUUUUUUUUCUUGCAUCAUAUUAAUUGUUGAUUAGUUAGGGACUGAGUGUUUGUGGAAAACCAAAACUCAGAAUGUAAUGAAAUCAGUUAUCUUUUGCAGUCAUACUUUUGAAGCCUUUCAGUUCUACAUCAUGAAAAGAUUUCCUUGUCUUUUAUGUUAGCAUCUAUUGAAGCUUGAUUAGCUAUCUUGAGGACAUUCAAAAAAUUAAAAGAUAUGAAAUGACCAGUGAUGUUUCUCAGUCACACUUUUGAAGCCUCUAAAUCUAAUCCAAAGUGUUCCCAUGUAAUUGGUAUGUUCUAGUUUGAAUGAUUUGUGCUACAAACUUAUGUCAGAUAUUUUAAAUUGUCAUUAUCAAUAAUCAAGAGCAACAGAACAAAGAAUAUUCUUCAAAUAUUUUUUUUCUACAUACGAAAGUUAGAAAAAAACUAAGAAAUGUACAUCGAAUAUAUACGCUCAUUCCAGAUAUUUGUUUACAAAACGCUUUUCACUAUAACAUUCAAAAAAAUAUGUUUAUGGUAUUGGAAUGCGCCAUUUACAUAACCUAUAAAGAAAAAAAAAAUCAUGUUUAGCAUUUUUAGAGGAAAACUACAUCACUAUAUUCUUGUUCUCAUGUUAUAAUUUUUAUCUCAUUAAUUUUCUAUAAUUAGUUAUUCCUUAAAAAUGCUAGAUCGUUUUUGUGUUUGGAUACAUAUCUAUACAUUAAGGAAGUUCAUAGAAAGCAAUAUUAAAAAAAUUCAAAAUAAUGUUUAGAAACAAUCCUAAAAUCGUAUAUUCUGGAAAUUAGUAUUGAAUUCUAUUAUUUCUUUUGUGAUCAUAUAGUCCACAUUUUAUAAAGAUAAUAUCGGUUUAUAAACCAACUCGGCAAAAAUGUUGGAAUAUACCACAGUAAUCGAAUUUCUUGGUAUAUUUUCCAAAACCACGUUUUGUAAACAAUAAUUUAUAACCUAGAUUUGAGAAUAUUCAAUAAAUUUAAAAUUAGAUUUGAUUAUACAUAUAUAUAUAUAUGCUAUUUAUAAAUCGUUUUGUUAAGUAUUAAAUUGAAAGAUUGCAAUCUUUUAAAUUGGCUAAAUAUUAGGUAAUUUAAUAUAAUACAUAUGAUUUAUAAGGAAACUCAUAUUCAUCAUGCUUUUGUAAAUUUAUUUAUUAAAAUUAAUUAUAUUUAUGAGUGAAAAAAUGACAUUAGAUGUAAAUAUAAUGAAAAUUUAAGGGCAUAAUCCAAAAAUUUUAAAAUAGGAUCUUGUUUAAAUAGUAUAGAUAUAAGUGAGUAAACUCACUCGUUUAUAUGAAACUAGUAACAAGAAGAAAGAAACAUAUAAAAUCACUCUCUCCCUUUUCUUGUUGUUGCUCUUCGUCUUUCGUACAAAAGUCAAUAUAUAUAAUAUUAUUAUAAGGAUUUUUAAUGAUUUAAACAUCUAACUAUUUUUAAAUCGGAUAAAAAACCUCCAACUAAACUUUUAUGUUUUUAAACCCUCAAUUAUUCAACUGUUAACAAAGUCGUCACAUACUCGUUAAAUUGAAACGCAUCGUUUCAUAUAAUCACAGAAACGACACAAAAUCCUUACAAUCAACGAGUAUUUUAGUGAUUUAUAUCUCCAACUAUUUUUAAAUCGGAUGAAAAACCUUCAACUAAAACUUUGUAUUUUUAAACCCUCAACUAUCAAAUAUGUAAUGCCUUUAACCCUCCAUAAACCAAAUCAUCUUUUUUGAACAGGACCCAUUAAAUUGGAACGCAAUGUUUCAUUUAAUGACAUAAACAACACGAAAGUCUUAAUUUUUUCUCAUGUUGUUUCUAAUACUAUUUUUUUUUCUCAAGUUCAUUUAUUUAUCAAAAAGGUGAAUUUUGGAAUGUUAAGUAAUCUAGGUGAUUCAUCUCUUCACAUUAAAAAUUUUACCUAAAAUUUAUUAAAAAGGUGGUAGGAGAGAAAAACAAUUAGGAUUAGAAACAAGAGAGCUUUUUAACUUAUAUUAUCUUCGAUGGUUCUUGAAAAAGAAGAAAUCUAUUUUUUUAUUUAGGAAUGAAUUGUGAUUCUCCAUGCCCAUUGAUAAAGGGAGUUUUAAGCAUCUUGUGCCGUUUUUAUGAUUAAAUAAAAUAUUGUGUUUCAAUUUAACGGAUCCCAAUUCAACAAAAUAACUUUAUUUACGGAGGGUUAAAAACAUUAAAGCUUUAAUAGUUGAAGGUUUAAAAACAUAAAGUUUUGGUUGAAGGUUUUCUAUCUGAUUCAAAAAUAGUUGGAGAUUUAAAUCACUAAAAUAUAUGUUGAUUGUAAGCAUCUCGUGUCGUUUCUGUGAUUAUACAAAUCUCUGAAUUUUAAUUUAACGGAUCUCCGUUCAGAAAAUAUGAUUUUGUUAACGGAGGGUUAACGGCAUUAACGGUUUAAUAAUUGAGGAUUUAAAAAUAUAAAAUUUUAGUUGGAAAGUUUUCAUUUCGAUUUAAAGUUAGUUGGAGGUUUAAAUCAUUAAAAACUCUUAUUAUAAUAAAUAUAAAUAUAUGUCUUCACCUAAUACACAAAAUUAUUUAAUUAAUUAUUUUACUGUCAACUUUUUCUAUAAAAUUUAUAUGUAUUUGCUCUAUGAAAUCUUGAUUUUUUAAAAUUUAUUUAUUAAAAAAUUAUAGAGCAGUCCAAUUAAAAAUUAGAUUUUACAGGAUAGUCCAAUAAUUUUAUGGAGUGUUUGGAUUCAGAAAAAAUAUUGAUCCGGACAGAACAUAAAUACCACAAAAUUUAAAGAUAUUUUGUAUUGGUUUUUCUUUUUUAUUCUCUCUCUGAGUUUAAUUUGGUUAGCUUCAACUGCACACGCAAGAAUAGUUGAUCAACGUUUAAACAGAUCACAAUUACAAUUACAGUUUUGUUUCCUUUAAAGAAUCCUUGUCAGAUUAAAUAUAGCGACGAAAACACAUAAAGGGGAUACGAAACAUGUGACAUUCAUGAAUCUGUAAGUAUUCGCAUUGGCAACUUGCACAAUAAUAUUCAACCCAUAAUUCAAUCUUUAACUUUUAGUCAAAAUAAUGUAUGGUACGGGCUACUGGCCGACGCACUAAGAAGUCCCCGAGAAAUUAUAUAAUAGACCCAUUUUAAAAAAUAUAUAAUUGACGUCUAUUUCAUCUCUUCUUACUAUUGUGACUAACCAAACAAGUUUACACACAAAACUCUCAAUAUAUUCUAAUCUUUCUCGAUGACGUGGAUCGUCUUCUCGGCUCUCUUGUUCUUCACCAUCAUCACAAGCUUAUCCGUGAUUCAAACAACCUCCACUUCACCAGCUCUCCAUCCAGAUGAAUGUAAUUAAAUCAUAUAAUCUUAACUUUUUAUAAUAUCAGAGGUCAACCAACAUCCAUAACUUUUUCGUAUAUAAUAUACUCAAUAAUCUGUGCAGUGAAUGCGCUUGAGAAGAUAGCUACUACACUUGGUAUAAAGAGAGUGAACCUAAGUCAUGAAGACCCAUGUAGUUCCGGAACUCUAAUGAUAACACAACAAGUUGAUUUUGCUUGGAAUCCGGAGGUGAACAACACCAUUGCUUGUAAUUGUAGCUUUAACAACAACACGACAUGUCAUAUUACAGAAUUGUGAGUGUUGUUUUUCAUUUACUUCUUCUUCUUCUUUUUUUCUCUUAUCUAUUAAAUUUUUCUUUACUUGCAUUAAUUUCGACAAAUACAGAGUUCUCAGGAAUUUUACUCUCGAGGGGAAACUUCCACCUGACUUGGCCAAGCUUCGAUAUCUCCAGUCAAUGUAAGUUCUACCACGCACAAGUUUUAAUAAAAUCGAUGACUAGUCCAAGGUUUGAUACAUUUAACAAACACUUUUUUGGAGCUAAAAGUAGAAGUAAAGAGGGAAACAGAGAUGUUAAAAGGUCUUAUAUGCGAUAGGAUUAAAGAGAGACUUGUUGGAUGUGUCACACUUACAGUUUAGAGACGAACUGCAAAGAGAACCACCAUAAGAAGAGUUUUGUUUUUCUCUUAUUUGCAGCGACUUAUCCGCAAACUACCUUACUGGCACGAUUCCAGUGGAGUGGGCUUCAAUGUCACACCUCAUUCUCAUGUUAGCUUCCUCCCUCUCUGAAUAUGCUUCAUCUUCAUGAUUUACUAGUAACUUUGAAUAUCCUCGCAGCUCGCUCUCCGGGAAUAGUUUGUCUGGGAGUUUACCAACUUGGUUGCAAAACUUGAAGAAUCUGAAGUUCCUGUACGUCUCUAUAGUUUUCCCACUUAUGUGCCUUUUCAUCUGAACUGAUAUUGCGCUGACGUGUUGAAAUUUUCAGAGGGCUUGAAGGAAACCAGUUCUCUGGUCCCAUUCCUGAUGAAAUUGGUAACUUGACCAACCUUGAACGAUUGUAAGACAAUCUUUGGCUUUCUAGGCAUCUAAUCAGUUUUGUUAUUUUGCACCCAAAUCUUUGAUUUUAUGAAAAAAAUGUGUAAAGAGUUUGAUCGUUUCUAAAUCUUGGUAUUGCAGGUAUCUUUCAUCCAAUCAAUUUACAGGAAGCUUACCUAUCACUCUCGCUAAACUAGUAAACCUGGAGCGGUUGUAAGUUGUUGCUAUCCUUUGAAAUUAAAAAAAUUCAAAAGCUUUUUGCCUCUUUUGUAAAAGUUGUUUUAUGACCACCUAGAUAGAACUGAAACGUAUUUAAACCAUUUUUUUUUGCUGAGCACAUUUUAUAUACAAGCUUUUUUACUUCGUACUAGUAUGUGUAGUUUGGUUGUGAAAUUGAUCUUGACACUUUCUAAACGUUUACUUAGUUACAUGUGUGGAAAGAUAGUCCAGAAAACCUAUAAAAAUAGUUUUUGAAUCUCUAAACUAGUUGGUCUUUUUUAUUUUGUAGUUGGAUAUGUGACAAUAACUUUAGUGGAACUUUCCCAGCAUAUAUGGGCAACUGGUCUCAGCUUAAAAGGCUGUACGUAAGCUUGGAUCACUUGCUAAUUUAAAGUCUCCCUAUAUUGUUUGUGCUUAUGAACAGUCUAACCUGUAUCAUUUGUGGUCAGCAGAUAUCUAUACGCGAGUGGACUAAAAGGACCUAUUCCUGAUGCAGUGGCCAGCCUAGAAAAUCUUACUGAUCUGUAAAUUGACUUAUCUCUAAAUAGAUUAGCUAGAGGACAACAUAAACAACAUUCAUGUUUUAAGCUAUAUUCACACAUUCAUAUGGGCAGGAGAAUUAGUGACACGACAGGAAUAGACUCAUUUCCAAUCCUAUCCAGCAAAGUCAUCGACACCCUGUACUUAUUUUUUUUCCACUGAAUCUCAAGGUUUUUUCUGUUUUCAUUUUUAUCCCAACAUUUCAAACUAAUAAUGUCUCCUUUCCUGUUCCAGGAUUUUGAGGAAUUUGAAUUUGUCUGGUCCAAUUCCUUCUUACAUCUGGAGCUUGCCAAUCCUAAAGAGAUUGUGAGUUCUUUCUAAUGUUAUGGGGAAAGAGUUUAGAGCGUGAGAGUUUGUAUGCAAGUAUGAAAGGAUCUUAUACAACUUGUCUUAUGCAGAGAUUUAUCGUUUAACAAGCUGACUGGUGAAGUGCAAGAUAUACAUAAAGCACCAAAAUUUACGUAAGUAGUUACAAUCCAUGUUGGAUAUUUUAAUCCGAGAGUCAGAUUUAUUGGUUGACUUUCAGCUACCUGGCUGGCAACAUGCUUACCGGAAACUUUGAAUCUGCCUUCUUCUUCAACAACAAACCUAAUAUGUAUGUUUCCUCCUACCUGCAUGGCUUGAGAAAGUUGCAAUUAUCCCAACUAAUAUUCUUGUGUUUUAAAAAAAAAUAAUUUGGGGAGUUUUCACAGCGAUCUUUCUUACAACAAUUUAACGUGGUCGUCGAGCUGUCAUAAUAAAAGGUAUCAACAUGAAAUGGAACAUUUUUUAUAUAUCUAAUAUAGUACAUCCUGCUCAUUUUGAAGUUUUUGUUGAUGAAUCAGUAACAUUAACACAUACCGGAGCUCAAACUGGAAGAACAAUUUGUAAGAACAAGAAUGGUUUAAAUUCUUGUAUUUCUUGCUUUUGUAUACAGCAAAGAACAUGUUUCAAUGUUUGUGCUUAUAUGAUAUAGCUUAAUAUUCUGAUCUCUUUCUCAUACAGAACUGGUCUUCUUCCAUGCGCUGGUCCAAUCACCUGCAAGAGCUGUUAGUACAUAUUGAGCUUAAUAUAGACACUUUUUGAGUUUUUUCACUUUCUAUUAAUGGUUGAUAUACUCAUAUUUUUUCUUAUUGUAGAUCAGAGAUCACUACAUAUAAAUUGCGGUGGAGGAACUGUACAGAUUACAAACUCCUCUCGUAGAAUCACCUAUCAAGCUGAUAACAAUAAGGUCUUGGCGGCAACAAAUCUUCACAUGGAAGGAUGGGGAAUCAGCAACACAGGUGACUUUACCGACGAUACAAGUGAUGAUGACACGUUUAUCAUUUCAACUAGUUUAAGAAUAUCUGGAGGUUCUCCUGAUAUAUAUAAGACCGCACGUCGAUCUGCACUCUCUCUAGUUUAUUAUGCGUUUUGUUUGGAAAAUGGAGCAUACAAUGUGAAACUCCAUUUUAUGGAAAUCCAGUUUUCAGACAAAGAAGUAUACAGUCGUAUAGGCAGACGCAUAUUUGAUGUUUAUGUUCAGGUAAAGCGUCACUACUUGUUACACGUAAGAAUAUAUAUGUUUUCAAUCAUGCAUGGAAGAUUGAAGUGUUUUGUCCUUUCUCUAGGGAGAACUGUUCUUGAAGGAUUUUAACAUUAAAGAUGAGGCUAAUGGGACUCUGAAUCCUGUUGUAAAAGAAUUGAAGGCUGUUAAUGUGACUGAUCAUAUGUUAGAGAUUCGGUUGUAUUGGGCGGGUAAAGGGACAACUUUCAUCCCCAACCGAGGAUACUAUGGUCCUCUUAUCUCUGCUAUCUCCUUGUGUCACAGUAAGUAUUCCCUUUCGUGGCUUUCUUCAGAUUGAGUUUCGUCACCUUCAUCUUCUUGACACUGAUUCUAAUGAUAAUUUUUCAUCUUUCAAAAUUUCAGGUCAUGAUCCACUAUGUGGAGGUUCUAAGACAAAACAAAAACUACUUUGUUAAAAAUGUAUUUUGUCUGGUUGGUUUAUAUAUGAUGCAAGUGUAUAUAUUUACACUUUUAAUGUAUCAUUUGCAGCGGAGAAAAUAAAACAUCACAUUAAUUAUCCUCUAGUUUUGGGGGCAACGGGUGCGUUUGUAACAACCACACUCUUGGCUUUGGGAAUAUAUGCUUGGAGGAGACGCAGGGAAGACAAGAUUACGAGAGAAAGAGGUACCAAAGUCCACAUAAUAUGAACCCUUUAGCCAUAUAUGCUCAAAUCAGUACUAAUGAUUUAUCUUUUGGACCUGAGCACAUAGAUUUGAGAUCCGAGAGUCUGCAAACGGUUUGCUAUACUUGGAAGCAACUGAAAGCUGCAACAAACAAUUUUGACCAAGCCAACAAACUUGGAGAAGGAGGUUUCGGAGCUGUAUUCAAAGUAUGCUAAUUUAUAUGCCAAUAUCUGAGAAUGUAAGGCUGUUAUUUGGUUUCUGAUAUGAGCAUGUUAAUGCAGGGACAGCUGCCGGAUGGAACUAUCAUAGCAGUGAAGCAGCUUUCUUCCAAGUCACACCAAGGAAACCGUGAGUUUGUGAAUGAGAUAGGAAUGAUCUCAGGUCUGAAUCAUCCAAACCUUGUCAAGCUUUAUGGAUGUUGUGUUGAGAAGAAUCAGUUGUUACUCGUCUAUGAGUACAUGCAAAAUAACUCACUUGCUCUUGUGCUGCAUGGUAAGUACCAAUCAUUCAGCUUUUCUUCUUGUUUUUUCAAGUGUAUAGAACACAUCAUUUCUCUUUGGUUUAAAUAUAUUUCCAGAAAAGAGCUCCCUGAAACUGGAUUGGGUAGCAAGGAAAAAAAUAUGUGUUGGAAUUGCAAAAGGCCUUGAGUUCCUCCAUGAGGGAUCGAUGAUCCGGAUGGUUCACCGUGACAUAAAAACCAGCAACGUGCUUCUAGAUGCCGACCUUAAUGCAAAGAUAUCGGACUUUGGAUUGGCUAGGCUCCAUCAAGAAGAAAACACUCACAUUAGUACCAAAGUCGCUGGAACCAUGUAAGUUUAGAACAUAAAACUAAAACAAAAAGCUGCACCAUUAGCUCAGUGUUGGUAUAUCUUGUAAUGCAGGGGAUAUAUGGCUCCAGAAUAUGUACUAUGGGGUCAGUUAACAGAGAAAGUAGACGUGUAUAGCUUUGGGGUUGUGGUAAUGGAGAUUGUUAGUGGACAGAGUAAUACUAAACACAAGGGAAGUGAUGAUGAUGAAGUCUCCCUUAUCAAUUGGGUAAAAUCUUGGAGCUUUCCUUUCUCUUUAUCCCAUUUGAUUCAAAACUUAUAAAGUGUAAUGAAAUGUAUUUUUUUUUAUAAAUCAAAUGUCAGGCACUGACGCUGCAACAGAAAGGGGACAUACUGGAGAUUGUAGAUCCAAUGCUGGAAGGUGAAUUUAACAGUAAAGAAGCUGCGAGGAUGAUAAAUGUUGCUCUUGUUUGCACAAAUUCAUCUCCUUCGAUGAGGCCAACAAUGUCAGAAGCCGUGCAAAUGCUGGAGGGAGUGAUUGAAAUAAAAGAGGUUAUGCCAGAUUCUGGUUUAUAUGGACACGACUGGAGCAUGUCAAAGCUCAUGCACAUUGAUACACGUGGACGCUCGAGCACCUCUGGUGUGACGGAUCAAACAGAAACAUCAAUGAAAUCCUCUGUUUCUGGUUUUGAUCUCUACCAGUAUCCUUCGUCAUCACUGGAAUGUCCCUAGUGCUCGCCUGAAGCAAAUAACAAUGAAAUCAGAAUACACCAAGUCUCUGUGUCUGCUUAUGAUCUGUACAUACUAUGUACGGAGUCCAUUAAACUUGACCAUUCCAUUAUGUCUCUCUCUUUAAACAAGUGCUCUCUCCGUGCGCUAGGAUUUUGUUCUUGUUAACUCACUCACUAUCUGUUUCGUACUUGUGUAACAAUGCACAAGCACACACUCAUACUCUCUUGACUCUCUCACGUUUUUUUAUUCUUGUAGAGGGAAGAGAGAACACUUUGUAUGUCUACAUUGUUAACCCAUUUUCUUCAUUACAUACAAACUUACACAUACAUAUAGUUGUUUUCUCACUAACAACUCCACACUCACGUACUUAGAGCAUGCACAGUAGAGGUUUAGAGAAGGAGAUCGCACGUUUUACGAAAAAAAAAAAAAUUAAAAAAAGCAAAACCGAUGAGCUCGGCUCGUCUCGCCUCUUGUGCGUGAUACCCUCUCUCCUAAAGUUCAUCACUGUAGCACGGGUCCCACGACUGGUCUAAUUUUUUUUUUUUUUUUUUUUUAAAAAAAAAAAAAAUAUUAGUAAUAAAAAAUUGAAAAGUUGAAAAGUCCCACGACACGUGGAGGUUCACUGAUGCUCUUGCUCUUAGACUUGUACACUUUAUAGUACAACUCUAGGCUUUACUUCUACUAACCACUCUUAACAACUAUAUCUUAGGUCGACUUUAACCAACACCAACACUCCUUAUUGUAGACUUGUAGGCUUUGUCUAAACAAAUGGUUAGUUGCAUCUUGACUUUGUUUGUUGUGACCAAAUCACAGCUCAACUCCUCUUUGGUUUGUAACCAGUAUCAAGUGGCAUCUUCUCCCACUUUGACUUUCUUCUUCUACGUGACUCCUUGGUCACUUCUUCUUGUUCUUUUUCUUGUCUGGCAAGGGCCACUUCUUCUCGCUUGAUUCUUCUACUCUUUAUAUGUUUAAUCAAAGGUUAAAUUCCAACACUUGCACCAUUUCAAUUUUAGUUAAAAAGAAAAAGAAAUCUAGAAGCUCCUUCUAACAGUUUCACUUGUUUUCUUAAUCCUUAAUUGUCUUGCGUUUACAUAGAUACCUAACGUCCUUGCGUUCACAAGAGAGUCAAACCUAAUUACAAAUAUUAGUCUGUUUAGUUAUUUGCUUUAACUUAUACUCUUUCAUUUUUGCAUUCCUCGUUAAUUAAUUAUUACUAGGUGAUGACCCGCGGAAAAGCGUACAUAUUUAAAUUAAGGGACAAAACUAUAUGCACUCCUAUAAAAGCUUGCAUGUAAUAUAACAACCUAUAAACUACCGAGAGGUUGAGCCUCCGACUGAAGAAAAUUACAUAUAAACUAUUACAUGUUUCAUGUUUCUCAAGAGCUGAAGCUCAGAAGAUGGAUUAUGCCUUUUAAGCUCAUAUCAACCAAUCGCAGGCUCCUCUUCUGGAUUUAUACGUGCUGUUUUAAAUUGAUUCUGCACCGAAGGCAUAAUCAACACAAAACAUAAAAUGAUUCUGCACCAAAAUAAGUCGACAUCGUAUCUAACGGUUUCAAGUUAAUUAGAUUUAUAUGUUAUGUUUUUAAAUUGAUUAAGUUAGGUUAGUUCUUUAUUCUUGUUUCUUAACCGAAGACACUACACAACUAAAAAUAACACAUUAUUAUAGUUUAUUUCUGUCAAGAUAACUUAACAGUAGAUAAUCCUCAAUUAAACUCGAAGAUAGAAGGCUAAAAACCGCAGAAUCAUAAAAAGAGAAAACAUCAACACCACAUUGCAAAAACAAAAAAAACUCAAUUAUUCAGAAAAUACUUAUUCUUGGGUUCAUCAACCAAUAGGAUUGUGUUGUUUUUUAUCCGAUAUCUUUUAUAAAAAGAAACCAAAUAUUGUCAAGUUAUAUUAUAUUUUUAAAAUAAAAGAUUAAAAAUAAAUAAAUAAUAGUAAUUACAAAAAAAAUAUUUUUAACGUCGUCAGGAAAAAACUAUAUCCUAAACCAUAAAAGUGAAUUAAUUAAGAAGGAUUAAAAUGUUCUUAUUUCUUACUUUUUUGAAAGUUUCAUUCUUUGGAAGUUUAGGGUGAAAUAAAAUGUGAGAACAUCAUUCAUAGCUCCUCACAUAUUUGAAAACCACCUGCUUACGUUCUCAAAUCAAAGAUGGAGUUCAUAGAACUCGUUUUUGUUUAGUGUCGCAGUUUAGAUUUAGGUUGGUAGUGAUGCUGGAGGAAUGAGUUUAGUUUGUUAUAUAUAGUCCUCAAACUUAAGGUAUAGGGACACAUUAAUUGAAUAUAAACAAAUAUUGUGUAAAUAUGUUUCAUUGCUAGAUUUCCCAACAUUCACGCAAGAAAUGUUAAGCAAAUUGGAUAAGUAUUAUAUUAUCGUUCCUAACUAUGGAAAACAAUUAAUAUUCAAUACCGUAACUGACCCGUAGACCAAUAUAUACACUUUUGCAUCACCAUUUAUUAAAACAAUAACUACUUUUGCAUAAAUAUUGGAGCUAACGUUCGUUUAAAUUUAUAACACUUUACUUUUUUCAAAUAUCUAUGAAAUUUCUUAUAUCUCUUAUAUAUUUCAUACUAGUGGUUGGCCCACCCUACGGGCGGGGAAGUUUACGCUAAAACUAUUGUAUAUGAAAAUAUAUAUUAAUUUUAUAAAAAAAUUUGAAAGUUUACUUUAAAAUAAAAUAAUAAAUAUAAUAUUUUAAAAAAAUAUGAAAUUGUAUUUAUUAAUAUUUUUUCGUUUGAGUUGAAAAGACCUCUACCAUUUUUUAGUUAUAGAAUACAAAAAUUAUGAAAUUAAAAAAUUAAGAAAAUGUAAUGAUUUACAUUUCUUAUUUUAUUUCUAUUUCACUUUGAUAUAGUUGAAGAAAAUCUAAAGUAAGAAUAACAUUUUUUAAAAAAGUUUCUAAGAGUAUAAUUAUAAUACUAUUACAAUUAAUUAUUGUCUCCCGAUUAUAAAUUAAUCCACUUCCAAGAUAAAUCAAUUGAAAAUAUAAUGUAAUGUAAUAAAAUUAUAAAAAGUUAUAUUUUAAUGUAAUGUAUAAAUAGUUUCAAUAGUUUCACAAAUAACAAUUAAUCUAUAUUAUUUUACAACAAAAUUAUGUUUCAAAACAAACCAAACCAGAACCAAAGUAGACCCAAAAUUUAUUAGUCAGUUUCUACUAUUGUUGUCCAACCGGAACAAAAACACUAACAUACAAAUUGAAAUUCAUAAAUAGUCAGUUUCAUUGUUAAUUGUCUAAACGCAACAUGAAACACUUUGGUUGCCUCUAUACUAUUUGGUUUUCAGUUCGAUUCUGAUUUUUAUUGGUUUUCUGGUUCUAAAGAUAUUGGUUACCGUUCGGUUAUUUAUAAAUUUGCUAUUUUGGUUUUUGUUCAAGUUUGGAUAACAAUAGUAGAAACUGAGUAACAAAUUUUGGAUCCCUUUUGGUUCUGGUUUGGUUUGUUUUUCGAUUCUCGUUUUAUAUACCUAGACCUAGUUGCUUUAAGCUUUUACACAAACACACAAAAGAGACUAUUUGAAAAUAAAUAUCUUGAAAGUAUAACAAUAAUCUGUAUGCAAUAGGUUAAAAAAGAAAUGCGGGCUUUCCUCCCUCAUGAACUAACAAUACUACAAUAACUUAAAGACUCUUCUUUUGGAAUAGAUGGAUCUGGUCUCCCUCAAGUACUUCAAGCAUUACCCAAAAGAGUAAACAUCAGACUUGUCAGUCAAUUGUUAUCUUGUACUGGUCUGGAUCAAGAUAAUGAAUCUUCAUAUACCGUCGUACUCACACGUGUCUGGUCAGGAUCUGGACGUCUUAAACAAUCCAAAUUCUGAAACUUUGUCCAUGAAAUUCUCAUCGAAGAGAAUGUUAUCAGACUUCAUAUCGCGGUGGAUGAUACCUCUUGCGGAAUCUGUAUGGAUAUAGUGCAGGCCUCUAGCUGCACCAAGUCAUAUCUCAAGCUUCUGUCUCCAGCUCAACCUUGAGCGAUCCAACUCAUGCACAAUGGUCCUUUUAUUGUUCUCACUGCAAUGCCCGAUCAAAGAAACCAAAUGCAUGUGUAUGAACUGGGACAACAUUUCGAUCACUGUCCUGAAUUUACUGAUGUAAAGCUAUAGCUGGUUAGUAUAUGUAUUUGAAAAAACCAUUACCUUCUGUGGUUGAAGAUUCUUAUGGUCCAAUCAGAUUGAUUGCUUCUGGUGGUAGACCAUAUAAUUAAAAAAGCCUACUUUCCUCGUUUGCCUUUUUAUCUCAAGGACCUCCUGCACUCAAAAACAAAAACAGAGAACAGUUCAAUUCAAUUAAUUUUUUAACACAUUGAGUCAUUCGUUAAUGCAAAAGUGGAACUUUUUGUGGAAGUAAUUCUUGAUUGUAUUACUGAUGAAGUGCUCAGGUGCUUAAUUUCAUUUCCCCACGUGCCUGAUUCUCGAUACCACAUCAUCAUCCCACCUGAAAAAAGAGGAAACUUAAAAGAUUAAUAUGUGCCUCCAAAAAUUCAUAUAAUUCAGAGACUCAUGAAGAAACAAGACUUAAAAAGAUGCGAGCCUUCUUUUGACACUAAACACAGUUGUGGAGUGUUGUCAAGCAGUGGGUUUCCUUUGGGAAGUUCCUCUUCUUUGGCGUUUAGCUCUUCAUUUGCUGCUGCUUUUCCUGGAAAAAUGUAAAUAAUAAAUAUUAAGAUACAACUUUCAUAUGUCAAUGUGUUUAGAAAAAAACUAACGUAGUCAUUUUGUUAUAAUUGUAAUCUGAAAUCAUCUCACAGACAAGAACACAUACCUUCCUGAGCCUCUUUAUUUAUUUAUCUGGUCUAGUUCAGCCAUAAGAUAAGAGAUCCAGUCUCAUCCUCAUCAUCAGUCACCUUUUUAUAUCUAAGAAAGACAACCAGUUGAUAUAAGUCAUCAAAAACUCUCGAAAAGGAUAACACCGAAGCAAUUGCAUAUUCCCAAACCAGGGCUCUGAGGAAAAGCAUUAAAUCUCAAGUAAAGAAUCUUUAGAAGUCUAAAGCACAAAAGAUGAACUGCAAUAGGCAGGAAAGAAUAGAAAAUAGGUACCUAUCAUCAUGAUCAGAAUCAUCUUCAGAGUCCCUUUUAGAGCCUAAAAGCAGGAUAUCAAAGUUAGAAUUUAGAAAACAUAUAAUCAAACUACAUGUAUUCUGUGACAUAUAAUCAAAUAAAAAAGUGAAUUUCUCUAACCUUCGAGUAAUAGCUGAUUCCCUCUCCUGUAGUAGCUUUGAUCUAAUGACAAAAAAUUAAUGAAAUCAUUAUGAAGGAAGAGUGGAUUAUUGAAUGAAAACUCAGAUUAAAUGUAAGAGUUAUGAUUCUGGGACGUUUUGGCUUCAUGGUUUAAAUGGUUUCUCUUGCAGGGUGGAGGGACGGGAGAAGGAGAACGACGCAGGGCGGGGGGGGGGGGGGGGGGGGGGGGGAAUAACCGUAGAAAGCUCAUGGGCCUAUCUAAAAACUUAAGCCCAAACAAUUAUUCACUGAUGCCCAUUUUCGGCCUCUCCGGGACGCGCCUCCAAGGAAGAAGCGUAGAGAUCCAACGACGCGCGCGAGAAGAAGAGAGAGUGUGGAGUACACCGAUCCACUCCCAAGCUGACACGUGUCGAAGAAUGCCCGACAUGUUUUGCUGUCGUGGAGGGCUGUGCUUUGAGCACAAUUCAACUUUAUAUAUAGAAGAUUUAUCUUUUGUGAUGAAGUAAUAUAUAUAUUCGCUACCUAAAAUCCUUGGCUAAAUCAAAGCCAAACUAUAAACCCAUUGAGAUAGGUUAAAAAAGUAUAUCUAACGAACAUAUAGUUUUGAUCUUGAAUUUUUGUUCUAUGCUUAACAUUAUAAUAUGCUUUUCAUAAAACUUAAUAUAUAUAAAUAUUUGGAAUAAAAAAAAUUGAAUCAAAUGUUGCUUUAUAAAACUAAUAAAUGUGUAAUAAUUAUAUGAUAAUAUACAUGGUAAUAUAUAUAUAUAUAUAUAUAUAUAUAUAUAUAAAUUCAUCUCGUACUGACAAAUCAUGAGUAAUUCUUGGGUUCACCUCUAGGUUCACCAACCAAUAGUGUUUGGUUAUUUAAUAUUUGAUAUCUUUUAAAAAAGGAAACAACAUUGAAUUUUCAAAUAAGAUUAUCUUUUUAAAAUAAAACAAUAAAAAUACAUAAAAAUAGUUACAAAAAAUAAAUAAAUAAAUAUUUUUAAGUCUUUAGCAAAAUACUAAACCGUAUAUCCUAAAUCUUAAACCCUAAACAUUAAAUUUUGGAUAAACUUUAAACGUUUGAAAAUCUUAAACCCUAAAUCAUACAUUAAAAACUAAAUUUUAAUAACACUAAACCCUAAAUCCUAAUCACUAAUCACUAAACCCUAAACCCUUGGGUAAAUACUGAACCCUUGGAUAAAUCAUAAAUUCUAGAGUUUAAUUUUAAAUAUUUUUGAUUUACAGUUUAUGAUUUAUCCAAGGGUUCAGGGUUUACCCAAGGGUUUAGGGUUUAGUGAUUAGGAUUUAGGGUUUAGUGUUAUUAAAAUUUAGUUUUUAAUGUAUGAUUUAGGGUUUAAGAUUUUCAAACGUUUAGAGUUUAUCCAAAGUUUAAGGUUUAGGGUUUAGGGUUUAAGAUUUAGGGUAUAGGGUUUAGUAUUUUGCUGAAGACUUAAAAAUAUUUAUUUAUUUAUUUUUUGUAACUAUUUUUAUGUAUUUUUAUUGUUUUAUUUUAAAAAGAUAAUCUUAUUUGAAAAUUUAAUAUUGUUUCCUUUUUUAAAAGAUAUCAAAUAUCAAAUACUCAAACACUAUUGGUUGGUGAACCUAGAGGUUCACCCUAGGGGGUGAACCCAAGAAUUACUCGACAAAUCAUGUUGUGUUUUUAUUGGUUCAUCAUCAUUAUAUAGCAGAUAGAACAUUCUGUAAAUCAUUCGAUCAACUGUAGCUUUACAAAAAAUAUAUAAGCAAUUUAAAUCGGAUACACAAAUCAGUUUUUUGUUCUUCAUGGUUUAUCGAGGUUACAUAUCAUAAAAAUCAUGCAGACCAUGGAUUCUAAGCACUAUGCAUCAAAAGAAAUUUAAUGUGUGUAUUUUUCAGAUACAUGGAACCAGGUUUUUGCUAUCACUGAAACUGGAACUGUUUUUCUUCUCGUAUAUGUCAAAGCUGGUUUACCAAAACCGAAUAAUAAUGACUAGCAACUUCCACGUUUUGUAGGUUUCACUUUAUAAAAUAUUGAUCCAAGUUUUAAUGUUUGAGUGGCAAUUUUCGUAAUUGUUAUAUAAAGGGAUGAGUUAACUUAAAUUUUAUGUGAGGAUGCGCGUGGUGCUGACAACUCAGUAAUGGCAUGGUGUGAAUAAGAUACACAUUUAAGGUUAUUUAUUAAAAUGUUUCUAAAAUAAUAUAAAAGGGAUUUUUGAUCAUCGUGAUAGCAUAUUUACAAAGUUAUUAUCAUAAAUCAUAUAUGAAUCAUGAUGCAUAAUGUCAUAAUUGCUCACAAUUCCAAAUCUAACAAUAAAAUUGCAAGAACAUGAUGCAUAAUGCAGAAUAUAUUGUAAAUGCAAAAUGAAGAAUAUAUGACGUGAUGCAGAGUGUGCAUGCACCAACCGAAGUUUAUGCAUGAUGUAAAAUGUAAGACACUCAUACAACAAGAAAAAUAAUUUAUAAAACAAAAAUGUCAUAAUUUCUCAAACAUACAAACUUAACUAUAAGAUUGCAAGAACAUAAUGCAUAAUGCAUAAUGCAUUAUGCAUUAUGCAAAAUGUAUUGUAAAAUGUAAAAUGUAAUGUAAAAUGCAAAAUUCAGAAGUGUAUAAGAGGUGAUGCAGAUGGCACAUACAACAACCAAAAUUAAUGCAUAAUGCAGAAUGUGCAUGCACCAACCGAAGUUUAUGCAUGAUGUAAAAUGUAAGACGCUCAUACAACAAGAAAAAUAAUUUAUAAAACAAAAAUAUCAUAAUUUUUCAAACAUCCAAACUUAACUAUAAGAUUGCAAGAAGAUGAUGCAUAAUGCAAAAUGUAUUGUGAAAUGUAAAAUGCAUUGUAAAAUAAAAAAUUCAGAAGUGUAUAAGAGGUGAUGCAGAUGGCACAUACAACAACCAAAAUUAAUGCAUAAUGCAAAAUGUAAGGCGCUCAUACAACAACCAAAAUUUAAUUAUAAAACUGCCAAGAGGAAAUCAAAGGGUUAAAUGGAUAACCCAGAGAGUUUCUGGAGUUAAGCAAAUAAAAACCACAAACUACAUGAGACUCAACUAAUUACAAAGAGGUUUGAAAAGCAUAUACCUGUUGCAGAAGUCUGAUACACUUGGAAUGUCCUCAGAAUCUCUAACGAUUUGAACACCUUCUGAAGCACAAACCUGAGGAAAUAAAAAUGUAAUUAGUCUUUAGAUCAAGUAGUAUGCCCCUUGCUUACCUCCCAGAUCAUGAAUUAAUCUAUCUUCAUGACAUAAGUGGUACAGUAAGAAACACAUUUAUUGCGUAAUAUUUUGAAGUUUUGUUGGUCGUUCUUUUUUUUUUUCCAUCCAACAAAACCCCACUUAUAAGCCUUGUGGUAGAGAAACGAUUGUAUCUUUGUUCUUGGUUGUUUGUUCCUUCCAACAAGCUGAAAGCUGAACACCUAUAGGGCUAUAUAAGCCGUAGGUAAGUACUUACAUUCAAGAAUCUGUUUCCAGUUUGAAGCCUUUGUCUUAAGACUUUCUCAAACCAUUGAUCUUUAAAUAACUGAAAAAACAAAUUUUUGUCAAGCCGUGGGUAUCGUAAAGUCUUCUAUCUUAAAGACUACAGCGAGCCGUCUGGGUCUUAUUUGCCAUCCUCAAAUGACUCCAAACGGUCCCAAUAUCAUUGAAUCUGUCUAAAGAUUUUUAACCGAUAUUGUCUUUGUCUAGAGAUUUUAUAAGCCGUGGGUAGUUCAGUCAAGAAUCUGUUUUUCAGUUUGUCGUCUUCGUUUCUUGUCGUUAAACUCCACCUCAUUCAAGUAACUGAAAAACAGAUUUGAGUCGAGUCAAGCCGUGGGUUAACUCUUUUGUCUUAAAGACUACAGAGGCGUGUGGGUCUUAUUAGCCAUCCUUCAGUGACUUGUUCUAAGAAGCUAUUCGUUUGUUCCCACCGAACAAGCUUCCACACUCCCCCAUUGUCACUGAAUCUGUAUAAAGAAUCUUAACCGAUAGGUGUCUUUGUCUAUAGACUUAUAAGACGUGGGUAAGUAAGUACUUACUUUCAAGAAUCUGUUUUCAGUUUAAAGUCUCUGUCUUAAGACUUACUUAAACCGACUGUCGUUAAACUCCAUCUCAUUCAAGCAACUGAAAACAUAUUUGAGUCAAGCCGUGGGUAAGUAAAGUCUUGUCUUAAAGACCAAAAGGGUCGUGUGGUGUUCUCCUUGCCAUCUCCUAAUGACUUGUUCCAAGAAGCUGGUCCAGUCGUGAAACUGCCCCUAUCAUGUUUACAUACACCAGCAAGUCUUUUAACCGAUCAAUCGUGUACUUUUGUAAAUCCGUGGGUCUAGUGACUUUUAAGUCGUGUGGGUUUGUUUGCGUCCAAUCACUUGUUCUAAGAAGCUUUCGUUUAUUCCAUCAAGUAAACCUCCAAACUGCUCAUUGUCACUGAAUCUGUCUGGCCUUUUAACAGAUGCCUGCUUUCUCUAAAGAUUUUAUAAGCCGUGGGUAGUACAGUAAAGAAUCUGUUUUCAGUUUGCAGAUUUUUCUCACUUUUUGGUCUUUUAACUCGGUUCCCUUCUGUAAUAUCUGAAAGCAGAUUUUGUGUGGGUCUUUUGUUUUAAGACUAUUGAACCGUGUGGACCUUUAAGACUUUCUCAAACCGUUAAUCUUUUAACUCCAUUCCCUUCUUAUAUCUGAAAACAGAUUUUGAGUGUCAAGCUGUGGGUCUUUAGUAUAGUCUUUUGUCUUUAAGACUACUGAGUCGUGUGUUUUGUUUGCAAUCGUCCAAUGAAUCGUUCUUAGAAUCGGGGAAGCCUCCAAACUGUAUCAUUGUCAUUGAAUAUGUCAAAGACAGAGAAUUUAUAAGCCGUGGGUACAAUCAAGAAUCUGUUUUCAGUUUGUAGUCUUUUUGUCUUUAAGACUUUCUCAAACCGUUGGGUCUUAGAAUCCAUUCUCUUCUAACAUCUGAAAACAGAUUAUUUUGAGUCAAGCCGUGGUAAGUAAAGUUGUUUUGUCUUUAAGACUUUCUCAAACCGUUGGGUCUUUGAAUCCAUUCUCUUCUAACAUCUGAAAACAGAUUAUUCUGAGUCAAGCCGUGGGUAAGUAAAGUGUUUUUGUCUUUAAGACAAUAGAGUCGUAUGGUGUUAUUUGCCAACCAUAAUGAUAUGUUCUACGCCACUGGUCGUUAAUAUUCAUCCAGCCUUAAAACUGCCCCCAUUGUCAUUGUAUUUCCUAUAAUGUUUCCAUCCAAAAAGUCUUUUCACCGAUCAACUGUCAACUUUUAUAAGCCGUGGGUAAUAUAGUCAAGAAUCUGUUUUCAGUUCUUAAAGUAUUUGUCUUGAGACUUUCUCAAACCGUUGGUCGUUAAAAUCCAUCCAAUUCAAAGAACUGAAAACAGAUUUGAACCAAGCCUUGGGUAGUGAAGACUUUUGUCUUGAAGACUAUAGAGCCGAUCCAUUGUCUCUUUUUAUAAGCCGUGGGUAAGUCAAGAAUCUGUUUUCAGUUCUUAAGUCUUUGUCUUAAGACUUUCUCAAACCGUCACAUUCAAAGAACUGAAAACAUAUUUGAACCAAGCCGUGGGUAAGUAAAGUCUUUUGCCUUAAAGACUUUAUAGAGCCGAGUGGAUCUUAUUUUCCAUCCCCUAACAUCCUUCAAGAAUCUGUUUUCAGUUCUUAAGUCUUUGUCUUAAGACUUUCUCCAACCGUCACAUUCAAAGAACUAAAAACAGAUUAUUCUGAGUCAAGCCAUGGGUAAGUAAAGUCUUUUGCGUUAAAGACUAUUAAAGAGCCGAGUGGAUCUUAUUUGCCAUCCCCUAACAUCCUUCAAGAAUCUGUUUUCAGUUCUUAAGUUUUUGUCUUAAGACUUUAUCAAACCGUCACAUACAAAGAACUGAAAACAUAUUUGAACCAAGCCGUGGGUAAGUAAAGUCUUUUUUUCUCAAAGACUAUAGAGCCGAGUGAAUCUUAUUUGCCAUCCCCUAAUACAAUGCACUACCAAACCCAUAUUAUCCCAGUUAACAAUCUUGGCUAGGGGAUGGUCUUCUUAUAGUGGCAGCAACGGGACAAUGUCCCCAAAUAAGAAUCUGGCAGAACACUAUUAGAUCAGUGUCUGCCUAUGAUCUUUUUUAGGUUUCAAGUGAAACAAAAAACAAAAAAAAAAUCAAAACAAAACCAAAAAAAAAACAAAGCUUGAUCAAAAUCCCCAAAACAUGAAAGAAAGAAAGAAUCUCAAAACGAAAACCAAAAUAAAGCUUCAAGACAAAACGGGAAACUCUUGCACAGACGGAGAAUACAACUUAAACUCUAGCCAACGAAAACAACUUAAAAGUAAAUCGCAAAAGUAUUUGCACGAAACUUAGAAACCCUAAAAUAGACUAAGACGACUAACGAGAAAAAGAAACUCUGAGCAAGAUCAAUAUGUCAAAUUAACCAAUUAGACAAACUUUGAAGCCCUAGAAUCCGAAUCGCAAAUCAAAAAUUUCAUGGGCAACUUACAAAUUCACGAUUUACAGCGAUCGAAACACUUACAUAUCUGAGAACGUAGAGGGCUCUCUGUUUCUCGAAGAGAUGAUCGAUAAAACUAUUCGAAGAAACAUAAGGAGACCAAAAAAAAAGGUUUCGUUUGAGAACUCGCGUCUCCUAAUGGUUAUAUAGAGUCGACUUCGAUCGAGCACAUUCUUGGGGAAAAAAAGGAAAGCACGAAGUGCUUUGAUAAACACGUGUUUCUCCUAACGGUUAUAUUUUAAUUUUGAGUCGGUGGAUUUUGUAAUCGAACCGGUCCUGGAUUCUUACAAUACCAACAUAAACCGAACCGGUUCUUUUUCCACUCUGGCUAAAUAUUAACCGACGUCAUUUUUUCAUGUCAAUUUGGCAAUUUCAAUUUAUUGGGUUACACUUCCGAGGAAGAAAACUAAUCACAUAUUUUUCAUUCAUAAAAUUUGGUUGGUGAGGAAUCUAUAUAUAUAAAGAAAUGUUCGCCUCUCUCCCGUGAAGCCACGUCAUCAAUUCGUGCGUUCUGGGAGUGACACGUGUCCCAUUUCAUAUUUAAGGCCAAAAUAAAUGAAUGCAAUUAAGGGUAAUCGAACCCAGCACCUCUAGCACUGGUAAUUUCUCUUAGAACCACUAGGCUAAAGUCAUUUUUUAUAAAUAUGUGGCCGCGAAAAUACUUAUUAUCGUGUCAGCUGGAAGCUCAUGCUUCUUCUGCUUGUGGCCAGGGCCGACACUGAACUGACGUCAAGAUGAAGAUCGUGAAGUUAAAAACUUUGCUCCAAACAGUUUUGCAAUGUUUCCAACUUUUAUAACUUGAUGCAUAUAAUAUAUAUCAAAAUUUGUUGUACACGCUUUUAUUAGUUUUGCUUUUAAAAGAAGGUAUUUACAGUUAUAAAUGUUUUGUGCCAGUGAAGUAAUGGUUGAAAAAUUUCUAUACAUAUGUCAUUUUAAAAUAACACCCAACUUCUAUAUAUAUAGUCAAUACAUAUAUCCAUGUUAUAUUCUAGACUAAAUAUUUUCUCUUUUAAAAAUAUAGAAAACAAUUUUUUUAGUCUACAAGCAAAUGUUGUAGAGCAAGUAUGCAUUAUACAAAAUAAUAUAUAUUUAAAAUCCAUACACAAAAACAUAAAAGUUGUUAUAGGCCUCUUUCUGACACAUGCACACUCCACUAUGAAUAAAAAUUAAAAAAAAAUAGUAUUGUUAUCAAACUUUAUCACAAAUCCACAUUUGUAUAUCUAUAAUUAUGAGUUGGACAAUUAGUUAAUUUGAUACAAUACCAAAGAAAGAAUAAUCGAAAAACAACUAUACCACCGUAUACUAAUAAGUAAGACAUAACAGAUAACCAAAUUCUUGAAUCUUAAAACAAAUUUCAACUCGAGCAUUUAGUGAAUAUCAAAUUAACUAAUAUCCCGCCCGUAGGGCGGGCCGACCCUAGUUACUCUUAUAAAAAUUAUCAUUUACAGUAGAAAAAAAAAGACGAGUUAUAAAACAUCCUUCACACUAAACAUAAGUCAGUUAGCAAUUGUGUGAAUGACAUGUGUCUUUUUCGAUUUUUUUAUUUGUUGCUUUUUCAAAUGUAUUUUAAAUGAUUUUUUUUUAAUUUGUCACUUGGUGGAUGCCCGCGGGUUCGCGAGUUUGAAUGUUUUGUAAUAAUAUAUUUAUUAUAUUUUUUCAAAUUAAAAUAUCUUUUUAUCAUUAAAUGUUUUUGUUAAAUAUUUUUCAAAGAAUAAUUGUUUAAAAAGGAAAAAUAUGACUAAAUUAAAUAUUUUUGGGAAAAUUUUAUGUUUACAUUUUCACGGUACCAUUUUUCAUCUUUAACAUCACUAAACGGAUAUUUUCAAAAGUACAAUUUUCAUUAAAUGGUAAAAGACUCUUAUAUAUUUGUUAUCUAUAUAUAUAAUAAAUCAUUACUUAAAUAAGAAAAAUAAAUAAAUAAAUAAAUAAAAUAAAAUAAAUAAAAAAUAAAAAUAAAAUAAAUAAAAAAUAAAUUUAUGUUUUCGAAUUAUACUUUUUCAAAUUCAAAUUUUUUUAUAAUUUUGUUUUUUGAAUUUUUUUUCGAAAACUUUUUUAUUUUUAUCUUUUCAAAUUUCUUUUUGAAAAUCGAAAAUUAUGUUUGAAGCUAUUUUUAAAAUUUUUAAUAUAUUUUUAAGUAUUUAUUAAUAUAUUUAUUAGAAUCCUAAAUUUCACAUUCUAAAAGCCUUUACUCCACCCUUCAACUCUAAAUCAUAAGUCUAGAUUAGUUAACCGUAGGGGUAUAAGUGUCUUUUACCCUUCAUUAAAAGUGAGGGUAAAAGUGGUUAGUGUAAACAUGAAAAAAGUACUAUAAAUGUGCUAUUUGUGGUAAUUUCCCAAUAUUUUUUGAUAUUUUGUAUUAAUAAUUAUACUAAAAUUAGUUAUGUAUAAUAUUUAUGAUUCAGUUUUUAAUAAAAUUACUUAAUUUGUGAAAGUAUAUGAUAUUGAAAUUUUUGGAAUAUUUUAUAUAAUUUAGAAAUACCUGAUUGCUAAAAAUGAUUUUAUGAAGCAUUAUAUAUAUUAUAUAAAUCACAUAUUAAAUUACCAUAAAUUAUUUUGUGCAAUAUAUUUAGGUCGUUUGGAGCAUCUCCAUCUUCACUCCAUAAUUUACUGCAAAAUGGUGUGGAAAAUGGAGUAGUGAAGAAACAAAAAAGUGAUUACUCCAUAAAUGGAGAAAUUAUUUAUUUUUUGUUCAUACUCCAUUUCUCACUUCAUUUUUUGGAAUAAAUUAUGGAGUGGGGAUGGAGAUGCCCUAAUAAAAAUAUUUCUAGAACUAACUUUUGUACUCAUAGAAUAAAUAAAUAUUUACUUUUUAACAAAUCAAAUUAUAAUAUUUUUUCUCAAUCUCUAUAUAUGAUCAACACCUAAGAAAAAAUCAAUUAAGUGAUUUAUCAUUUAACAUAAAAUGAAAUUUAAAAAUAUAUUUUAUAAAUUAAUUUAUUAGCUUGUAUAAAUAAAUUAAAAUAUUUUAUCAUAAUUUAAAUCAUAUGAUAAGCCAAGAUAAAUAAUUUUAUAAACAUAUUUAUAAAUUCUUAUAAAUGAUUUAUAAAGCAUGUAUGAAUUUUAUUCGAUAUUUAUAGUUAUUAAUAAUACUUUAUAUACAUAAUAAGGCCAUAUAAAAUAUAAGGCUUUAUAUAAGAAUAUAAAAUCAUUAUAUCAAUUUUAAUAAACUUUUUUUUUACUAUUUUAUGUAGUUUAUAAACAUAUAAAAAUGAUCAAACAUUAUUACUUUUUCUAUAGUUUCAACAAUUAGUUACCAUAAAUAAUUAUUUGAAAUAUUAUGUAGAUUUUUGGCAAGUGUUAUUAACUGUUUAUAGACUUAUUUUUUUCUUUUAAAUCUAAUUAAAAUAAAUAAAAAUUAUAAAUUACCGACAAUCAAUUUAUAACAGUUUUUUAAGAUUUCAUAAAUGAUCGAUACAUAACCAAAAAUCUCUUAAAUGACUUCUCAACUAAUAUAUAUAAUAUGAUAUAUAGCUUUGAUUUUAAGCUCUUAUAGAUGACUUACAAAGUCUUAUAAUAAUUUAAAAUAUACAAUAAGCCAAGAUAAAUAAUUUGAUAAAAAAAUUUAUAGAUGAUUUAUAAAGCAUAUAAUAUGAACUUUAGGAGAUGAUCAUAGUUAUUAUGAUAAUUUAUAUAAAAUAUAAUUUUUUAAAUAAGAAUAUAAAAUUAUUAUAUUGAUUUAUAUAAACGGUUUGUCGUUUAUUAUUUUAUGUAUUUUUAAAUAUAAAAAUGACUAAUUUAUUUCUCUUUCUAUAAUUUCAACAAUUAGUUACCAUAAAUCAUUAUUUGUAAUAAUUUCAACAAUUGGUUACCUACGUCUGUAUUUUGAACACUUUAGUGAAUUUUGCUAACGUGUCGAUCAUAGGUGAUUAAUUGUUAAAAUUAUAUUACAUUAUAACUUUGCUUAGUUUUAAAUAAUAUUACAAAUAAUAAUUUAUGGUAACUAAUUGUUGAAAUUAUAGUUAACUUAUGGUAACUAAUUGUUGAAAUUAUAGAAAAUAAAUAAAUUGAUCAUUUUUUAUAUUUAAGAGUUACCAUAAGGUAACUAAUUUUUUUUAUUUGGCAAGUGAUAUUAAUUGGUUAUAGACUUGUCUUUUCUUUUUUAUAUCUAAUUAAAAUAAAUAAAAAUUAAAAAUCAUCGAACAAUCAAAUUAUAAUAAUUUUGUAAGAAUUCACCUAUGAUCGAUACGUAAGCAAAAAUAAUUAAAGUGACUUCUCAAUUAAUAUAUAGUAGAAUUAUUAUUUUGUUUACAACUCACAUACGAACAUUGCCGAAUUUUAUUUUCAUUGGAUUGCCGAAUUUAAGUGUGAUGUUCUUAGAAAAUCACUAAGCUUUUUUUACCAUAAAAAAAUCACUAAGCUAAAAACUUUGGUUCAUUUAUCAUAAUCUGUUUUUCCUGUUAUAGAUAUAAUAGUGUUUUACUAAGACCAUCUUUAAUGGUACAUCUCUAUUGUUUUAUAGAGUGAACUAUAGAAGCAAAUUCGAUUUUACAAUAGAAUUAUUCUAUUUUAAUGUAAAACAAGUUUUCUAAACCAAGUUACUAAAACUGAAGUUACAAAAAAAAAAAAGUUACUAAAACUGAAAAUAAUGAUAACGUAAUAAAACUAUAUUGAAAUUAUAGAAAAGUAAUAUAUAAUGUUGAAGGUCUAAAUUGUAUUAUUAUAUUUAACCAAAGAAAAAAUGAUAUCGAUGUUAUGAUUUUUGUUGUAAAUUUUACUUAAGUACUCCCUCCGUUCCUUAAAUAAGCGUUGGCAUGUCUCUCAUUUGUUUUAGAUUAUUUUAAAAGUUAAAAACUGAAACGGAGUAAUACAUCGUCUAUGUCUUGCUUUGGUCAAAUUUUAUUUUUAUAAUUUUUUUUGUCAUAAAUGAUAGAGCUAGGCAACAUAUCAGGACCCAAAGAACUGAAUCAAACCCGAUCCGAAGAGUAGUACCGAACUUAAACCAAAAUUGAUUAAUACAUGAUUGGGUAUACAAUUUAAUAUAGGAAGAACCAGAUUCAAACCCGACUCGAACAAAAUAUUUCGGGAACCAUAAAAUGCUCAAAACACCGGAAAUAUCUAAAAACUUGUUUUCCAUCAUAAUUUCCAAAUAAAUCCAGUUUUAUUUUAAUUUUAUAUAUUUACUUUUACAUUAUUUAAAUUUAUAUGUUUUAUAUUAUUUCAGUUUCGGGUUUUUAGAAUUUAAGGUACAUUUUAAUUUUUCAAUUGUUUACAUAAUUUAAAUGGAUACCCAAACCAAACCCGUAAUGUUUAGAAUAGGGUUUAAAUCUAUAAGCCUAAAAAUCUGAAAUCCGAAUAGACUCAAAUCAAAACCAAACGGAUCCUGAUUAAGAUAUAUAAGAUUAUGUGUUUUAUUUAUUUAAUAAUAAUAUAAGAUUAUAUUUUUAGUUUUUCUCCUAGAAUAUUUAAAUGUUUAUUUGGGUUUAUAUAGAAACCGUUUUUAACAAAAAUCAAUACCAAAUAUAUGCAUCUAUAUAUACCGGGUUUGCUGACAUAUUAUAUAAUAUAAACGUGUUUUAAUCAUUUUUUAAAUAAUUUAAAAUUUUGUGCUAUAAUCAUUUUUAAAUAAGAAUAUGAGGAUAUAAUUAUUUUAGAUGUUAGUGCCCAAACAUAUUCAUUCAAUAAUAAUGAACAUCAAAAAUAUUCAUACCUAUGUAUUGUUAUGAAAUCCUCGUUUAUAGUAACAACUAUAGAUUCGGUAGAAUCAGGUCAUUAAUGGCCAAAGAUAUGAUCAUUGAUUUAUUUACGGUUGGUGACAUUUAAAUAUAUUGAUUAAAUCUUUCUUUAAGCUAGAUUUUAGGUUAUUUAUUUAUUUAUACUAAUUAAUAUAGUAAUGGCAUUUCAUUGUAAAUAACUCAAAAACUAAUGGCAGAAUCCUAGUAGGGAUUCUGCUUUAAUAGUAUAGAUAUAGAGGAAAUUUUUGUGUCCCAUCGGAGAUGUUCUAAGGAAACAUAGGUCGUGCAAUUACGACGGAAGAGAGCAAGAGACGUCAAGAAAAGGGAAAAGUUGAAAGUGAUAUACGUACAGCGUUAACUGUGUGGAGAGGGGCUCAUGCAUUAAAAAAGUCCAAGUGGUAUACGUAAGCGUUAUCUGAUAAAGGGACAUGAAACAUCAAUCAUUCAUGAACUUGCCACAUAUCCUAUUUCUAUCAUCUUUGGUCAAGUAACUCGACAUAUUAGUCAAAAAAACAAAAAAAACUCGACAUAUCAAACAUUAAGACAUGUGACUUUUAGGCAAAUAAAGUCGACCUUUUUUAUGUUUUCUUUUCAAUUUAUAAUGGAGUUGAAUUUCUACAACCUGGAAGCAGAUGCGUAAUGGGAAACAAGAUCCCAGGAAAUAUAGCACCAGUCUCCUAUUCGCUAAUAUACUUGAUUUAAAAUAAAAACAAAUGAAAGAUGCCAUGGACAUAUUGACUUUUAGUCCUUCGUAUCUUUAAUUAGUCUUCACCUGUCACCGUGACCGCCAGGUAUUGUUCCAAAGUCAAUGUUUAGGGAUAUAGCCACCGAAGACGACCAGACGAAAACUCUAAAUGUACAAUUAUAUAACCAAUAUUGUAUGUGGCUGAUCACUGAUGAUAAUAUUGUAAUUUGUGAAUAACAAAGCAAGUUCACAUACAAAGAAUCGCCUUAUAUGAGAUAUGUUGAUCGUGUUCUCAGUUCUUCUCUUCUUUAUCAUCAUCACAAGCUUCUUAGCAAGUUCAACAACAUCUGUUUCACCAUCUCUCCAUUCAGAUGAGCGUAUGAGAAUAAACCACUGCUAAUUAUUCCAUUUUUUUAAAUGAAGGUCUAAAUCCUCAUUUGUAUAUCUGUUAUUUGCUUAUAUAUCAAUUGUAAGCAGUGAAUGCGCUAGAGAAGAUAUCUACUACACUUGGAAUCAAGGGACUGAACCUAAGUUAUGGAGACCCUUGCAGUUUAGGAACCCUGAAGAUGAUGCAAGACGUUGAUGUUAUUUCGAAUCCGGACACUGGAAACAGCACCAUUCGUUGUGAUUGUAGCUUCAACAAAAGCACCACAUGCCAUAUAACAAGCAUGUGAGUGUUAUUAAUUUAUUCUGUUUUCUUUUCUUUUUAAGUAGAUGUUUCCUCUCUGUCCUGAUAUAUUUUCCGGUUAUACUAUUUGGACAAAAAUAGAGACCUCAAGACCCUUGGCCUUCCAGGGAAACUGCCACCAGAGUUUGCUGACCUUCCAUAUCUACAAUCGAUGUGAGUGAGUUCAACCACGAAAAUUCAUAUAUGGGAGAUGUUGUCAAAUAUGUAGCGAGAUAAUCUUCAAAGAGAGCCAUGAGUGCUGAGUUUUUGCUUUACUUUGCAGAGACUUGUGCAGAAAUUACCUUACGGGCUCAAUCCCAAUGGAGUGGGCUUCAUUGCCAUACCUCACUUCCAUGUUAGUUCCAUCUCUUUCUCUGUUGCCGAUGCAUACUAUUCAUAAUUCACCAGAGUGGCUUCUGAAAUUUUCUUGCAGCUCGCUCUGCGCGAAUAACUUGUCUGGGCCUUUACCAACUGGGUUACAGAACUUCAAGAAUCUCACAGUCUUGUACGUCUCAAACUGUUUCUUAUUCCAAAUAUUCAUUUUGAUUUGACCAUAUAUUGAUGCGACGAAAUUUCCAGAGGGGUCGAAGCCAAUCAGUUCUCUGGUCCAAUUCCUGAGGAGCUUGGUAACUUGAUCAAGUUAAUACGACUGUAAUACCCUUUGCAUCUUAACCAUUUUUCAAAACCACAUGAAUAUUUAGUUUUAUGCACCAAAUUUUAUCCAAAAGAAACCAUUAUUAUUUUUAAUCUUCUCAAACUGGUUUCUGCAGGCAUCUUACCUCCAAUCAAUUUACAGGAAGCUUGCCUAACUCUCUAGCUAAACUGAUGAACCUUGAGGAUUUGUAAGUUGUUUCUGUAACUAAAAAUUAAAAAUUUCCUAAGGUUUCGUUUUAUUGGCAUCUACAUUGAAGUACAACCUAUUUGAUUCAAAGCUUCCUUGUUGAACUUCUUCCAGGACUUCUCAUAUGCUUUUUUUCUUCCCUAGUAUGAAUUUCAUGGUUGUAAAUUGAUUUAUAUAGUCACGAAAAUUCUCACCUUAGUCAAGAACCUAUAAACUAGUCCUUGAAGAUAAAUUUUACAAAACUCUUAAAUAAUUGUUCGUUUUCAUUAUAUAGUAGGGUAAGUGACAAUAACUUCAAUGGUACCAUCCCAGAAUAUAUCGGCAACUGGUCUCGGCUUCAAAGGCUGUAAGCUUGUCCUUCAUUACUAAUUUUCAUUUCUCUUAUGGUUUCUGUUUAUCUACCAUCUAAGCUUUGUUCUUUAUUAUCAACAGAGGUCUACUGGCAAGCGGACUGAAAGGUCCUAUUCCUGAUGCAGUCACUCGCCUAGAAAAUCUUAUUGAUAUGUAAUGAACUUACCUUCAUUAUACGUAUUAACAAAAAGACAAUAAUGUUUUAAGCGAUAUAUCCAAAUGCAGGAGUAUUAGUGAUACAACUGGGAUAAACUCCUUUCCAAAUAUGUCCAGCAAAGCCAUCAGGAAACUGUAUUUUUCUUUACUUCAGUCAUCAGUUUAUCGUCUUGAGGAUUGAUUCUGUCUGAAAAUUUCGAACUAAAAUCCCCCUUCCCUGUUCCAGGAUUUUGAGGAAUGUGAGCUUGUCUGGUGCAAUUCCUUCUUACAUAUGGAGUUUGCCUGAGCUAAAGACUUUGUAAGUUCUUUCUGUCAAAGCUAGUUUAAUAUACCCAGCAUUACCCACAAAGGAAUUAGAGUAUCAUCAGAUGUGUAUACUCAUGACAUUUUUCAUAUAUGGACUAUAUUAUUUGUAUAUAUAGAUUGUCAUGGACUUAACGGGUACGCACUUUGUGAACUGAUAUUCAAGUAUUAGAGAAUCUGUAGAUCUUCAUAUGCAAACGUUUACUUUUUUAUUACAUGUUUACUGCAGGGAUUUAUCGUUUAACAGCUUGACUGGCGAAGUUCGUGGAAUACAAAGUGCACCAAAAUUCACGUAAGUACUAUACAAUCUGAGACUAAACAUGUUAAAGAGAUGAAGUCCAAACAUUGUCAAUACCAUAGUAUCAUGAUCAAGUAUGUAUCAUUCGGACAUGUUUGUUCAGCUAUUUGACUAGAAAUAGACUUUCUGGAGAUGCUGGAUCAGGUGUUUUUCUCAAUAGCAAAUCUAAUAUGUACGUUUAAGCUUUCCCUUGUCUAUAUAUUUUUUAUUUUUAAGAUAUUUUUCGCCAUGUCAACUAAUCUUUUUAUUAUGGUUAUUUCUCACAGUGAUAUCUCGUACAAUAAUUUCUCUUGGUCGUCUAGCUGUCAGGAAAAGAGGUACCAAUAUGAAAUCUUGGUAGAUGUAAUACAUCUUCUCUGUUUUGUUGAUAGCAUUCUCAUGUUGAAGUUUCUAUUUACACUUUUUGUUCAAUC
rnacentral:lncRNA from 1 species